rnacentral:lncRNA from 1 species
UAAAACACUCCAUCCUCCUCCUUAAUCACCAUCACCAACAACCUUCUCUCCUCCCUCAAAAGUACCACCAUCUUUUCCGACAUGGCUACUUCUUCAAUCUUCAUGGCAACUCCCAUCACACUCCUCAAGAAAACUCCCACCUUCUCCGUCAAAUGUAUGUCACAAACACCUCAAAGCGGUGAACCGGAGGUUUCAAAACCAGCAACCACCCCAACACUACCACAGAUCAACAUUCCUCCUCCUCCGCCACCUGCUCCAAAGGUCAGCACGAAGUUCUCUGACGUGUUGGCGUUUAGUGGACCUGCACCGGAGAGGAUCAACGGAAGGUUAGCCAUGAUAGGGUUUGUGUCGGCGAUGGCUGUGGAACUGAGCAGCGGUCAAGACGUGUUCACCCAGAUCGGCAACGGCGGUGUUGCGGUGUUUGUCGGGACAAGUGUGGUGUUGACGUUGGCGUCGUUGGUGCCGUUGUUUAAAGGAGUGAGCGUGCAGUCGAAGUCGAGUGGACUGAUGACAUCAGAUGCAGAGCUUUGGAAUGGGCGGGUUGCGAUGUUGGGUCUGGUGGCUUUGGCUUUUACUGAAUAUGUUAAAGGCAGUGCCCUUGUCUAGAUAAUGUAGCAUAAACUUUUCUAUUACAGAAUUACAUCUAAGAUAGGCAAAUGUAUAUUCUUUUGAAUAUUUAUGUGUAUCGAUUUACCAUACAUAGUUCAAAUCAUGAAAAUCAUGUUUUUUUGAUAAUAUAGUAUAAAACAAAUAUGAUCAAUCAAAUCGAACGAUUGUGGUAUCUUUCAAUAUAAAAUUCUUUUUACAAAAAUAAACAAACAACAUACUAAGAUAAUUUUUUGAGGAAUGAACCUAGAUUAGCAAUAUAAGAGUCAAAGUCUACAAAGAUAUUGACAUCCUAGUUUCACAACUUCCUCUUUGAAUGUUGAAGGUGAUCAUUAAUUCAGACUGAAUAUGUGGCUAAGUCCAGCCUAGUCAAUUAGCCAAUUUAAGUUGACAAGUAUCCAAAAUUCAAAUAAACUACAUGGCUCAAUUUCAAAGAAAACUGAAAAAUGACUAAUGCUCACAAAAUGAUCACCGAAUCAAUUUAGGCUAUGAGGAGUGGUCACAUUCAAACCACCGGAAAAACGCUGCAAAGUCAGUGAUAUGUCAACUCCAUCACCUUCUAAACAUUGGAAACAAUUACCACUCCGUGUCAUUUAUAUUUUCAUUUUUUUUACAUUAGAUUAAAUAAAAAACAUAAUUACUAACUUAAGUAAUCAUUUUACUAAUUAAAAAAUCAACUAAACAUAUAUUAAUUUUCAAAAUUAAAUAAACAUAUAUAGUAUAUAUAGUUGAGGGUUUAACUUAAUUCAAAGAAAAGUAAGAGGGUAUAAUAAGAUUAAAAGACAUAAUUUUAGAGACCAAAUUUGUAACUUUAGUUAAAGCAAAUAUGAAUGGUCUUCUUCACAGGUCAUUGCUCAAUACCAUUUUUUUUCUUUUACUUCGAUGGAUACAAAGGAAAAGGGAAAAAAAGGGUCAAAUAAAUGACCGUUAUUGUUCUUGCUUUCUUAUCCGUCGUCUUCAUCCGUCUUUGCACCCACAUUACACCCAAACCACCGGCCUUAGGGGUGGUGGUGUUCACGUGUCCUUAGGCCGGACACAUCAGCAAGAUGUGUGAGUUAGUCCUCCCACUCCGAUUAGCCUUAAGCACUUAUUAAAAGCUAGUCUAUUUCUUGUUAGGUUGAAAUCUAAUGUUAUCAUCAAAUCUAUACAAGAUUGAGAUUGAUAUUAUAGUAACAAUCUCCCAAAGAAAAAUAAUAUAUUUAAAAGAAUAUAUAUAUANNNNNNNNUAUAUAUAUAUAUGAAUUAUGCCCCAAGAAGUACUAUGCAUGAGUAUAAGAUUACUAUUAUCUUUGGAUCCAUUAAUUGAUAACUAAGCAUACUUCAAAGUUACUAUAUGGUCGUAUGAGACCCGCGAAUAGGAAAUUGGCUGCACCCUUGGCCCGAUUCGAAGGCUAAAACCCAAAAGAACCAUGCACAUGAUUCGAACCAAGUGCUCUAAUGCUAUUUUGCCCAACUUACAUGAACUACCUCCAUACACAUACUUAAGAAACCCAUAAUCUCAUCCAGAUAGAGCAGGAAUGCCAGAGAUAAUCGGAAUAAUACCUCAAUCAAUUACAAAAAACAUCCGCAUUAUCGGUUGAAACAAGAUCCCAUACUUGAUUGAGACUGAACGGAUUCCAUCGCUACACAACUAGCUCGAGAAGACUUCCACGGAUCUCGAAAGUUGCCUAAACCUGAGUCUGCUAUGAAAUAGGUUCCCACUCCACCAUUGAGGGUAAACACACUUGAAGCCCCAAUGGACAUAGAUCAUACUAAGCUUGAUAACAGAUCAGCCUGACCACUACAUCUCGACUGACACAAUUAAACUUCCAAGUGAACUUUUAUUGAUUGAUGAACCCCACAACCAGUGGUCGAGGACACUUUAACACUUAGUCCAGAGAAUCAAGACCACAUAGAACUGAACAUACCCACUCAUGGAAAGAUCCAUCGACCAACGUCUGCCCAACUAAUAUGAAAAUAGUAAUCCAACAACAAACUGGGAAAUCCCUCAACAGCUAAAAAUACUCAACCUGAGAAUCCCGAUUCUCCUCCACUUAGGGCUUAAACUACCAUUCACUAGCGCUAAAACCAAAUCAUAAAUCAAACCAUAUUGAGGAUAUACUCCCUUCCUAACCCUGGAAGUUACGAGCCUCUUCACUCCUUCCCCGAACUCGGAAAAAAUGAAAGGGCAUAACCCUAGCCAUUGAUAAUGACGUUCCAAACCAACAAUCAACCACUUCCAACUGUAAAACCCAAGUCAAUCUUAAUCAUCGUCCCCUUCACGAGUCCCGCGACUCGAAUACCCGACCUCAAGCAAAACCCCCGAGGCCUCAAACAAAAAAGCUCCCUAGGUCUGCACCAAACAAACAAAAUCACUAACGCCACUGGGGCUCAAAACACUUACCAUAUCCAUCCGCAUGUCGGAGCAUCCACAAGCAAAAUAUUAACAGGAACAUAAACACUGCCGCGAAUCAUGGUAUCCAACCAUGCUAUCUUCACCGACCAACCCUUAGAAUCCCCAAAACCUUCCUUGAUUAGAUUAUGGAUCCUGUGCUUCAAGUAGUACUGGCCCAAUACUACCUUCCAUACCUAUCCAUACUUUCCUCAAGAAUCAUCCCAAGUCUUUUAAGUCCUAGUCAUAAAAUACUCCUGAAACUUGCUUAACAAUGAAGCAACCACGCUAAAAUACUCACCUACACUCCCUCUGCCAUCAACUGCUGAUAAACCCCUACCAAUGCCAGCUAACCACUUCAUGAAUACAAUUACACACAACCAAGCUUAAAUAAUCCUUCGAAUAAAGGGCUUAGCCCUACAACGAUUGGACUCAAACGAGAGCUGCACAAUAGGUUUGAGUCCUUCAUUCUAAGAUUAUUUAACCUUCAUAGCAUGUAAUUUUAUUAUAUUCACUUGAUGGUUAACUCCCAUCAACAUGGGUCCCACAAAGCACAAAGCAAGCAACAUUCGGGUAGAGAAGCCGACUGCGACUAAAACGCAACAAAAUCAGACAUAUCCUCAUAGAAAAUCCUCGAUCUCAAACUCCUCGCACCACGAGUGCGCCUUCACCCUGCUCUCACUCUCCCCAGAGUGGUUAAUCAUUCCUCGUGCUUACCCGCUAUACACUGCACCCACUCAUGAAACUUCCACCAACCCUACAACACUCGUGUAUGCUAGCCGUACAUAACACUGGAUCCUAUAGACAGUCGAAUAUCUGAUCCUACUCUAAGCCCUUCAUCAAACAAGAACAUGAAAUAAGGCCAAACCAAACAUUCUCAGGCUAUAGAAUCUUAGUUAUGUACAACUAUGAUGUAUACACUAAGUAACUGUAGUAGAUGAUGUCAAUUUCAUUUAAGGAAGAACCCUAGGCUAUCAGACAUCAUAUAAUCAUGCAACUUUGUCAUGCAAUUCCUGAAGAUCCCUAGCCUAUCACUACCAUGCUAUUCUAAUAUUUCACAAGAUCAAAUAAAGUGUGGUAAUUUGGGGUCUACUUACUAGCUCCGACUGAUCAUACACAUCGUAUCCUCUUUAGUUUGAAAGUUAUUUUUAAAACCUUUACUUUGAAAAUUACUUUUUUUAAAACACCUUUUCCUUAGUUUGAGACCGGAUUCACACGAGUUUUCCUCCCAUUCACUCAAACCAAGGCUCUGAUACCAACUAGUAACGUCACAAAAAUUUCAACAAAUCUAAACCUUUCAAAACAACCCAUAUGUUAACAAAAGUGAUUUGAUCCGCAGGCACUCUGCACGCCUUGAACUCCCGUAAUGAGGGAGUUCGAGCCCCAAUCUGACCCACAGUGAUCUCAGAUCGGAAAGAACAAUCCGCUCCUCCAUAUCCUCCAUGAUCCCCUCCUUGACGGUACUGAACCCGAUCUCGAACCUGAACCUCCUCGCGUAGCCAUCAUAAUCUUCAACUGAAAAUACAACAUAGAAAGAAAUUGAUAAGGAAGUUCAAAGGGAUUUCUCCCCACUGGACUCCUUAAAGCCUUCAGGUAUGUCCUUGUCUCGGGUACAAGUCUUGUGCUUUUAGUAGUACGGACCAAAUACUACCUUCCACACCUACCUGUACAUUCCCCCAAGGCCAUACCUGAUACCUCCAAUUCACCAAACCAUAGAUAAAACAUGACCUACGAAACACAGCACAUACACAUAUCUUAGAAUCUUCGGGGAUUUCUCAAUCCUCAUAGAACCAGAAACCUCAAUCAACACCGCAUGUUGCCUUAUGCAUGCAAGUUAUACAUUAAUAGAAUCAUAGAGACUGUCAAAUAAAGUUUCUACCCUAAGACCACAACCAAACAAGGAACAAGAAGUAAGGCAGAAUCCAUCGUUCUAGGGCUAUAAAAUCCUAAACAUAUACAACUUUGAAAGCAUACACUUAGCAAAUAACAACGUCAACAUCGAUUCCAAGCAUUAUAUUCAUAGCAUUGAACUCUCCUAGGCUACAAGGCAUCUCACAAAUCAGACAAUUCUCAUAACACCUAAAGGUAUCCUUAGCCCUAUUCUAGCAUGCAUUUCACACAUUAACAUACUAGUUGCAAUUCAUAAGCAUGGUUAAAUUUUUGGAAACACUUACUUGAGCUUGGCUGAUUUCGCGCAUUGCGCUCUCCCUUUUUACUUAAGAAAACCGGUUUAAGAAAAACUUGACUUUUGUUUCUUUUUUUAAAAAGGUUUACCAUUUCCUCAGUUUGAGUUGUGACACAUAGUGUGCCCGAAUUCCUCAAACCAAGGCUAUGAUACCAACUUGUAAAAGCCCAAAAAUCCAGAUAAAAAUUUUCAUUUAAAAAAAAAUAGAAAUUACAAUCAUAAUUUGUUUCUUAAAAUCCAUUACAUCAUUUCAUAUCAAAAUAUCAGAGUAUCAAUAUCAAUAAAUGAGGAAAUUCUUGGGAGUGAAUGUUGCGCCAUCUAGCUAGGCCCUUCCCCUUAGUACCGAAAGUACCUGAAAACACCUAAAUAAACUGUAAGCAAAAACUUAGCGAGUUCCCAAAAUACAACAUAACAUAUAACCACAGAAUACCACGCCACAUACAUAAGAUUGCCAUGGACAACCCCAUGGUCUUUACUUGGAAUGCCAUGGGCUACCCCAUGGUAUUUACCUAGAAUGCCAUGGGAUACCCCCAAGGUCGGAUAUCCAAGUGCCAUGUGCUACCCCAUUGGUCUUUACCUGGAAUGCCAUGGGCUACCCCCAUGCUCUAAUAUCCAAGUGUCGUGCGCUACCCCCAUGGUCUUCAUAUAAGUGCCACAGGCUACCCCCGUGGUCUUCACAUAAUGAAUUGCAUAAAAACUAUCAAUCCACAUGUCAGGCAAUGGGCCGCCAUUGGUGCCUUCGACCCAUUGAUAUAGUGAGAAGACUCACCUCAGACUGCUGAUAAAAAUACUGCUCGGCUAACGCUCUAGAUAUCUGACACUGAAUAUACACAAGUUAACCUAAUUAGAAUUAAGUCACAAACUCAAGGCCUAGGCCAAAACCCUAAGUACAAACUCCUCCAAUAAGGCCCAAAGUCUUUUUCCUUUAAUGGGCCUAACAUCCAAGAUCCAAAAAGGGGCAUAAGGCCCAAAAGGCCUAGCCAUGCCACUUAUGGUCCAACAACAAGUUCAAAGGCCCAAAUACUAUAAUAGAUCCAGGCCCAAGUCUAAGUAGAGCCCAAAUAGCUUAAAGGCCCAACAAAAGCCCAAAACUCAUUGGAAGCGUACGCCCAACGUACAUCAUCAGUACGCUUAGCAUACUGGGUUCUUUGGCGGUUAGCGUAGUGUACAAGCUAGUAUGCCCAACGUACAAGCUACUUUGCACAAAAAGCCAUUAAGUGCUUAAUUCAUGAAGCCAUUUCGUCCGAUUCCAGAUCUUGGUCAUCUUAAAGGUCCUAGGGCAUAAAGAUGGUAACUUUAUGUGUUUACAUGCCAUAUGGGAACCCAACACCUGAUUUUAUCCAUUAAGACUCCCUUUAAGAUCUUAAACUCAUGCAUGGUGCCAUAACAACCAUCAAGUUAGCAUUUUUAUGCUUUUAACAUGCCAAAGGAACUAGGAUCUAACAUUUAUAAUCUCUGGAGUUGUUCAAACUUACAAAAGAGGAUCCAUGGACCAAAAAUGGACUUAUUACCAAACCCUAACUCAAACUAGCGAAAGGAUAAGCAAGUUCUGGACUUUUUACCUCCAAAAGUUUUCCAAGAUGAAGUAGAUGCAGGAUCUAGAAGCUCAAACACGUCUAAGAGUUGAUCACAACCUUCUCCUUCUUACACACACAUUAAAAUAGCCACCAAAAUCACUUUUAAGCUCAAGAAUCACACUCACUUGCAAACUAGGGUUUAGGGACGAUAAGAGGCAAUAAAAGCUAUGUAGGGUUAGGUCCAAAUGUCAUAAGAGUGUUAAAAUAGGGUUCAUGCGCAAAAAUUAGGGUUUUUGUCAUAUGCCACGUACUCCUCGCAUACAUGGUGCAUGUACGCAUCUAAACCACCCUAGUACGCUAAGCGUACACGUAUGUACGCCCUGUUGGAUUAGUGUUUAAGUCCAUAACUAUAUUUGGUAUGUAUUUGACCAGGUUGUGCAUGGUCCUUUUAGGUUGCCUUCACCGAAGCAACUUGACUAGAGGAAUUAUAUAGAAAGAGGUGAUUAUGGUUUAUUAAUAUAUUAUAAGAUUUAUAUAUUAAAAGAGAAAUCAUGUUUGAUUAAUUAACAUUGGUCAAGAGUUAAUUAAACAUUAGUUUUGUGAUCAAAAGAAGUUAAUUGAACUUAAGGGGCUGAACUGUAAUUAUGUGAUAGUUACAAAGUUAGGCAAGGAAACCCUAAUGGAUAGGGUGGAUGAAUUCUAGGGAUAUAGCCUUAAGAAUUCGCCCAUGAUAGGGAUUCUAGAAUUAUCUUAUGGGCUGCUUGGUGGCUAAGUAACCAUAUAAGAAUAAUGAAUGAAACCCUAAUUCCUAAACCUAUAUAAAGGACCCUUGGUCAUGGGAAUUUCGGCAACUUGAACCCUAGAAGUCCUAGAGCCGAAAUUCUCCUCUUCCCUCUCUUGCUUCCUCUAAUUGCUAUUGGUGUUUGUUAUUAAUUAGAGGCACAACACUUGAGGUGCUAAAGUUGUCAAGGCUUCAAGAUCUUCAAUCAACAACGAGGUAAGCAUCUUGAUAUACUUUGCUAAGUUAAUUUCAAUUAUAUACACUAGAUCUAGGGUUUGAAAGUCUUGGAUGAAUGCACGUACAAUUAGAGAAACCUAGAUCCAAGCAUUAGGGUUUGCAUGAGCACAUAGGAUGUUCUUUUGGCUCAAACCUAUCAGUGGUAUCAGAGCUUUUGUUUGGUUUCUAUUGUAUUGAUGCCUUGCUUGUUCAUCCUCUCUUGAAAAUCGUGAUUUUGUGUUCUCUGCCUGACGAACUCGAUGAGUCCCAAUGUGGGCUCGACGAGUAGGAUGAACUCGACGAGUCCAUAAGGGCACUCAACGAGUCGGAGCGUCAGACAUAGAUUUUCGGGAUUUCUUGUUGUUUUGCUUAAUGAUAAUUACCUAAAUCGUUUUUGACUAAUAAAAUCUGAAUUUUAUUACUGCUUUAUGUUUAUCCUUUCCAAAACAAAAGAUAAUUUCCAUUUAUUUGAAUAAUAAAUUCCUUAUAUGAUAAUAAUUGAUUAUUUAAAUUAUUUGUUGAAUUAUCUUAUGAAUAAAAUUGAUUAGGUCAAAUUUAGAUAAUCAUUAAAUUAAUUGUUUAAUUUAAAUUAUUUGCUAUUUGAUCCUUUAUGUUUUGAAAAGUUCAAAACUUGUCCUCAAGUUUUGAAAUUUAAAUUUGUGAUUAAAAGUUUAAUUUAAACUAUUUAAAUUUCAAACCCUAGAAUUUUACAAGUUUAAAAUUCAACCUUAUACUUUACAAUANUUAAACGCUAGUCUUACUGUUAGUAGGCCUCAUUCACGAAGCCGAUCUAGAAGGAGGUAUAAGGUUAUGACCUAUAAAAUGGCCAUUUAAUGGGUGUCCACUCUCACCCACCACAUCCUUGAUUGGUGGAGGGUCGUUAGCCGAACGGGUAAGAUAGGGCAACCCUUUCUCAUGAAUAAGUAUAAUGAAUUAUAAAAGUAACUAAAUGUUUUACAAAAUUCCCAAUCUUAAUUACUUUAGGCAAAAGUGAAAUUGAUGCAAUUCCAUUAAAUUACAUUUUGUACCCGUGCUAAGACGUUAGUGGAGCGUGUGUGGUUAACUGGCACACUAAUUCGGUUCUAAGAAAAGGUGGUAAAGGGUGACUCAUUGUUUCUCAUUGUUCGAUGGAGCAUGUGUGGUUAACCAGCACAUCGAAUAGGUGACUGUAACAAUGAGGGCACCAUGUAUAUUUGCAUGGUUAUUCAUACCCACUUUGUGAUCCUCAGCAUCCCAGUCACAAACUAGAGGGGCAUAUCAAGAUUUAUACAUGCCAUUGAAAAGUUCAAUGAAUCUCAAAAUAUCUAGGAGUUUUCAAUACAUUUAAAACUUAAUCUCUUUUUCGUUUUUCAUGGUGGAGAAUUAGUGAAUCGUCAUUCACUUACCUUCAAAUUAUUUGCAUGUUAGAUUACGACACCCCUCUUCUAAUAUGUAAAUAAUGUUGUUGGAUCCUAGCCCUAAUUUCUCAUUUAGGUGUUUCAUUAGGGAUUCAUUUCUAAUCAAACUUUGUUCUUUUUCCUUUUCAGAUGUCGAACAACAACAAUGCUUCCGGAUCGUUCUCACUCAUGAACUUGUGUGGGAGAGUGAUCUUUGACGAGUCCAAUUUCAAUGAUUGGAUUCGCAACAUCCGAAUGGUCACUCGUUACGAGGACAAAGAGUAUGUCCUUGAUAAGAAGCUGAAGGAAAUCAACCUCAACACUGCUACUACUGAAGAGAUCGCCACCUUUAAGGCUCAUGAGCGUGAUGCCACGAAAGUCCAUUGCAUCAUGCUAGCGACCAUAACUGCAGAACUCCAAAAGUCCUAUGAGGACAUGUAUCCCUAUGAAAUUCAUCAAAACUUGUUGGACCGGUACCACCAAAGUGCAAGGCAAGAAAGGUAUGAGAUCAUCACUUCGAUGAUCACUACCAGAAUGGGUAAUGGAGAGUCCCUUACCGCCCAUCUGCAAAAGAUGCAGAGAUAUGUUGAUCACCUGCUAAAGUUGAAAGUUAACUUUGAUGAAGAGAUGGCAAUCGACAUUAUCCUUCACUCCUUACCUCCCUGCUACAACCAGUUCCGCAUGACUACCACAUGAAUAAGGAAGAGGUCACCUUGAGCAAGCUUCACGGCUUGCUAAGAACUGUUGAGAGCAAUUUCAAGGAUAAGUAUGUUGCAUCAACUCCAACUCCCACUGCUGCCCUUGUCUUGGAAAAAGGGCAAGGGAAGGGUAAGAAAAGGAAGGCUCCCUCAAAUAUCCACCACAAGGGAAAGUCCCAAGAUGUUACCUCUUCUAGUGGAACCAAGGCUGGUUCUGCUAAACCCAACUCUAACCCUAAUGAGCCAGAGUGCCACCACUGCCACAAAAUAGGGCAUUGGAAGAGAAGCCGCCCAGAAUAUCUGCAAGCUAUCUAGGAUGGGACGAUCAAGCCAUCCUUCGCAGGUAUUUACACUAUUAAAUCUAAUGAUUCAUCGCAUGCUAUUUCUUGGGUUAUUGAUACAGGAUGUGGUUUUCACAUAUGUUCUGAUUUGCAGGGACUAAGAAGAAAUAGGGAUGUGGAGCAUGGAAGAAUAAACCUAAUAAUGCGAAACAAAAGAUUGUCGCCUGCCACCAAUAUUGGAGUAUAUAUAUUCCUUAAUGCUUAGUAAUGGAUUAGGUUUUGAUUUAAACAAUUGCUGCUAUUCGCCAGAUAUGGCAAGAAACAUCAUUUCAUUUCAUGGUUUAUAUAGGCAAGGAUUUAGAUAUUCAUUUGAUAAUGAAAAGGGUUCUAUUUAUGCUUAUCUUAAUAGUGUUUUAUAUUUUGAAGCAUUGCCUUGUAAUGUAAUAUAUGAAACUGUGAUGGUUGUAGAUAACUUAGGAAAUGAUGUAUUGUGUGUUGAUUCUUCCAACAAUAUAGAUAAAGCAUGCUUGUGGCAUUGUCGUCUUGGACAUGUCAACAAGAAACGCAUAGCCCAACUCUAAAAGGAUGGAGUGUUGGAGUCAUUCGACCUUAGGGAUGAUGACGUGUGUGAGUCUUGUUUACUUGGAAAGAUGACCGAUGUGUGUGGGCACUUGUGAAAGGGGUGAGGGUUUAUUGGAUCUCAUACACACCGAUGUGUGUGGGCCCUUUAGAUUACCACAAAAGAUGCAAGCCACUUCUAUGUGACUUUUACCGAUGAUUAUAACAGAUAUGGGUAUAUCUACUUAAUCAAGCACAAGUCGGUAACCUUUGAAAGGUUCAAAGUGUUUAAAGAAGAAGUGGAGAAUCAUUUGGGCAGGAAUAUCAAGAUGCUUCGAUCCGAUCGAGGAGGAGAGUACCUAAGUCUUGAAUUCCAUGACUAUCUCAAGGAAUGCGGAAUCGUUUCACAAUUGACGUCACCUAGGACACCGCAGUUAAAUGGUGUGGCUGAGAGGCGUAAUCGAACCUUGUUGGACAUGGUUCAUUCCAUGAUGAUUCGUGCUUCACUACCUAUCUCAUUCUGGGGGUAUGCCUUAGAGACUGCCGCCCAUAUCCUUAACUUAUUCCCUACGAAGAAGGUUGCCAAAACACCUCACGAGAUGUAGACAGGGAAAGCUUCCUCGUUAGCACAUAUCAAGGUUUGGGGGUUGCGAGGCUUUCGUAAGACGAGAGACUCACGACAAGCUCGAACCUCGUAGUGAGUGGUGUAUUUUCACCAGCUACCCACAAAAGACCUUUGGAUAUCUCUUCUAUAGUCCGAGUGAGAACGUUGCCUUCAUUGCGAGGAGAGGGGUUUUCCGUGAGCGAGAACUCAUAAGCCUAGGGGACAGUAGGAGGCAAAUCGAUCUUGAAGAGAUUCAAGAGUUGAGCGAUGAAGGAACCUCCAACACCGGGGCUUACCCGAGGAGGAAACUCCGGUUGAACCGAUUGACGAGUCCUUACCUCUUAGACGUUCCGAAAGAGUUAGGUUUCAACCCCAGUUAUAUGGCUUUCAUAUUACUACAGAAGGGGAUACGUAUAUUAGUGAUAUUAUACUAAUAAAUUUGGAUGAACUUAACAGCUAUAAGGAAGCCAUUGCAGGCCCAGAGUCUGCAAAGUGGAAAGAGGCGACGGACAGUGAGAUUCUGUCCAAGUAUGACAACCAAGUUUGGAAUUUGGUUGACAAUGUACUAGGUCGUAAGAUGGUCUGGUGCAAAAUGAUCUUUAGGAAGAAGGUACUAAAACGUUUUGUGACAACCCGAAAUUUCCAUUUUGUACGAACAUUAGCUAUUCAAUAGAAGCUAGUCCAAUUUCAAUGAAUUUCAGACUUUUCUAAAUAAAUUUGUGUACAUUAGGGUUUACGUUUAAGGAGAUAUCAGGAGAGUGGAUGCUCAUGGGUUUGUGAAACUUGAGCAUUUCAAAACUUCAUAAUGUUAGAGUCCAAUUCCGGAAUAAAAAUAUUUUCUGCCAAAAUAUUUCAGGACUAUAAAUAGAUUUCUGAACUAAAUUCAUUCAUUAUUCACACUUCCAACUAGAGAAAAGCCAUUUUCUCUCUCACAGAUCUUCGGGUUUUCAUCCCAAAUCGUGAGUACACUUCUUUAGUUGUUUUAUAAUGCUUGUUAUAUGCUUAAUAACAUAGAUUACAUGUCAAAUAUGUGAGAUCCGGGAGUUUACCGCCCAAGAACGUUCUUGGGGAGUAAACUCGAAAAUAAAGCUUUAAGGCUAUCUAGUCCCAUUUCCUUGUUAGGUAACUAGCUUAGGAUAAUAUGUAGGAUCAUUUGAGACAAGAAAACAAUCCAGAACACAUAGCUUUAGGAGUUUUCGGCCCAAGAGUUUCUUGGACCGUAAACACCAAAUACAAGGGCUUAAAUGUGCCCUAAUCACUCCCAAAGGCUUUAGACUUUAACCCUAAAUUACUUCUAGCUAAUAUGGGGACAUUAACACAUCAAAAAAACCCCUAAAAGGGAGUUUACGGCCAAGAAAUGCUCUUGGGCCGUAAACACCAAUUAAGGGCACCAAAGUGUGCCUAGGGCCCCCCUUAGCAUAAAUCAAAUGCCUCGAAAGUAUUCUACUUGUGUUUGAGACUUGAAAGAAUUAAAACAUCCAUCCCAUGAGAGUUUACGGCCGUAAACUCUAAGGGAUAUGGCCUUUUGGCCGUAAACUCCUCAAAGGAGUGUUAUCUAUGCCCUAAACUACCCAAAGGAUUAAACCACCAAACUAGGCUUAUUCUAGAAAUCAUUUAGCACUUUAAAACACCCAUUACCACCAAGAUUGGAGUUCACGGCCGUAAACUCAAGGUUUUACGACCGUAAACUCCUUGUGUGGGGUUUAUUGGGUAGUAAACUCUUAUACAAAGUCCUUGGAAGCUUUAAACCCCUUUAGCUUGUCCCAUAACAACUUAGAUGCAACCAUUAGGACCUAUAACACUUAUACAAGGUGUUUACAUGUUCCUAAGUGUCCCAACUUAUUUCAUUAAGUUAUUAUUUGGCUAAUUAGUUAUAUAUAUGCUCAUUAUAUGAUAACUAGGCUCGUGCGUGUGAACAAGUCUCCGUUUGCCACCUAGCACGGUAUCCGACACUACAAUCCAAACCACUCACCACAAGUGAGUUCAUACCCCUUUAAUUAACCUUUGAAAUACUUUUAAAUGUUUUAAAUACUUUAUGGGGGGGAUACAAGUUAAAUGCUUAUAGUUAUUGCAUCAAUCACAUGUGAUUACAUUAAUCAUAUGUGAUUAAUAACUAGAAAACCAAUGAUCUUAUCACUGUUUAAACUGUUUAUCAAACUGUUUUACUUCAAACUGUUUUACAAACUCUUUUACUCAUCAAAUACUUUUAUUUAAACUUUGUUAUACUUCUUAUAAACCGCAUGCCCAUAUAUGUAUAGAUAUAUAAGCAAUGUUUAAAGGGUUUAGGAAGGUCAUCCGCCCUAUUUCCUUUUUCUCGAUUUGGAUGUGGUCUGGUGGGAUUUCGGGUAACCAUCCGAAGGUCGUUUCAAUAUUAAUUAUAUAUCAAAUGUACAUAUAUAGACAUAAAAGUACUCCUUNUAUACUAGGAGAAGAACAUAUACAACUAUACUAGAGGAAGAACAUAUACAACUAUACUAGAGGAAGAACAUAUACAACUAUACUAGAGGAAGAACAUAUACAACUAUACUAGAAAGAGAACAUAUACAACUAUACUAGAGGAAGAACAUAUACAACUAUACUAGAACAGUUCAUUACAUUACACAUACUAGAAUACGUUCAUUAUUGUGAUAUGAAUCGGGGCAUGACUUAAAUGCCAUGGCCCGAGUUGUAGCCAGAGUCUCUUGAAGGGAGAGCGUGAGUUUGCGUAUAGAUCUAUACUGGAUUGACUAUCCUACACCUUGCUGCUAGCUACAGCCGGACCUGCAGGUCUGCGGGUGCCAAACGUCAUUCCGUUAUUACGACCAUUCGUAUGUCGUUGUUACCAGUCGAUAGUAUGGUGCAAUUAGUCACAUGAUACCUUAAUAUAAAUCCGGUUUAAGGUAGUUAGUACAACAAUAGUUCCUAUAAUACAACACUACAGUACUACAAUAAUUUACCCAUUACAUAUAUUUAGUGAUUAUUUCACUUAAACAUUAAUGUACAAACUAUAUUUUGUUAAAUGAUAGUUACACUUGGGAAAUUACACACUUUUACAACAAACGAGCAUACAAAACAGUUAAGCCUUGGUAGAAGGCUACUUUAAUAGAAAAUAUAGGUUUUUCUGAGAGAUUCAAACUUUUACAAACACUUACAUACAUUUUACAAACUUACACUUGAGACACGUUCAAACGUUUUGAUAACAAACAUCGACACUAAAAUACUUAUGAACUCACCAGCUUAAUGCUGAUAAACUCUUUCAAAAUAACUUGUAUUCUCAGGUCAUCAAUAGACAGGUACUUAGGCCAGCUUUUGAGAAGAUGGAGCGCAUUCAAGACUCAUCUUAUUAUUUUGAUUUACAUUAUAUUUUGGUGUCUAAAACUGUACAGAACACGCUUGUAUUAAAAUUAUAUAUUUAAUGCAAUGGAUGAUGCUGUUUGCUUAUUUACAUUUACUGUGUUGUGAUACUUUACAUGACGUCCUCCGCCCCACAACGUUUCCGCCGUUCUUGGUUUUGGGGUGCGACACGUUUUAGUAUGGAGAAUUCAAAGAAGGCAGAGUUACCAAUCCAAAGUAAUGCGAAGUUGAGUACGACUCAAAGUCCGAGUACUGAAGUCGAGAUAGCAGAAAUGAGCUAAGUACCUUACGCUUCCGCAGUUGGCUCGAUCAUGUACGCUAUGACUUGUACUCGCCCUGAUGUGGCCUUCGCUUUGAGCAUGGUCAUUAGAUAUCUAGGGAACCCUAGAAAAGCACAUUGGACCGCAAUCAAGAAUAUUCUUAAGUACCAUCGAAGGACCAAGGAAUGGUUUCUAGUCCUCGGUGGGAGUGAUGACUUAAAGGUGCGAGGGUAUAGUGACGCCAGUUUUCAGACCGACAGGGACAACUACCGUUCGCAGUCGGGCUGGGUCUUUACCCUAAAUGGUGGAGCAGUGACUUGGAAAAGUUCCAAGCAAGAGACCGUAGCUGACUCAACAUGUGAAUCAUAGUACAUUGAAGCAAGCGAAGCGUCAAAUGAGGCAAUAUGGUUGAAGAACUUCAUUGGAGACCUUGGAGUUGUGCCGACCAUACAGGAGCCUAUUGAGAUUUUCUGUGAUAAUGAAGGAGCGGUUGCCUUGACCAAGGAACUGAGGGAUCACGGCAGAUCUCAACAUAUUGACAGAAAAUAUCACUUUAUUCGAUAUCAGAUGGAAAAAGGACUCCUCGUAGUGAAGUGCGUAUCGUCAGAAGAUAACCCAUCAGAUCUGCUUACGAAGGGACUGAGCAGGGUUAAGCACUUGCAGCAUGCUAGGAGCAUCGGGCUGAAGGACGAUAUUAGUUUAGAUUAGAUAGUUUGGAAACGUGUAAUAGAUAAAUUAUAAUUAACAUCUGAUGAUUAAAUAAAAGAGUAUUAUUUAUUAGUAAUGUUACUAUCUUAUGUUAAUUGUUUACCUAUUGUUUCAUUUUGCAUGUUUUGACUUCCUGAAUAAUAAGAAUUAUUUAAAUGGUCUACAGUUGUUCAUAUGUUGGAACUAGGUAUGAAUGAAGACUGUCAUGAAUUGGUGUGUAGAUUGUCUAAAGUGUAUUAGACAUAGCAAAAGUUUGCUACAACAUUCAUGAGUGCUUAUGAAAAGUUUUGAGCAUUGGAAUAAACCCAUGCUUGCUGGAAUCACUUCAUGGAAUUCAUCAUGAGUGAUCGCAAGACGAUAAUAUAUCAUAUGGUCUUAAAACAUAGAUAUAUGGUUUAUUGUUUUCUAAUUGGUUGUGCAUUGAUAAUGCGUAAACACAUCAGUAACUUGAUGUUAUAAAACGCAUUGUUGUGUAUGAUUUGAUUAGUGGAUAGUAAAUGCAUAUAAGUCUAAGUUCAUCUGUUCCUUUUAUCCUAAUAGGUUAAAAGUGAUAUCAGGACCCCUUGAUGAUUUGAUUUGACUUAUGUGUCGGGCCCGGUCAGGACUGAAUUGAUGUGUUCAAUUACGUUCUAUGUCAAAUGAAUCAGAGAUUAAGAAACAAACUGUUGGAUAAUAAGUAUGACUAUGUUCCAUGUAAUUGUCCGCAUGAUAUCUAGAACAAAGGAUUAUACGAUCCCUUAUCUUAAGGACAAGUUACUGAUAAGAUCAAGAGUUUUGAGAACUGUGAUUGCUAAUCGAAUCCAGAAGUUGCAUUUGCAUUUAUAGUUAUUAUCAAGGUUGUAAAAAAUUCUCGACGUUAGCUAGUCGGUGGACUGGGGUUAAGAGAUUAAUCGGGUAGGCGGAGAUUAAUCGGGGGAUUAAUGGAGACCAUUAAUUGAUAAUUUGUUGAAUUUUAAAAAAUUGAAUAUGACUAAUAUCAUAUCAAAGUCCGUAAGUACCACUAAUAUCAUAACAAAAUAGGUUGAUAUGUUUAAUACAACAUUAAUCAUGCUUGAAAUAGUUUCUAUUGAGAUAAAACUUCUUAAAAAUGUUUAAAUUUCAUCGUUUUAUACAGUUUUACUCAUUAUUUAUGCAUGGAUUAAUCGCUAGGUGCCAUCUAGUUGGUUGAGUAAUGCCUAGGGAUUAAUCGGAGAUUAAUCGGGACCUAGUCAUGAUUUUUACAAUAAUGGUUAUUAGACUUAUCCAAGUAGGGGAAUGUUGGAUUAGUGUCCAAGUCCAUAACUAUAUUUGGUAUGUAUUUGACCCAGUUAUGCAUGGUCCUUUUAGGUUGCCUUCACCAAAGCAACUUGAUUGGAGGAAUAAUAUAGAAAGAGGUGAUUAUGGUUUAUUAAUAUAUUAUAAGAUUUAUAUAUUAAAGGAGAAAUCAUGUUUGUUUAAUUAACGUUGGUCAAUAAUUAAUUAAACAUUAGUUUUGUGAUCAAAAGAAGUUAAUUGAACUUAAGGGGCUGAACUGUAAUUAUGUGAUAGUUACAAAGUUAGGCAAGGAAACCUUAAUGGAUAGGGUGGACAAAUUCUGGGGAUAAUGCCUUAAGAAUUCGUCCAUGAUAGGGAUUCUAGAAUUAUCUUAUAGGCUGCUUGGUGGCUAAGUAACCAGAUAAGGAUAAUGACUGAAACCCUAAUUCAUACACCUAUAUAAAGGACCAUUGGGCAUGGGAAUUUCGGCCACUUGAACCCUAGAAGUCCUAGAGCUGAAAUUCUCCUCUCCCCUCUCUCUCUUGCUUCCUCCAAUUGCUAUUGGUGUUUGUGAUUCAUUAGAGGCACAACACUUAAGGUGCUAAAGUUUUCAAGGCUUCAAGAUCUUCAAUCAACAACAAGGUAAACAUCUAGAUCUACUUUGCUAUGUUAAUUUCGAUUAUAUACACUAGAUCUAGGGUUUGAAAGUCUUGGAUGAAUGCAUGUACAAUUAGAGAAACCUAGAUCCAAGCAUUAGGGUUUGCAGGAGCACAUAGGGUGUUCUUUUGGCUCAAACCCAUCACGCCCAAUGUACGUAGGGACCUCCUUUACAAAUAAGUUUCAUUCCAAGGGUUAAAAGGGUAAAUACCUACAUUCCGAAUGUUACAUAUAGAUAGUAAAAUACUUGAUUCUACCCUAAGCCCUUCAUCAAACAAGAAAAUGAAAUAAAGCUAAACAAAAAUUCUCAAGCUAUACAAUCUUAGUUAUGUACAACUACGAUGCAUACACUAAGCAACUACAAUAAUGACGCUAAUUAUAUAUAAGAAGUAAUCCUAGGGUAUCAAGCAUCCUAUAUCAGGAAAUCCUUUCAUGUAAUUCCUGAAGAUCCCUAUCCUACCACUAGCAUGAUGUUAUAUCAUGAAAAACAUAUCAAGUAACCGUGUGGGUAACUUUGGGUAAAUUUUCUUGCUCUGGCUGAUCAUACACAUCGCAUCAUUCCUUGGUUACUUUUGAAAACAAUUUUUGAAAACCAUUAAAAGAAAACUUUACAGCUUCCUAGUUUGAGUUUGGAUUCACACGAAUGUUCAUCCAGUUCUCUCAAACCGAGGCUCUGUUACAAACUUGUAACACUCCAAAUAUCAUAGAAAAUUAAAAAUUUUAAAUUUCAACCAUUAACCAACAUUUUUUACAAAAAGAGUCAUUGCUUCAAAAGUAUUAUUCAAAAUCAUAGUUUUUCCUAAGACCUAAUAACACAAAAUAGGAAGAUGUGCACGAUCACGCCUUCUCCUUCCUACGAUCAUCCGAAGUACCUAAAACAAUAAACUGAAAUUGUAAGCCAAAGCUUAGUGAGUUCCUCCAAAGUACCAUCAUGGAACAUAUAAAAUACAUAGAUUAACAUGUUGGGUCCAUAACCUCCCAGUUGGAUUACCUUGGCUCACAACCUCCCUGUUGGAUUGCCCUGCAUACCACAUACUGGGUCCACUACCUACCGACUGGGUUGACUUAGAUGGUUUGUGGAGUUUGGCCUAUUUUGACCCAAGGAUAUUUUGGAUAAGUUGGUAGUUAUUUAAGUCGACCAAUAUUUUGGGAUAAUAGGUGUCGAGUAGAGCCGGUUGUCAGGGAAGAGAUUUAUUCAGCUUAUGUUCAGACUGAGAGGUGAGUUUUCCUCACUGUACUUACGGGUCGAAGGCACCAAGGCCGACCCAACGAAUUGAUAUCCUGUCUAUACUGAUUGAAGAUAUGUUGAGUAUGCGAUAGAUCUGAAUGAUUAUAUGAUAGUUAUGAUAUACGUUAGACUGGUAGAUCUAUAGGGCUACCUAUGAUUAUUGGUUGUAUAAUCAUCUGUAUGUUGUAUAUAUAUUAUAUGUUAUAUGCCGACAUGUUACAUUGGGGUUGAGACUACUGCUUUGUGUCGUCAGUCAACAGACCAUGUCAAUCCAAUUGGGAUGUUGUGGGCUAGGGUAAUUCAACCAGGAGGUUGUGGACACAAUAUGCUAAUCUGUGUAUUUUAUAUGUUGCAUGAUGGUACUUUGGUGGAACUCACUAAACUUUGUGUUAUAGUUUCAGUUUAUUUUCAGGUACUUCUGAUGAUCGCGGUACGAUGAAGGUGUGGUCAUGCACAUCUUCCUGUUUUGUGUUAUUGGGUCUUGGUGAAAACUCUGAAAGUCAUGACACACUUCAAAUUGAAGUAUUUCGAUGGUACAAUCAAAAUCUCUAUUGGAUAAAAUUUAGUGACAACAACAGAGAAUUAAAAGGUUACGAUUCUUGUGUGUACCAUAUUCAAAUACCCAAAAAGGGAUAUAACUCCUUGUUCGAAAUAAAGCUAAACCAAAAAUUCUCAAGCUAUAGAAUCUUAGUUAUGUACAACUAUGAUGCAUACACUAAGCAACUACAAUAAUGAUGCCAAUUCUAUAUAAGAAGUAAUCUUAGGGUAUCAAGCAUCAUAUAUCAAGAAAUUCUAUCAUGUAAUUCCUGAAGAUCCCUAGCCUACCACUAGCAUAUUGUUCUAUCGUGAAAAACAUAUCAAAUAAUAGUGUGGUUAACUUGGGGUAUACUUUCUUACUCCGGCUGAUCGUACACAUAUCAUCAUUCUUUGGUUACUUUUGAAAACCAUUAAAAAAACUUUUACAGCUCCCUAGUUUGAGUUUGGAUUCACACGAAUGUUCAUCCAAUUCGCUCAAACCAAGGCUCUAAUACCAACUUGUAACACUCCAAAUAUCAUAGAAAAUUAAAAAUUAAAAAUUUCAACCAUUAACCAACAUUGUUUACAAAAAGAGUCAUUGCUUCAAAAGUAUUAUUCAAAAUAAUAGUUUUUCCCAAGACCCAAUAAUACAAAGCAGGAAGAUGUGCACGAUCAUGCCUUCGCCUUCCCGCGAUCAUCAGAAGUACCUGAAACAAUAAACAGAAACUGUAAGCCGAAGCUUAGUGAGUUCCCCCAAAGUACCAUAAUGCAACAUUUAAAAUACAUAGAUUAACAAAAUGGGUCCACAACCUCCCAUUUGGAUUACCUUGGCCCACAACCUCCCCGUUGGAUUGCCUUGCAUACUACAUACUGGGUCCAUAACCUUCCGACUAGGUUGACUUGGCUAGUUUGUGGAGUUUGACCUAUUUUGACCAAAGGAUAUUUUGGAUAAUUUGGUAGUAAUUUAAGUCGGGCAAUAUUUUUGGAUAAUAGUUGUUGAGUAGAGUCGGUUUUCGGGGAAGAGAUUUAUUCAGCUUGUCUUCUUACUCAGAGGUGAGUUUUCCUCACUGUACUUAUAGGCCAAAGGCACCAAGGCCGACCCAAUGGAUUGAUAUCCUGUUAGGUACUGAUUGAUGAUUUGUUGAGUAUGCGAUAGAUCUGUAUGAUUAUAUGAUAGUUAUUGAUAUACGUUAGACAUGUAGAUCUAUAGGGCUACCUGUGAUUAUUGGUUGUAUAAUCAUAUGUCUAUUGUAUGUAUAUUAUAUGUUAUAUGUCAACAUGUUACGUUAGGGUUGAGACUACUACUUUGUGUCGUCAGUCAACAGACCAUGAGAAUCUAACCGGGAGGUUGUGAGCCAGAGUAACCCAGCCGGGAGGUUGUGGGCCCAACAUGCCAAUCUAGGUGUUUUAUAUGUUGCAUGAUGGUACUUUGGAGGAACUCACUAAGCUUUGGCUUACAAUUUCAGUUUAUCGUUUCAGGUACUUGUGAUGAUCGCAGGACGGUGAAGGUGUGAUCAUGCACAUCUUCCUGUUUUGUGUUAUUGAGACUUAGGAAAAACUCUGAUUGUGAAUAAUACUUUUGAAGCAAUGAAUCUUUUUGUAAACAAUGUUGGUUAAUGGUUGGAAUUUUUUUUUUUUUUUAAAUUUUUAUGAUUUUUGGAGUGUUACAUUGGUUUUGUCUUAUAACUGAUCCAAACCCCCACACACCCUUGUUAAUCAUCAAAGAAGAAUCCAAUUAGAACUAAUUCUAUUCAACAAUAACAACCAUAGGGUGUUAGAAAUCCAUUACCUCAAAUGUAGGGAUCUUUUGAUGUCUAAGAACAUUAAUCAAGAUAAAUUAAUAAGGAUAUUCAAUUAAACCAAAGGUCUUUUGGCCUAGCACUAUCAUAUGUUGGAAAAAUGACCCUUCCUAAUGUUAGAAAAACGGGUUAUUUCGAUUGCUUGGAUUCCACUGAAAGUCAUGAUACACUUUCAAAUUGAAGUAUUUCGGUGGUACAAUCAAAAUCUCAAUUGGAUAAAAUUUAGUGACAACAAUAGAGAAUGAAAAGGUUAUGAUUCUUGUGUGUACCAGAUUCAAAUGACCAAAAAGGGAUAUGACUCCUUGUCCGAAAACUGUCAUAUUAACAGUUACAAACUGCCACAAAGCUGUCACUAAACUUGUAACACCCCAAGUUCAGAAGUGCAAGUUCAGGGUUCUUGGUGUAAUUAAGGAAGAUCGACUCGGCGAGUCGAGUCGUGAUUUGGCCAUGUGCUAAGUGACUGACUCGGCGAGUAGGCAGCUAGACUCGACGAGUCAGUGCUGGAGUGAGAAACCCUAAUUCAUGGGGUUUGCACCCUAUAUAAGGAACCUUAAGUCCCACCCCAGCCUCUUUAGGACUCCCUCUGAUGUCCAGAAACUUUCCACAUCGAUUUCAAACCCUAAAUUGAGAGUGAGAGGGAUUUAAGUGUGUUUUGGAGCUUGAAGAAGAAGGAUACUUGAAGCAAGAGUUGGUGGGAUCAUAGAGGAGCGAAGUGGAUCUGAUUUCCUUGCUUCUUGGCAUCAGCAUCAAGGUAAAAAGUUGUUGCCUUGACUUUGUUGUGUUUAGAUGGUUCAUGAAUGAAGUUUUAGGGCCAAUUUAUCAUAUAUGAGCCUCUUUUCGAGUAUUGGGUUUAGAUCUGUGGUUGCUACUACAGAUCUAGACUGGUCCUGACUCAUGAAUCUGGAAAGUGAUAGCUUUGGGGCUUGAUUGAGAGUGUCCUUGCCUUAAAACUUCACUUUAGCUUGAGUAGAGCUUGUUGAGCCUUGCAUGCACGUAAAGUUGGAAACUUUACAUGUAGAUCUUGCCCUAGGAGUCCAGAUCUAUGUAUUGAAAGCAAUAGUUUGGCCUGUGAUCAUCUGAAUGAAGGUAUUACGUAUGGACUCGGCGAGUCUGGGAGAUGACUUGACGAGUCGGACAAAAGAUUUGGAAUGAAUCGCGUAGUAACUCGGCGAGUCACAUGGGUGUACUCGACGAGUUGGAUGAAGAUAGGCAAGAACUCGACGAGUUGGAAGAACAACUCGACGAGUCUAUUGAAGAUUGCCUUGGGCUCAACGAGUCUGUUCUUGGACUCGGCGAGUCUGGUCGAGGAGUCCUAACCUUUUCUGGUUAAGUCGUGAAUCGGUGAGUCGAAGGAUGACUCGGUGAGUUGAGCAUGAAGGGACUCAGAGUUUGUUGGACUCGGCGAGUCUUGGGGCAACUCGACGAGUUGAGUCGUAAUAUGAGAGUUUUGAGUAUGGGAACUCGAAGAGUCAACGAGUUGACUCGGCGAGUAGGGUCAACCAGGAAGGUUGACCUUGACUGAGGACUUGGACUUUAACCAAGGGUUGACCAGUUGACUUCCGGGGGUAUUUUGGUAAUUAUUGGUAUUUAUUGAUUUGGUUUUUGGUAAUGAUCAGUGGCGGAGUUCGUGCUGGUGGUUGGAGCAGCGUGAUCUUAUUCUUCAGUCGGCAGUGACAGUUGAGUUAUCCUCACUAUACUGACAGGGUCUACGGCACCAAGGCCGACCCUCCAUCGGAUGGAAAUCCGGGUAUUGUUGUUAUGUUAUUGCUAUAUGGAGAUCCUUGUUGAUGGAAAGGCGGCCGACGAACGCUCGGUGGACUCUAUAUCCUCAAGGAAUCAAUUUGGAACCCGGAAAAUCAUAUUUAUUUAGGAAUGUAGCAUAUGGUUUUAGAGGUUGUCCUAAAUGGGAGGAUGUGGAUACGGUUAGUUAAGUUUAAUAAUUAUUAUUUUAUAUAUAUAAUAUUACUGAAAUUACUAGUAUUUAAUUUAUAUUUUUUUUGCAGGUUAUAUCUGUAAUAAAUGUUGUGCAUACCCAUUGGUUUUUGGUGGUUCUACAUUUAGAUACCUGGAAAGUAGAAAUUUUUGAUUCAGCACAAGUUGCGGGUUACUUCUCAACAUACAACACUAAUGGAGAAUUCAAAAGUUUUGGAGAUAGUAUUAUCUCAGAGUUGGAUGCCAUUGAUUACUGGAGCCAUUUCCCCCAUUGGACACAGAGACAAGCAAAGGUCGAGUUUUUUGAUGUUUNGACACAGAGACAAAGCAAAGGUCGAGUUUGUUGAUGUUGUAGACGCCCCACAACAAGAAUAUAGUCUUGAAAGAGGGGAUUGUGGAGUAUUUGUAUGCAUGUUUAUGGAAAUGAUUGUUUCUGGGGGUACCAGUGGCGAUUUCAAGGACAUGUAGAGAAGCUGCAUUUCUCUAUAGAAAUAAGAUGGCAAAUGUUAUUUGGGAUACUAUAUAAGUUGAUAUUAGGAACUUUGUAUAUAUAUUAAUAUUAAAUACUUGUUUCUAGUAUGUAAUCGUGUCACUUCUGGUAGUAUGUAAUCUUGUAAUUAUCUUUUAUAUUUUUUAAACAUAAUUCACCAAAAAAUGUUACGAAACCAUACAUUCAAACAAAAUAAACAUUACAAAUAACAUGAAUACAUUACAAUAGAGUCGUCUACAUAAAAAUAAGGUUUCUUACGACUAACAAACAUUAGAUAAAACAUUGGAAAUAAAAUACUCAUCUACUUGAAAAAAACUUUAUCUUUUACCAGAUUCCAAACGUCCGUAUACUCGAAAUCAUGUCCAUCAAACUUGCAUAGGUAAUAUCCAUUCACAUCUUCAAGAAGUUCUUCAUUAUCUGCUUGAGAGCGUCGCAUUUUCUCAGGAUUGUAGCAUCGAUUGAACCAUGUGACCUUAAACUUUAAAUCCAUCCAUUUACUAACAAUAGCAGGUUUUAGUCGUUCGUGUCCUUGCCCGACUUGAUAGUUGAACAAAGCUAUGAGGCGGGACCAUUCAUCACCUACAAGGCAAUUCAGGGGAGCCAUCACUGGUAGACCCUCGUAAAUGGUAAUCCAACUUUGUAUUAGGACCAACAACUCUGUUGGCGUCCAUGGAGAUGUACAAUUUGUUGGAGAGGCUGCAUUAGAUGGAUUUGUUGCAUUCGAAGAACUUGGUACAUUGGACGCCAUUUCUUAAUUGAUCUACUAUCAACUAAAGAAUUGAAUUUCGUAUAGACACUACGUUUAAUAUAUGUACAAACAUAUGUUAUACAAAGAUAUGUCAGUAACGCGGACUGACGAGCCAGUAACGCGGACUUACGAGCCAGUAACGUGGACUGACAACGAUUAAUAUAUAUAAAUAGUUUCUUAAUGCGGACUGACGAGUCAGUAACGCGGACUUACGAGUCAGUAACGCGGACUGACAACGAUUAACAUAUAUAAAAAGUUUCUUAACGCGGACUAACGAGUCAGUAACGCGGUCUUACGAGUCAGUAACACGGACUGAAAACGAUUAAUAUAUAUCAAAAGUUUCUUAACGCGGACUGAUGAGUCAGUAACACGGACUAACAAUUACUAGACAAAACAGUUUUGCGGACUGACAAGACAGAAACACGGAUUGACAAGUCAGUAACGCGGAGUGAUCAUUGGCUUUGCGGACUCACAAGUCAGUAACGCGGACUGACAACGAAGUAACACGGACUAACAACCCCGUAACGCGGAUUGAGAACGCAGUAACGCGGACUAACAAGUCUAUAUAAAACGACAAACAACAAUGUAUCACUUCAUCUAAGGUAUUUUAGUUCAUGUGCUUUGUAUGUUUUACAANUUCAUGUGCUUGUAUGUUUUACAAUGGGUUCAAACCAAUGGACCGCUAACGAGUAUUUCCUUCUAGCUCGUGCAUAUAUUAAUGUCAAAGAGAACACCAGUUUGGAGGAUAUAAUGUUUUUCUCCCAACUAACGAAUACCUUCAACACUGACGCUGAAACCACCAUACAAAACCAUCGCAACACGCUUGAUAUAGCUACAAAAUGGUAUGAAUUGAAAACGGAAGUUGUGUUAUUAAACGAUCUUUAUAAUAAGAUUGAAGAUGAUCAUGUCAAUGAUACUGAGGAAGAGAUCUUGGAGGUGUCUAAAGAAGAAUACAAAUCCAUUAGCAACGGACAGAGUUUCGAGUUUGAAGCCCCUUGGAAUCUUUUGAAAAAUGUACCGUUUUUUUAAGUAGAACUGCAUUUUGUAUUGUUCUUGUAUUUCUUUAUUUAAAUGUAAUAUGGUAUUUAUCCUUUAUUUUAAAAAAAAAUAUUUGACCAACAAAUGUUACAAAACCAUACAUUCAAAAAACAUUAUCUGACAAACAGCUUACGCGGACUGACAAAUAAGCUACGCGUAAUGACAACACAUUUACGCGGACUGACAAGUAAGUUCUGCGGAAUAAUGUAUACUAAUUCCUUAUAAAUUUUGACAACCAUGACGAAAAUUUACAAGGUGUCGAAAGUUGUGAAAAUGAGUUCAGUCAAUCAGGUAUUAAGGAAAAGUUUCUCCAGCCUACCGACUUUUUUCCAUAAGCUGCAAAGAAGCAAUCCUACCACCUUCACGUACAUUACGAAGGAUCGGUACAAUCGUUUCCAAAUUUGUUUCGUGGCAUUGGGAUGCGUGGUAUGUAAUCCCUUAUAGUAAAUAAAUAUUUAGUUAUUUCAAGUUGGUAUAUGCCUAAUAUUCUUAUGUUGACUUACAGAUUCGUACAUUUCUCACGUCUAUGAUAUCAAUCAUAUUCGUUGGUCAAGUACCUCUAAUUGGGGCAUAUGUAACAUCCAUGUACAUUGCUUUUGCUUUAGAUGGAAAUCAUGAACCCCUUCUCAUAGUGUUUGCCUUGGGAACCAUAAAUUGUGACAAUUCAUGGUUAUGGUUCAUAAGGAGGCUUAAAGACUGUUUAGGUGACAAUACAUAAUUUGGUUUCAUAAGCCAUAUGUCUGAUUCUAUGGACUUUGCAGUCCACAGAGUCUACCCUGAUUCAUAUCAUGGCUAUUGUUGUAAAAAUAUAGCCAAGAAAAUACGCGCUUCCAUCGGAACCAAUACAGUCGUAGAACAGUGGUUCUGUAAGACGUGUAAAGCAUAUAAUUUAUCUCAAUUUUAUGCAUGUUUGAACAAUUUAAAAAAUGAGGUAAAUGGGAAUGAUCUUCAUUGGCUUGACAAUAUUCCCAUUGCAAAAUGGGUACGGGCUUGUUUUCCAAGAGUAAGUUUCAAUGUUAAAUUCAUUGACAUUCCCGAUGUUUUCAAUUGGUUUAAAACAAACACGCAUGAGUUUCCAAUAACAACAAUCAUUGAAAUGGUUCAUGACUCGAUGUAAGAAGUUUAUCUUCGACGUGCUGUUUUUGGAGGUAAUUAUAAGUUAUGACAUCAUUAAAACGGUGAAUUGAUAUGUUUAUUAUACGUUAUGACCUUAUAAUUUUUUUUAUUGAUUCAGUUGAUUUCACAGGGGAUAUCCAUAAUCUUCUAACCCCUUAUGCACUUAAGGUGAUUCAUAAAAGAUUUAUCCACUCGGAUGGUUGUAGGAUUACGCAUAUUGUUGGCGAUAGAUAUGAAGUGACUAAGUAUUCAACAACCGAAUAUGUACAACUAGACCGUGGUAUUUGUAGUUGCGGUAAAUGGCAAAAAUGCGGUAUACCUUGUGAGCAUGCUAUAGCUUCACUACACAGACUCGAAAUUGCAGAAAUCCAUCAAAUGGUAAAUUUAAAGUUAAGUACAGCGGUGUAUCGAAAUGCUUAUCAAACUGAGACGGUCUAUCCUAUUCCAACCCUUAGGCAUUGGGAAAAACCAGUCGAAAGUGUUGUGGUCUUACCUCCACGCCAAUUCAAUUGAACUUUAUUGUAUGGAUCACAACGAAUAUUAGUUUUUAUUCAGUUCUAUGUUAACCGUACUUGUAAUGGUUUGUUGGCAUUCUUUACUUUUUAAUAAAAAAAAUGUUUACCUUUAAAUAAAUAAUUGUAUUUUCAUAAUUGUAAUAUGUAUGCAUGACAACGACUAGACAAAAAAACUAUGCGAACUGACAAACGCAGUAACGCGGACUGACAAAAACCUCUACGGACUAACAACAGCUCUCUGCAGAGUGGAAGGGACUAUAUAUAGUCAUGGAUGGUCGUCGGAUUUUUCGUAUAGAGUUAUAAUUUUUUAAAUUUAAAAUGACUUCAUCUUCAUCUUUGUAUAUUUGCUCGUGCAACGAAGUUGAUUGUUUCUAUUGUGAUCCGAUCGACCCUUUUCUUGCACCAUCACCAAAUUUAAGAGAGUCAUAUAUGUCGGAGGAUACUUUGCAACAACUACAAUGGGCUGAAGAACAACAAAAAAAAAGAUAAAGACUCGUCUCGGGCUCUCACUGAACGACGUGACCUCAUUGCGGCGGAGUGCAAAGAUGUUGAGGAAAGGAUGACGAUUACAAAAAAAAAUCAAAAAUCAUGGGGAAUGGAAAAAAAAACNCUAAGAAGAAUCUCAAACUGUCUGAAAAAUGGCUUGCUGACAAGGAUGCAGAAAUGAUAGAACUUGGUAGGCAAAAGGACCGUAUGGAAGAUAAAAUAAGAAUAAGGGACGACUACAUAACAAUGGAGAAAGAAAAGUAUCCUUUGCAAUUCCCUUAAGUUAAUUACCGUUGUUGUACGUUUACUAUAUGUUUCUAGUUUGUUGAAUGUAUUAACUUCGAGUAUUAGUUAUUAUUCUACUAGUAAUUAUGCAGUAAUAUAAUCAUAAUAUUACCCAUCAUCUUUAAAAUAAACACACCAGCUCAAAGUAGACAAAUUAAUGUCCUCUAAAACAAAACAUAAUUAAUUAUAAAUACAACAUCAAUCAUUCAAAUCAAACGUUGAACAAUAGUCUUCUCUCUACGUCCCACUCGUCCAACGCGUGUCUUGUGUCCCGUGCGUCUCUAGCGUCUCCUGAGUCCCUUCUGUCCCUUUCCCUUUUCCUUUUGUGUUACUACUUGAUGUCGUAUUAGUUUUUCUAGCCUUUUUUUGUUUCUUUGGGACCAAUGUCGGACAAGUCGCUGCAUUAUGUGUUGUACUAUCACAUCUACUACACCUUCUUAUUAUAGGUUCCUCACCUUGUGACGGAAUACGAUUUCUGUUUCUCGGUCUACCAGCUUGACGUGUAUCCAUUAUCGGGGGUUUCACAACCAUCAUGUUAGCAGGAAUCUCCCAAUCACACGGUUCUGGAAGGGGGUAAACCGGCUCCUCAUACGUACUUCGGUAUGUUUCCAUUUUGUAAGCAUCUAUAGCCAGAUGUCCGAAGUUAGUUUUUUUCAAGUGCUUCAAGACCAUUAUCACAUGACCACAAGGCAACCCAGUUCCUUCCCAAUAUUUGCAUGUACAAGUCUCUUGCCUCAGAUCAACUAUGCCACCAUGUUUGAAAUCAUGAACUUCAUAAAGUGCAUCUGAAACACCAGAAAUGGACCAUCCUGUCGUACGCUCUUCAUUUUUACUAACUACUUUUUCAGCCCACUCGGUUAGCACUGUUGAACGUUUCCCUAUAAAGAAGAUAUAUAUAAUUAACUAAUUAUUCGACCUAAUUAAAGACAAAAUAAAAUUCAUACCUCCUUCGAUGCGACGCUUGUAACACCAUUCCUGUGAAAGACGUCGGAAGAACUCAAGAAGGGGUAUUAUAGGCAUCUUCCUUGCAUCUACAGAUAAAGCAUUCAUGAACUCUGCACUGUUCGAGGUCAUGUAAUCGUAACGUUUCGAUGGCGAAUAUGCUCUAGUCCAUUUAACACAGGGAAUUUCACUUAGAUACGCUGCUACUUGCGGCCUAGUAGAACUAAAUAUAUACCACAAUUCUUCAAAAACAUUUCUUUUGUAAGCUUUCACAAGCCUCCAAAACAACCCUUUUGUUUUAUCAUUUUUCCCAAACUUGUGUACUAUGUUUCCUAGUGUGACAUCCCCAAAAUCUUGGCCAGAAAAGACCGAUUUCAUUGAUGCUUUUUAAAAUAAUUUCAGAGUAAAUCCUUUUGAUUUUAAAAGAGAUGCGGAAUUUGUUCCCAAAAACAAAACAUGAUAAAAUAGAUCUUUUAUCAAAACAUUUCAUAAAGAAAUAUAAUUUCAUUUCAUAAUCAAAACCGGGAUGUCAUGUUCCGAUACAGACCAUAAAGCAUAAACGAUAACAUUACAAGUCAUUCAACAAAUAUUAUACAUAUGCAGACUUGUAAACAAAACAACUUGAUGAUUCAUCCAUCUUAUGCCCUUACGCCACUUCCUGUAAUACAAGUAAACUGAGUGGGUCAGGCUUGGGAGCCUGGUGAGCAUAUAGGGUUUUCAACCCACAAUAAAUAAUUAUAUUUAAUUCAACAAUCAACAAUAACCCGAUUACCCAUUCCCGUUUUCCUUACUUUACGUCCCUAAAACAACAUCUAUUAUAAGGGACCUAAUCUAGGAGUUUCAUCGGGACAAACAUUACUGCAAAGGGGCUUCCUUAGCAAUAAAUAUCCUAAAGGCAACCAUGAGGGGGAUAUAGUUCACCGGUGAACACGUCGUUCACAAGACCUACAGGUUAUGAGCCUACUAGUGUUCCACAGGACUGUCUAGAAUAGUCCGUGGUCGUCAUCCAUACUCUGCUGAAUGACUAGAAUAACACCAACAACAUCGAGGCCUCUCAUCUGUUUAUUACACACCAACUAUCUACCCAUGUUCUACCCAACAUAUUAGUAGAUAAAAAUAUACAUUUGUAUACAUAGUUUAAAACCUGUAUAGCAUGCUCAAUCAAUACAUUUUUCCACAUAACAGAUGAGGUACACACACAUAACACGUAUUUCAUAGAGAAUAAAUCAGAUCUAUGAGAUAGAAGAAAGUGAAUAUACAUCCACACAUAUAGUCAACAAAGUAUACACGUAACACGUAUUUCGUAUAAAAUACUUCAUAAUAAUGUGUUAGAAGAAAAUGACUACACACUCACUUGAUCAGAAGAUGAUCGGGCAACACUACGACUUGUAGAAGUAGUGUUUCUCCGUAGAUCUGGAAGAUCUUCACAUAAACCGGGCUCCUCGCGGGCAGGUCUUCGGCUCUGAAAUCUCACUUCUCGGGAUUCUCGGGACUUCGGAUCUUGCUUCGGGGCUCGCGAAUAAUAUUGGGGCUUCGGGGUAUGAUUGGCAAGCAAAUCGAGGCAAAAACUAGAGAGAAGAAAGAGUUUGAACUAGAGAAAAUGGUUGAUCUCGCAUUCUAUUUAUAGGCUGCUGGGUCUAGGAUUAUGCCGGGCGUAAUUUCCAGGUACGCUGGGCGUACUAAGUACACUGGGCGUAAUUAGGUUACGUUGGGCGUACUUUGACGUCACUGCAUGCGUCAAUUGGUGGCACUCGAGUAUUGGUCAGACAAGUUGCACCCCUCUGAGUACGCUGGGCGUACUCAAAUUACGCUGGGCGUAAUUUGACUCGUCAAACUUCUAAAUUGCGUAACUUUGGCAUACGAGCUCCGUUUUCGACGUUCUUUAUAUCAACGCGUAGGUUAGACCAUACUCUACAACUUUCAUUUAGACUCAAUUUUUACUUUUAUUUUUAUUAUUUAUUUUUAGUAGGCCGGGACAGGAAAACUUCGUUAUAAAUUCAUAACUUCUUCGUUCGACGUCCGUUCUCGCCUAACUUUUCAUCGUUUCACUACUAACAACGAGAUAUUCGAUUCUCGUUUAGAUUGUUCUGGCUAAAAACCGCUCGAUCUCAAAUCGAGUAUUCGGGCUGCAUACUGCCAAGUCGAAACUUCAGANGAAAAUCAUAUUCCUCAUACGAAGUCAGAUUUGGGCGUUCUAUAUAUAUUUAGAAACCUAGUUUCAACUACUACAACAUUAUCCAAAGAUAUCGAGUUUAUUUUACACUUCAUUUUGACGCUAAUUUUUAUUCUUAAUUCAAUUAAAUUAUAAUAAUUAAGAAAACACACACAUAAUUCACAUAAUUCACAAAUAAUACAUUUUUAUUAUUUCAGAUUGGGUUACAAAGGUUAACCUAGACUAUUACAUUGCUAAAAAUGGCAAGCCCAUAAUCACGGGCGUUACAAUUUUCUCCACCUUAGAAUGAUUCCGUCCCUGGAAUCACACAUCAACAAAUAAAUGCGGAUAGCGACCCAUCAUGUCACUCUCCGUCUCCCAGGUGAGAUACGACCCAUUCGUGUGUUUCCAACGGACAAGCACUAACUCAACCAUCUUACGUCGCAAUUUCUUAGUCUUCCGGUCAACGAUUGCUUCUGGUUCUUCAAUCAAUCUUUUGUUUUCAUCAAUUAUUAACUCUGAAAGUGGAAUCAUGUCGGGAACUUCUCCCGUGAACUUCCUCAAGUAACACAUAUGAAAAGUGUUAUGAAUUCCAUUCAGUUCUUCGAGUAGUUCGAGCUUGUAAGCUUGGUUCCUAAUUCUCUGAAGAACUUUAAACGGUCCAAUAAACCUUGGACUUAACUUUCCCCUUUUACCACAUCUUAUAAGUCCCUUCCACGGCGAGACUUUAAGCAAAACCGAAUCUCCAACUUCAAAAGUCAUCGGUCUUCGCUUUUUGUCAGCAUAGCUCUUUUGACGGUCGUGAGCUGCUAACAUUCUUUCCCUAAUUAUUUUCAACUUUUCAGCCGUUUGAUGGACUAUCUCUGGUCCCAUAAACUGCUUUUCCCCAGCCUCAAGCCAACAAGACUGCGUACGACACUUCUGUCCGUACAAAGCUUGAUAAGGUGCCAUCUUAAUGCUCGAGUGGAAACUAUUAUUAUAGGAAAAUUCUACCAAUGGUAAAUGUUCAUCCCAAUUACCUAGGAAUUCCAAGGUACAUGCUCUCAGCAUAUCUUCAAGUGUUUGUAUCGUUCUUUCACUCUGACCAUCAGUCUGCGGAUGGUAAGCUGUGCUUAAACACAACUUGGUACCCAAUUCCUCUUGUAGACUUUUCCAAAACCGUGAGGUGAAACGACUAUCACGAUCCGACACAAUUGUUAACGGAACACCGUGAAGCCUCACAAUUUCCUUCACGUAAGAAUUCGCAAGCUUUUCCAUAGACCAUUUCUCAUUGGCUGCUAUGAAAUGCGCACUCUUAGUGAAUCGAUCAACGACCACCCAAAUCAUGUCGUGACCAUUCUUUGUUCUGGGCAGUUUAGUGACAAAAUCCAUAGCAAUGUCUUCCCACUUACCCAUAGGCACAGGCAAUGGUUCUAAACUCCCGUACGGUUUCUGAUGUUGUGUCUUGACUCUCGCACAAGUCACACACUCGGCCACAUACUUUGCAACAUCAAGCUUCAUCGUCGGCCACCAGUAGUAGGGUUUCAGGUCCCUAUACAUUUUAGUGCUACCCGGAUGAAUCGAGUACAUGGUCUUGUGAGCUUCUUCCAUCAGAAGAUCUCUGACUCCUCCUGUCUUAGGUAUCCAAAUCCGAUCUUGGAACACCUUCAGUCCAUGACUGUUUACACCGAACACCAACGUUUUGCCCAAACGUUCCUCCUUUCUGUCAUUCUUCUCAGAAGCUUCGCUCUGAGCUUUCUUUAUACUUUCCAAAAUAGUUGAGACAACUUCAAUUCUCAACGCUCUUGGCCUUUUCCUUUCGGGAUUGACUUUCCGACUGAGAGCAUCAGCAACAACAUUAGCUUUACCGGGGUGGUAAAGUAUCUCGCAGUCAUAGUCUUUAAGUAAUUCUAGCCAGCGUCGUUGCCUCAUAUUCAAUUCUUUCUGAUUAAAGAGGUAUUGGAGACUCUUAUGAUCAGUGAAAAGUUUGCACUUCGUGCCAUAGAGGUAAUGCCUCCAUAUUUUCAGAGCGAAAACUACCGCUGCCAACUCCAAAUCAUGAGUCGGGUAAUUCUUUUCAUGCUCUUUCAGCUGUCGAGACGCAUAUGCUAUCACCUUUUCUCUUUGGGUCAAAACACAACCCAAUCCAACACCAGACGCAUCGCUAUAAACAGCGAAGUCUUCAACUCCAUCGGGUAGAGAAAGUAUCGGUGCCUCGCAUAGCUUCUUCUUUAACUUCUCGAAUGCUUCUUUAUGCUUCUCACUCCAAGCAUAAGUAGCUCCUUUGUGGGUCAAAGCUGUCAAUGGAGUAGCAAUCGAAGAAAAGCCUUGGAUAAACCUUCAAUAAUAUCCGGCUAAUCCCAAAAAGCUUCGAAUCUCCGUGGGACUUUUCGGUUGUUCCCACUUCAUCACAGCUUCGAUCUUCGCUGGAUCAACCAUUAUCCCUUCUUGGUUGACCACGUGACCCAAGAAUUGUACUUCUCGAAUCCAAAAAUCACAUCUGGAGAACUUUGCAUACAACUUAUCCUUCUUUAAAACUUCUAACACUUCUCGCAAGUGUCUGCCAUGCUCCUCCUGGCUUUUCGAGUAAAUCAGAAUGUCGUCUAUGAACACUAUNGAACGGAUUACAAACCCUGUUCAUUAAAUCCAUGAAUGCUGCUGGAGCAUUGGUUAGUCCAAACGACAUAACCAAAAACUCGUAGUGCCCAUAUCAUGUUCUGAAUGCAGUCUUCUCUAUAUCCUGCUCUCUUACUUUUAGCUGAUGAUAUCCUGACCUCAGGUCGAUUUUUGAAAAAUAACUUGAACCUUGUAGUUGAUCGAACAGGUCAUCAAUCCUCGGCAACGAAUAUCUAUUCUUUAUUGUUGCCUUGUUCAGUUCUCUGUAAUCGAUGCACAUCCUCAUACUUCCAUAUUUCUUUUGACGAAUAACAUCGGAGCUCCCCAGGCCGAUGAACUAGGUCUUAUGAAACCUUUGUCCAAUAACUCCUGAAGUUGCAUCAUCCGCUCCUUCAUCUCCAUCGGUGCUAGUCGGUAAGGUGCUUUUGCUAUAGGCGUCGUUCCCGGCAACAAGUCGAUACGAAAUUCUACUUGUCGAUCAGAAGGUAAUCCAGGAAGAUCUUCGGGAAAUACUUCCGGAUAAUCACAUACGACAGGAAUAUUCUGCAUCACCUUUUUUUCCUUCUUAGCAUCGAUCACGAAUGCUAAAUAUGAUGUACACCCCUUGGUCAAACAUUUUCUGGCUUUCAUUAGAGAAAUGAUUCCAGAAUUUACUCUGCGUUUAUCUCCAUACACCAUAAACGAUUCCUUCCCAGGCGGGUUCACUUUCACUAUUUUCUUCUUGCAUAAAAUUUCGGCAUCAUUGGCGCUAAGCCAAUCCAUUCCCAAAAUGAUGUCGAAACUGUUAAGUUCGAUAUAAAGGAGUAGUUUUCUACCAAAUUCAUGCGAUAUAAAGGAGUAGUUGGCUCCAGAAUCAAAUAAAAUUUGGGCAGACGAUUUGUUUACGAGAAAGGUACCUGAACGACAUCAGCUUCAUCUUUAGCAGCUUCCAGUGUCAUCUGGAAUGCUCUCGCCUUCGGCUUUGGCGAAAUGUUGGGUUUUGUUGCCUCCUUCUUCUUCGGACAAUCUCUUGAUAUGUGCCCUUCCUCACCACAACCAUAACAAACAUUCUUGGUGAGGGUGCAGUCGUUGGCAUAAUGCCCUGGCUUUCCACAUUUCAAGCAUGUGGCUUCCCCGCCGCACUUCCCAUGAUGCUUCUUCUUGCAUUUGUCGCACCAUUUCGCUUCGCCUCCUCCACCCCCUCUCGAACUAGACUUCGAGAAUUUACCCUUUUUGCUGGACCCUGAAGAUCCCUCGAACUUCCUCUUUUCACCAACCUCUGACCUUUCCAGACCUUUUUCCCUGAUCUGGGUCUCAACAUUUCUAGCAGCCCAGAUGGCGGCUUUCAAUGUGGUUGCUUGCUUAACCAUUAGACCAUAGUCCGCUGGUAGUCCAAGGGCAAACUUGUUGACCUUAGAGAGUUCUGUAGGCACCAAAUAUGGGAUAAACUUCAUCUUUUCUGUGAAACUUGCAGCGUAUUCAGUAACGCUCAAUUUCCCUUUCUUCAAAUUCUGAAACUCAUUACUGAUUUCCAGAAGGUCCUGCUCGGAGCAGUAUUGCAGUUUUAGUUGUUCCACAAAGUCUUCCCAAGACAUUUUGCUUGCUUCUCCCUUGGGCAUAGAGUCAGCUAACAGCUUCCACCAACUCAACACGCCAGAUUUUAGCAGAGGGAUCGCAAGAGCGGUCUUCUGCCUGUUGCUGCAUUCGCAACUUUCAAACAUAGUCUCCAUUUCGGAGAUCCAGUCCAUAACUUGCACCGGCGUCGGGCUUCCGGAUAGACAUGGUGGUUUGGAUGCCAUGAAAUCCUUAUACUUGCACCCACGACCAUCAUUUCCUCCAUACUGGUUAUUGCGUCUAACCACUGGUUGUUCGUCUUGACCAAUGAUCCCACUAAAGUUUUCUCCUUCAGACUGCCCUCCAUUCUCCUCGGGCUCUUCCGCUUGAAUUGACGGUUCUUCACGAUUCUGCCUAAGCAGGCGUCUUGUUUCUUCCAUCUGACGAUCCAACAUCAUUUGAAUCAUCAUUUGUACACCAGCCAUUGUUAUCGGCUCAGGUGCAUCAGCUACGACAGGUACUUGUUGAAUUACAGGCGGUUGAUUCCUGUUUUCAUCAGCAUUUCCAACUCCGCUUCUUGUUCUCACCAUUUUUGAUCUACACACCGAAUAAUUUCACCUUAUUACUCCAAACGAUUACAUGCUAGUUCUAAUAUCGUAUACAUACGCUUAGAAUCCUAAACACAUAAACCUUCAGAUCCGGUUGGCAACAAACCGUAGAUCCGAACAAAUAAUAUCAUAUAUGGCAACAUAUAACAUUUAGCACAUAAAAGCAUUUUAGGCAACUUUCCUAAAAUAAACUAGUGCUCGUGUCUAAAAUUUAUCAGACACACAUCUCACAAUCUCCACUUAGCAUACUAAGUUUAAGUCUAGAAAUCCUACAAAUUCCUAGUUCGCUUAAACUAAUGCUCUGAUACCAACUGUGACAUCCCCAAAAUCUCGGCCAGAAAAGACCGAUUUCAUUUAUGCUUUUUAAAACAAUUUCAGAGUAAAUCCUUUUGAUUUUAAAAGAGAUGCGGAAUUUGUUCCCAAAAACAAAACAUGAUAAAAUAGAUCUUUUAUCAAAACAUUUCAUAAAGAAAUAUAAUUUCAUUUCAUAAUCAAAAAUCGGGAUGUCAUGUUCCGAUACAGACCAUAAAGCAUAAACGAUAACAUUACAAGUCAUUCAACAAAUAUAUACAUAUACAGACUUGUAAACAAAACAACUUGAUGAUUCAUCCAUCUUAUGCCCUUGCGCCACUUCCUGUAAUACAAAUAAACUGAGUGGGUCAGGCUUGGGAGCCUGGUGAGCAUAUAGGGUUUUCAACCCACAAUAAAUAAUUAUAUUUAAUUCAACAAUCAACAAUAACCCGAUUACCCAUUCCCGUUUUCCUCACUUUACGUCCCUAAAACAACAUCUAUUAUAAGGGACCUAAUCUAGGAUUUUCAUCAGGACGGACAUUACUGCAAAGGGGCUUCCUUAGCAAUAAAUAUCCUAAAGGCAACCAUGAGGGGGAUAGAGUACACCGGUGAACACGUCGUUCACAACACCUACAGGUUAUGAGCCUGCUAGUGUUCCAUAGGACUGUCUAAAAUAGUCCGUGGUCGUCAUCCAUACUCUGUUGAAUGACUAGAAUAACACCAACAUCAAGGCCUCUCAUCUGUUUAUUACACACCAAUUAUCUACCCAUGUUCUACCCAACAUAUUAGUAGAUAAAAAUAUACAUUUUUAUACAAAGUUUAAAACCUGUAUAGCAUGCUCGAUCAAUACAUUUUUCCACAUAACAGAUGAGGUACACACACAUAACACGUAUUUCAUAGAGAAUAAAUCAGAUCUAUGAGAUAGAAGAAAGUGAAUAUACAUCCACACAUAUAGUCAACAAAGUAUACACGUAACACGUAUUUCGUAUAAAAUACUUCAUAAUAAUGUGUUAGAAGAAAAUGACUACACACUCACUUGAUCAGAAGAUGAUCGGGCAACACUACGACUUGUAGAAGUAGUGUUUCUCCGUAGAUCUGGAAGAUCUUCACAUAAACCGGGCUCCUCGCGGGCAGGUCUUCGGCUCUGAAAUCUCACUUCUCGGGAUUCUCGGGACUUCGGAUCUUGCUUCGGGGCUCGGGAAUAAUACCGGGACUUCGGGGUAUGAUUGGCACGCAAAUCGAGGCAAAAACUAGAGAGAAGAAAGAGUUUGAACAAGAGAAAAUGGUUGAUCUCGCAUUCUAUUUAUUGGCUGUUGGGUCUGGGAUUACGUUGGGCGUAAUUUCCAGGUACGCUGGGCGUACUCAAUACACUGGGCGUAAUUAGGUUACGUUGGGCGUACUUUGACGUCACUGCGUGCGUCAAUUGGUGGCACUCGAGUAUUGGUCAGACAAGUUGCACCCCUCUGAGUAUGCUGGACGUAAUUUGACUCAUCAAACUUCUAAAUUGCGUAACUUUCGCAUACGAGCUCUGUUUUCGACGUUCUUUAUAUCCACGCGUAGGUCAGACCAUACUCUACAACUUUCAUUUAGACUCCAUCGGCUAAUUUUGACUUUUAUUUUUAUUAUUUAUUUUUAGUAGGCCGGGACAGGAAAACUUCGUUAUAAAUUCAUAACUUCUUUGUCCGACGUCCGUUCUCGCCUAACUUUUUAUCGUUUCGCUACUAACAACGAGAUCUUCAAUUCUCAUUUAGAUUGUUUCGGCUAAAAACCGCUCGAUCUCAAAUCGAGUAUUUGGGCUGCAUACUGCCAAGUCGAAACUUCAGAAAAUCAUAACUUCCUCAUACGAAGUCAAAUUUGGGCGUUCUAUAUAUAUUCUGAAACCUCGUUUCAACUACUACAACAUUAUCCAAAGAUAUCGAGUUUAUUUUACACUUCAUUUUGAUGCUUAUUUUUAUUCUUAAUUCAAUUAAAUUAUAAUUAAGAAAACACACACAUAAUUCACAUAAUUCACAAAUAAUACAUUUUUAUUAUUUCAGAUUGCAUUACAAAGGUUAACCUAGACUAUUACAUUGCUAAAAAUGGCAAGCCCAGAAACACAGACGUUACACCUAGUAUAUGAAAAGCACACAAGCCAUGAUGAGCAUGUGGAAAAACAUUUUCAAUACUAACGCGAAUUGUAUCGGCCCUAUCAGUUACAAAAGUCAAUUCUUGACAAUCACUAACACAUUCAUACAACUUUUCAAGAAACCAUGUCCACGUAAGACCACUUUUUUUUUUCAUAUUCCGUGCGUAAGGGGCAGUAUCUGGUUGUUCCCAUCCAUAGCUACUCCAUGCAAUAUGGUUCCCUUAAAAGCACCCUUCAAAUGGGCACCAUCCAUAAUUAUAACUUUACGACAAAAACUUUUGAACGCUCGUAUCUGCAAUAUAUAAAAAUGGAACACAUAAACACUCUAUAAUUUGUUUACAAAAAUUAUAUAUUAAAUAACAACAAGUUUUUUGUAUUUACCGUGCUCCCAAUGGCAUAAAAACAACACUCGAAACAAUCUUCAGAAUCUGUUUGAAUAUACGCAACUGUACCGGGAUUAUGCCUCUUCAAAUUGUGAAAAUAAAUAGGAAGUUUGGCAAAACAUUCUUCAGAGGAUCCCAACAACAGUUUCAUAGCAUAUUGUUUUGCACGCCAAGCUUGUUUGUAAUCUACGUUGAUUUCCAGCAAAGCAUUCAAAUCCCUUGAUAUUUCAUUAGGCCUCCAAACCUUGGAACGAGUUUUUCCCAUAAUCUCAUGCAAUAUAGUACCCAUGACUUUUUUAUUAGCAUGCUUAUGAUUAGGGUGUAUCUGUAAUGACGAACAUGUGUACACGUUGUUGAAAGUCCUGAUUUCAAAUUCAUCAGUGAGAUCAAGGCGUUUUGCAUACAAACGCCAACUACAGUUCUCAAUUUCACAAUAUACCUCAUAACGAUUUUUGUUAGAAUGUUUGGUCUUAAACUGAAACUUUUCUCUUGUUGCUUUAAGAAUCAAUGCAAAAAUUAGUUGUUGUUUGUUGUCAUAUGUUUGACGAACAAACAUAUCAUCAUUUGGACCUAAACUGUGAAAUGGUCCGGGUUCAACAAUAGGAUCAGGACAAUCAGGUAUGGGAGACAUACCGUAAAAAAUGUCUGAAGCUUUUUUCCCGUAUGUGAACUCAUCUUCUGACCAUCCUUCAUUUGACUCUUCACUGUCUGAGAAAGUUUUGUUAGUCAAUCUUCUAAACCCAUAUAAAUUUUUUUCUUCAACCGUAUUCAGUGCCACCGUUUCUUCUUCUGGACAAUCUUCAACAUUAUCAGAUACAAUGUUAUCAACAUUGUAUGGUACAACUUUCUCAGCUGCUUCUGUCUGUUCGACCAAUCCCUGAAACACCUCUAAAUACAAAUGCACAAUCUCCUUCGUUUCAGAAAUUACAUUUCUGAGUUGAUUAACAUCUGCUUCAUCUAAAAUAUUCAUCACAUACCCAUGAACCGGGUGUUGAAAUGACAAUGAUAUAUUACUAUUGAACACCUUAGCCUUACUUUUGACCAAAUCAAACAAUAUUCGAAAAUCAAAAUUAGGCGGAGGCAGUAAACCCAAGUUGUUUAACUUUGGUCUAACGUAGGUGUUAAUCGCAUUACUUAUCUGCAAAAAACCUCCAGUACAUAAAAUAACAAAACUCAUAUUUGGUUUUGAAAAUCAAAUGAAAACGAACUGAUCUAUCGACCAAAAUAAAACAAACAUAUGAAAAAGAAACUUUUGUAUCAAAAAACUCUUCAAAAUCCGCUCCAACCACCCAUUCCACGGAGGCAUUACUCUCUCCGCAGAGACCCAUUCCGCGGAGCAUGAUUAAAAAGGCUAACAACCUAUUGUUCGACCACUUCGCAGAGAUGACUUCAUUCCGCGGAGGUCCGCGGAGGGUCCUCCGCGGAAUGCAUGUCUAUAGCUGGAAUUUUUUUUUUGUGUCUAAAUUUUUAAAUUUCCCCCUUUUUUCGUCUAUAGCCUAUAUUUUCUCUAAAUGAUUUACAUAUUGAAAGUUCAGAAACAAGUUAAAACUUAAACCCUAAAAGAGCGUACAAAUUUCAAUCGUCAACAUACCCCACCACAAAGGCACAAAUAAUCAAAGAAACAAAUGUAGAUGUAGAGGCCUUUUUCACCACAAUCACCCUUCAUCGGCCAUUUCGAAGGCCACGUGAAAUGUCACUAACGUGGCCCUAUAAAUAUCCACUACUUUGUCUUUAACCUUUCCCCCCUCUCAUAUAAAACCCUCCAUCCUCCUCCUUUACCACCAUCACCAACUACCUUCUCUCCUCCAUCAAAAGUAUCCCCAUCUUUUCCGACAUGGCUGCUUCUUCAAUCUUCAUGGCAACUCCCAUCACACUCCUCAAGAAAACUCCCACCUUCUCCGUCAAAUGUAUGUCACAAACACCUCAAAGCGGUGAACCGGGGGUUUCAAAACCAGCAACCACCCCAACACCACCACAGAUCAACAUUCCUCCUCCUCCGCCACCUGCUCCAAAGGUCAGCACGAAGUUCUCUGACGUGUUGGCGUUUAGUGGACCUGCACCGGAGAGGAUCAACGGAAGGUUAGCCAUGAUAGGGUUUGUGUCGGCGAUGGCUGUGGAACUGAGCAGCGGUCAAGACGUGUUCACCCAGAUCGGCAACGGCGGUGUUGCGGUGUUUGUCGGGACAAGUGUGGUGUUGACGUUGGCGUCGUUGGUGCCGUUGUUUAAAGGAGUGAGCGUGCAGUCGAAGUCGAGUGGACUGAUGACAUCAGAUGCAGAGCUUUGGAAUGGGCGGGUUGCGAUGUUGGGUCUGGUGGCUUUGGCUUUUACUGAAUAUGUUAAAGGCAGUGCCCUUGUCUAGAUAAUGUAUCAUAAACUUUUCUAUUACAGAAUUACAUCUAAGAUAGACAAAUGUAUAUUGUUUUGAAUAUUUAUGUUUAUCGAUUUACCAUACAUAGUUCAAAUCAUAAAAAGCAUGUUUUUUGAUAAUAUAGUAUAAAACAAAUAUAAUAUCAAUCAAAUUGAACGAUGUUGUGGUAUCUUUCAAUAUAAAAUUCUCUUUAUAAAAAUAAACAAACAACGUACUAAGAUAAAUUUUAGAGGAAUGAACUUAGAUUAGCAAUAUAAGAGUCAAAGUCUACAAAUUAAGGUAUUGAAAUCCUAGUUUCACAACUUCCUCUUUGAAUGUUGAACUGAGGUGAUCUUCAUUAAUUCAGACUGAAUAAGUGACUUAGUCCAGCCUAGUCAAUUAGCUAAUUUAAGAUGACAAGUAUCCAAAAUUCAAAAACAUUAUAGAGCUCAAUUUCAAACAAAAGUGACAAAUGACUAAUGCUCACAAAACGAUCACCGAAUCAUUCAAAGCAUUUACUAAAAGCCAGUCUAAUUCUUAUUGGUUUGAAAUCUAAUUUUAUCAUCAACUGUAUACAAGAUUGAGAUUGAUAUCAGAGUAAUAAUCUCUAAAAGCAAAAUAAUGUAUUCAAAAGAAUAUAUAUACAAAAUGAAUUAUGUCCCAAGCAGUACUGUGCAUGAGUAUAAGAUUACUAUUAUGUUGGGAUCCAUUAAUUGAUAACUAAGCACACUUCCAAAUUUACUAUAUGGAAUUUAGUUAAGGAUUAAUGUCAAGUGGGGUGCAUCCACCCCACUCAAAGGCCUUGUAUAUGUUACGGUCCCAAGUGAUAUUUUAUAAGGGUCUUUUUGUAGUUUUUCUUUUCCUAAUAUAUUAACAUUUUUUUUUGAUAUUUUUGGAACUUUUUAUUUUCUGAGAAAAGUAUACAAAAUAAUGUAUAUACAAGCUUACUUGAAGAUAUGAUCGUUUAUGAGGUUAUUCAAGACUUAUUCUCUUGAAGUAUCUAUUCCUAGCUAGAUAUGAACAAAUGUGUUUGCAUUUAUCCUUUUUUGCCCUUUGUCAAUUCUUGACUAAUAAGGUAAUGGUAGUUCUUGGUGAGGGAUUCACCUCUGUAUUGAUUCUUCAUUCUAUUUAAAUGUUUGGAUUCACCUCUGUAUUGAUUCUUCAUUCUAUUUAAAUGUUUGGAUUCACCUCUGUAUUGAUUCUUCAUUCUAUUUAAAUGUUUGGAUUCACCUCUGUAUUGAUUCUUCAUUCUAUUUAAAUGUUUGGAUUCAACAAUGUCUAGUUGAGUAGUUCUUUAAAAGCACAUUCUACCAUAUGCAUCUUUAUGUCAAUAUUAAUUGGGGAUUCCAUAAACUGAAACUCUUGGAGCUCAAUAGUGUAGUUGAAAAACUUUUGUUGAGCCCACCACUUACAUGAAAUAGGAGACUUUUUUCAAUAAACUAAGUGGUUCCUUCUUUAUGGAUCAUCUUUUCGUUUCUCCUUUUGAAAGGUCCCCUGGUGAUACUUUUAUGUGUUAAUGAAACUCAGUCCUUAUGGCAUGCUUUUUGGAUAUGAUAGUACGUGACUAUCAAGAGCUUAUUUCUACUCAGUAUAGUCAUACUCUCAUAAGUCUCUCAAGAUUUUACACUCAGAAGCAUCGUUAGAUUGUAUGGCUACCUACCUUGUACUAUAAGCAUGUUUAUUAACAUUUAGGGAUUUAUUUAGAAGGAUAUCAUUUUUCAUAUUUUUUGUCUAACACCAGAUCUUUUUUCUCAGCUCAAUUGUUUCAAGUAAAACUAAGUGUCUUCUUGAUUCGACAACAAACCAUUGGUCAUCUUUCCGAUUUCAAGUAUUUUGCAUAUCCUCUCAAAACUUCUUUAUUUUUUAACACAAAUUCAAAAACUAUUAGGUAUCGGGAUUUUAAGGCUUCUUUAUUUUCACCCUCAAUUAGAUUCAUAUUUUUCAUUGCCUUGCAGAUUUCCUUUUUAGUUUGAGUCUAUUUAUCACGAGCCUGAAGUCAUUUUCUUCCCCUACCCUUGUUAGUUUUGGCUAUUGCUAGUGCACGUACUUCAUUGGCUAAAUGAGAAGACACCUCGAUAAUGGUGGAUGACUUGGUGAAAUUUAUAGGUUGUUCCUUAGGCUAUCCAAAGUGGAGGUAGAAGAAGACGCAUGAUGCUGAAUGGACAUCCAAGUCAUGCGUGAACACUGCCCGAUGGCUUGGCUAUGGAGUCUCCAUGAAGACGAUGCAUUCGAUUGGUUUAGAAUCUGGUCCCUCAUAUUUUCUCUCCUCCUUUUUGUCCCUUCACUACCAACCCACCGGUAAACACCAUUUCCACAACCUAAUGGGUUGAUUGUGGAAUGGUAAACUACCUAUGUGGCGCUGAGUUAGAAGGUGUUUUGGAUAUAACCACUCCCCACAACCUUAGCAUUAGAACAUCCUGAUGCUCCACAUGAACUAAGAACAUCACUUAAUCUUCAUUAAAUACUUUGGGGUUGUACUCAUAAAGUAAAAUAUCUCCCCCCUUAGACAUAUCAUCAUUUUCCUCAUCUGAUGACCAAGGAAUUUGUGGAGAUAUAUGUGACUUUGGAUUAAAGGGGGUUAUAUUGGUCAUCCUUUUUAGACAACUUUUUAAAUUAAUCAAUCCAAGCUCCUAUACCGACGACAUUUUCUGGAAUCUCUUUAGAUGGGGAUGAUGGUUCAUUAAGCGACGACAUUUUCUAACCGUGUACCGACGACAAGUCGUCACAGACAAGUCAGGAUAGGUCAAAAAAGUCGUCGGCAUAGGUGUCGUCGGGAUAGGUACCCCAUAUACCGACGACAUGACGUUGGUACAAGUACCGUCUGGAAUGAUUUUCGAGAAAAAAAAUAAAGUUUUAUUAAUUACUUGUGGCGACGACAUGUCGUCGGGACAGGUGCCACCUAUAGCGACGCCAUUUUGUCGCCACAUGUUUUCCACAAAUAUCAAUCAAAUACCUAUAGUGGCGACUAGUCGUUAGGAUAGCCACUGGGUGUUUUUUUUUUUUUUUUUUUUUUUUUUUUUUUUUUUUUUAGUUUUUACAGAUUUUGUACAUUUACCAUUCGUGCAUUUUUAACAAAUCCAAACAUUUUGCAGCAUAUAUCAAAUAAGAUACAAUAACUGGGUACCAUUGUUUAAAUUCAAAACAUCAAAUUCAAGUUUAAUAUUACAUACCGAAUUAGAUAAAAUAAGUAGUUAACAUUGUUCAAAAUAACACAAAACAUAAACAUCAUUAUAUUCUUUUUUUUUUCUUCUUCUUCUUCUUCCAUCCUCUCGGGUUCACAUUUUGUUGAGAGGUAUUUCCUUGUGAUGUACUUCCUUCUGUGUUGGAAUUGAAUAGAAAACUAGCAAACGGUGGUGGUUGUGUAACAUCCCAAAAAUUUUAACAAAUAUGAACUUUUCAAAACAACCCAUUUAUUAACAAAAGUGUUUACAAAAACAUGAUUUAAAAUUAGAGUCUCCCAAGAUCCACUUUGUUCUAAAACCGAGGAUGCGUACGGUCACGCCUUUGCCUUGCCAUGAAUCAUUUGAAGAAACUGAAACCAUAAACAAAUCGUAAGCAAGAAUCUUAGUGAGUUCCUCCAAAAUACCACCGCACAAACAGAUAGCACAUAAAUAACGACAACAUGUACUAGGUCCACAACUAAAAGACUGGAUUACCCCUGAGCCUAUAAUAUGAAUCUGGCUUGCCUAUUGGGCCCACAACUCAUAUCUGGUUUGCUCUUGAGCCCACAACAUAAGUCAGACUUGCCCCUGGGGCUCACAACUUAUGUCAGGCUUGCUCCCAACUCAAUCAGUCAUCGGACUAGAAUACCAAUGUUCAGCCCUGUGACAACCUGAAAUUUCCAUUCUGAACAAACCAUAUCAAUCCAAUAGAAGUUAGAACAGUUACAAUGAAAUUCCAGACUUUGGGCAUAAGUUUGACAGUUUUUCAGGAUUUACACUUAAGGAGAUAUCAGGAGAGUGGAUGCACUAGGGUUUUGUGCAACACUGUUAUUCCAAAACUCUAGGAUAUUAGGGUUCAAUUCCGGAAUAAAAAUAUUUUCUGCCAAAAAUCUCAGGACUAUAUAUAGAAAUCUGAGCCAUAUUCAUUCAUUAGUUACAUUUCCAACUAGAGAAAAGCCAAAUUCUCUCUCACGGAUCUUCAGGUUUUUAUCCCAAAUCGUGAGUACUUCUAUCUAGUUGUAUUAUAUAGCUUAGAUUGUUUUUUAUAACAUCAAAAUCGGAUCAAAACCCCAAGAUUUGGGAGUUUACCGCCCAAGAACACUUGGAGAGUAAACUCCUUUUUAAGGGCCAAAAGUGUGCCCAAUGUCCCUCAAAGCCUUGGGAAUGAACCUAGAAGCUACCAUUACAUGUUUAAGACCACAAAACAAUUAAGAAUCAUGGCUAGAAGUGAGUUCACGGCCAAGGAAGUUCUUCGUCCGUGAACUCCAUUUUUAUGUGCCAAAAUGCCCUAAAAGCCUUCCUUAAGCCAAGAGACUAAUUUAGACAUGUACCUAGAUGAGUUUAGGACUAGCAAACACCUUUAGAACACCAAGAGUAAGGUGUUCACGGCCCAAGAAGUUCUAGGGUCGUGAACUCCAAACAAUGGUGCCAAAUGGUGCUAUAAACUCUCCUAAAGCCUUGGACAAUUUCCUUGCUUCAUUCUUAGAUAAAUUAGGGACUUGAAAACACCACAAACACCCUCCUAAGGGAGAUUACGGCCGUAAUCUCCAUGGGAUAUGGUCCAUGGCGCGUGAACUCCUCAAAGGAGUUAAAAGGAAGCCCAAACACUUGUUUAAGCCUAGAAGCACUUCACCACUUAAGUUGUAAUAAUGUUAGGCUUCAUUUAGUGACCCUAUAGAGAGUUUACGGCCAAGAGUUUACUCCCCUAGGCCGUAAACUCCAACACAUAUGGUCUUUUGACCAUAAACUCCCAUAAGAGGUCUUGCACUCCUUUGUUGCAACCCAUUAGCCUCCUAGCACUUGACCAAAGUGUUUUCCUCACAUUAGGAUGUUUAUACAUGUUUAAUUAGUGUUAUAAUCACUAAUUGUUUAUAUACAUAUGUCUUCAUAUGUAAUUAGGACCAUUGUGUGUGUCUAAAGUCUUCACUUGACACCUAGCAGUCCUACCUCUUCAGUUCAUCCGUAUCACCCACAACAGGUGAGUUUAUACCUNGGGGAUACAAGUAGAAUUAUGCUAAUUAUUAUAUCAAUCACAGGUGAUUAAUAAGCAGCAUUCAAAUGAUUAGCUACUCAUUAGCCGUUUUACCAAACCGUUUCCUUCAAAUGUUUUUCAUAAACACCUUAUGUGUUUAAAACUCCUUAUUACACUGUACCUUUUAUUCUGUAUGUUUCAAUUCAAACUUAUUUACAAUUGUGUUUCAAACAAAUGUUUCUUUAUACUAAACUAUUUUGUCAAACCCAUGCCUUCAAAACCGUUUUAUAGAUUGACAUCAAGUCGAUCUUUUCUUAGAUAAUAAUUAUGUUCAAAGGUUUUACAAAACUUAUUUUAUGUUUUUAUAUUAUAAAUUGGAUGCCUAUAUAUGCAUAGUUAUAUAAUAAAUGUUGAAAGGACUUAGGAAGGCUAUCCACCCUAUUUCCUUUUCCUCGAUUUGGAUGUGGUCUGGUGGGAUAUCAGGUACCCGUCCGAAGGUUGUUUAAAUAUUAAUUAUAUAUCAUGUGUACGUAUAUAGUCAUAAAAGUCCUUCCAGCUCAGCCAAUGCCCUUGGGUAGCAAGGGUAUAUUUAACAUCCCCCUCUUGCACGUAUCACAAUAUUAUCCGCUUUGGGCCACUCGGCACGAGGACUUCCCAGGGGGUCACCCGUCCUGGUACUACUCCCGCCCGAGCACGCUUAACUACAGAGUUCUUAUGGGAUUUGCUGCCCUCACGGCUUUAAAACGCGUUGUGCUAGGGAAUGUAUCCACACCCCUUAUAAGGAAUGCUUAGAUCUCCUUCCCAGCCGAUGUGGGAUCAGAUCUAACCCACUUUCACCCCCCAUUAUAGGGUUCGACGUCCCCGUCGAACACAUCGACCCAUGCCCUGGCUCUGAUACCAAUUGUGACAUCCCCUAAUUUCUCGGCCAGAAAAUACCGAUUUAAUUUAUGCUUUUUAAAAUAAAAUCAGAGAAAUCUUUUUAAAAGAUGUUGCGGAAUUGGUCCCCAAACAACAUAUGAUAAAAGUUUAUCAAAAUCCUUCAUUAAGAAGGUAUAUAUUUUCCAUAUAUAUCAAAACCUCGGGAUUUCAUGUUCCGAUACAGAUCAAAAGCAUAAACAAGACAUUAUAAGCCUUUCAACAGUUAUUUACAACUACUGGCCUAUAAUCCAAAAAUUCUCUCGUCGUCCUCCGACUAUGCUCAGGGUCCACUACCUGUAAUCAUAAAAACUGAGUGGGUCAGGCUUGGGAGUCUGGUGAGCAUAUAGGGGUUUCAACCCACAAUAAUAAUAUACUUAUUAAGUUCACCAAUCAACAAUAACCCUGAUUACCCAUUCCCGUUGUCCUCACUUUACGUCCCUAAACACCUAUCACAAGGGACCUAGCCUAAGGAUUAUCAUCGGGAUGGACACUACUGCUAAGGGGUUUCCUCAGCCAUACAUGUCCUUAAGGCAACCAUGAGGGGGAUGAAGUACGCCAAUGAACAUUUAAUUCAUCAACACCUACAAGUUGCGAACCUGCUAGUGUUCGACUGGACUAUCUAGAAAGUCUGUGGUCGUCAUCUAUACUCCGCUAGAUGACUACAACAACAACAACAACAACAUCGAGGCCUCUCACCUUUUUAACACACAUCAACUAUUUCAUCUACCCAUGUUCUACCCAACAUAUUUUGUAGAUAAAAAGAAUAUACAGUUUGAAACUUGUAUAAAACAUCAAAUCAAUAGUCACCUUAGUUAAACAAUUACUAUAUUUACACAUAACACGUAUUUCAAGGUAAAUACUUCAUAUCUAUGUGUAAAUUGAAAGUAACUACACACUCACAUAUUUUGAUGAACAUCGGGCAACAAUUCAUUUCCUAAAACGAUCGUUUCUAAUAAAACCGGGAGUUUUAUUGAGAAACUGGGCUCUGCAAAAGUCGGGGUUUGAAACCGAAAAGAUAAAUUUUCCGGGCUUCACGGGCACUUCGUGGAGUAUUCCGGGCUUUACAAUCGAUACCGGGGCUUUGCGGGAUGUUAAGAUGAAGAAAAUAUGGGUUUAGGGGUUAAAUAUGGCAAAAUUUCAAAGUUACCUGGGAGGUCUCGCACCCUUCUAUUUAUAGGGGCGAGGCUUCUGAUCCAACGGAUAGAAAGAGGACACGCGUCGCAGAUCCGAAGGCUCGCAGGGAAGCCUCGCACGUGGCUGCGCAUGGCUCGCACCUGUGAGGGGCUCGCUGGCAGCUUGUGAUUGGACCGAGGUCUAGGGUCCGAAGUAGAGGGUUCGUGGCAUGUUGCGAGGGCUCGGUCUCGUGCAUGAGGGUACGUGUCACCUUCUCAGUGGACCACUUCGGAUAAGGCCAUGUGCUCGGAUGACUCAGCAGCUCGGGUGACUCAACAGCUCGGAUGACUCAGCAGGACACAUGGCACUUUUUCAGCGAGGGUGACGUGGCAACUCGUGACUAUGCGAAUUUUCUCGAUUUUCGCGCCAAAACUUCUAAAAUCCAUAACUUUCGCAUACGAGCUCCGUUUUUGACGUUCUUUAUAUGCACGCGUAGCUAAAAUUACGCUCUACAACUUCCGUUUAGACUUCGUCGGCUAAUUUUGAAUUUAAAUUUUAUAUUAUUAUUUUUAACAGACCGGGACAGGAAAUCCGUUAAAAAUUCAUAACUUCUUCAUCCGACGUCCGUUUUCAUCAGAAUUUUUACCGUUGUGCUCCUAAUGACGAGACCUUCAAUUCUCGUUUAGGUUGUGUCGGCUAAAAAUCGCUCGAUCUAAAAUUCGAGUUUUUUAGCUGUCUACUGCUAAGCUGAAACUUCGAAAAAUCAUAACUUCCUCAUACGAAGUCAGAUUUGGGCGUUCCUUUUAUCGAACUUCUCAGUUUAACGACUACUACGACUUUCAUUUAGAUUACUAAGGCUAAAAAGUAGUUUAUCGAAAACUCACUUUUUACAACAUUCAGCACCGUGCCGGUUUUGUCGCGAAACUUCGACAUGUCAUAACUUCUUCGUUAUAACUCGGAUUUUGGUAUUCUUUAUAUCCCCGAAAUCCUUGUUUCGACCACUACAAAUUUAUGUAAAGAUAUCGGGCUUAUCUCCCACUUUAAUUUUGACGCUUAUUUUUAUUCUUAACUAAUUAAGCCCUAAUAAUUAAGCAUAAAACACAUAAUUCAUAUAAUAUUCACAUAAUUCCUUUUCAUUUCUUCAAAAUGAGUUACAAAGGUUAACCUAGACUAUCAACUCAAUAUAAAUGCCUAGGAUAGAAACAUGAGUGUUACAAAUUGUAUCAAGACAUGUUAUAUGGACGUGUUGAACUUCCGUGUCCAUUUCUCCUUCUGCUGUUUGUUCUUCUAAAGAAUGAGGAAAGAUAUCCAAGUCUAGCAUAUGCAGAGAACUAGCAACAAGUAGAUCUAAGUCGUCCAAGUUGUUGGCAAUUUCGACUGGACUCGUCGGGUCUAGGAAAGUGACUCGGUGAGUCAGAUCAUAUUUCACCAUUUCCACUGUGUUUUCCGAGUCGGCUCCUUCCAGUAGCUUUUCUAUCUCCUCCAAGUCCUUGUUAACAUCUCCAUCCUCUCCAGAAGGUAGCAAAAGCUUGCUUGGAUCUUCUUCUUGCAAAAGUGCAAGUUCUUUUUGUAGUAUCUCAUCAUCCAAAUCGAUAAAUGAGAUAUCUUCUUUUCCUUCCUCUUCUUGCUUGGCUUCUGGUAAAGCUCUAAAUAUUGCUGACUCGUCUCCUACCCUUAAUGUUAGUGUAGACUCGCAUACAUCAAUUAAAGCACAUGCGGUGUUUAAAAAUGACCUCCCCAAAAUAAUCGGAAUUUCGGGGUCUUCUUCCAUAUCAAGCACCACAAAGUCUACUGGAAAUAUGAACUUGUCGAUUUUAAUAAGAAGAUCCUCACAAACGCCUCUUGGAUGAAUUGUUGUCUUGUCUGCCAAAUGGAUCUUCAUGUUUACCGGCCUUGGCUCCGAUAAAUUCAGUUUCUUGAAGAAAGAGAAAGACAUUAGGUUAAUGCUUGCACCUGAGUCGGUCAACGCUUGAGUGACAAAUGCAUUUCCAAAUUGGCACGGAAUUAUGAUACUCCCCGGAUCGCCCUUCUUUUCGAGUAACUCACUCAAUAUUAUUUCCGUGACUUCAGCCAAAUAUUUCCUAGCAGCAAAGAGACCCUUUAGUAAGUUGAAGUACUUGGGUGUUUUAAGCAUCGUUUCUACAAAUGGCACAUUGACUUGUAGGGAUUUAACAUGCUCCAUAAAAGCUCAAUAAGCUUCAACUUUUUCAACUGGCAUGGCUUUGAUUGGGAAUGGCAAAGGGGGAUUAUAUGGCUUUAAGGGAAUGACGGUUUUGUCAUUAACGCAUGGACUCGUCGAGUCCAUUAGAGGGACUCGGCGAGUCUUGUCGGGCUUAGCUGGAGCCGACUCUUCUGCCUUUUCUGUCUUCCUAUUGGAGAUCCUCUGUGCAUGUGUGAAAAUUUCUUCAUUGCUGGAAGUUACUGCACUCACAUUCUCCAUUCUCGGAUUGUUUUCGGUGUUACUUGGAAGUUGACCCGGUCUUCUUUCGUUCACUUGAUGUGAAAGUUGUCCCAGCUGUUUCUCAAUGUUGAGAAUGGAUGCCUGCUCAUUCCUUAGCAUAUUUCUGGUCUCGUGUAUUGCAGCAUCGUGAUCAUUGUGUCUCUUUUCGGACACGGCUAUGAAUCUAGUGAACAAUUCUUCUAAAUCGGCUUUCUUUUCCAUUACCGGUUCUUCCUUUUGAUAAAAUACCCUCUCCUUCUGCUUGUAUUUCUCCUCCUUAUCCUUCUUGUAUUCUUCGUAUGGGAGCCAUUCCUUCUUCGGUUUCCCCCAAUUCUCGUCGUAUCUAUCGCCACUUGAGUAGAACACUUGAGCCUUCUUGUUUCCAUUUUCAUCCAAAUCACAAUCCUUUGUGAGAUGGGGCCCUCUACAAUUCUCACAUCCAACAUGAAUAGCAUGGAUUGUUUGAUCCAUUUUUGUCAUCCUUCUAUCUAGACUAUCGAGCUUAGCUAUCAUCGCCGCCAUGCUAUCAUUUGCCGAGUUCACUACCCCCCGACUUACUUCAUUUAUUGGAUUGUGGUAUUCUCUAGAAUGCUUAGAGAAUUCUUCAAUUAACUCCUUGAUUACCGGGGGCGCCUUCUUCGUGAGCGGGCCUUGUGAAUCGAGCAAUUGCCUUGUGGUGACAUUGACUCCAUCAUAGAAAAUGGAGACCUCUUGUUGGAUAUUGAGGUCAUGGUGUGGGCAAUUUCUAAGCAAGCUCUUGUACCUUUCCCAAGCUUCAUAAAGAGAUUCUCCGGGUUGUUGCUCGAAGUUGGCAAUGGCUUUCUUUAGUUUAGCUAUUUUGGAGGGCGGGCAAAAGUGGUCUAUGAACUCUUCUUUCAUCUUGGCCCAUGUGGUGACCGAUCCGGGAGGAAGUGACUUGAGCCAAUCCUUUGCAUCACCCUUGAACGUGACUGGAAGCAUGCGAAGUAGUUGGGUCUCGCGAGGCAUAUUUGGUACAUUGAAGUAGUCAGCCACAUCAUUUACUUCAUCCAAGUGCUUGUAGGCGUCUUCGUGGUCCUUCCCAUAAAAAGGAAUCUCCUUGAGUUGAGCGAGAAUAUGGCCUUUUAGUUCGAACGUAGUGGUUGCGGGAAUUGCGGGUUGCACAAGUCCCGAGCCGGUGUCAUCGCGCAUCCUUUUCUUCCAUUACCCCAUGGGGACUUCAUCGAUAUUAGCCAUAGCGAUAGCUAAAUCGUCUUCAAACUCGGAUUCUUGCUCGUAUGUGGGUUCUUCUUCUUCCUCGGUCUCGUACUCGAUGUCUUCUUGAAUUGGGUCUCUGAUUGUCAAAGAGGCACUGGAUGCUCCUGAUUUGCUGCUCCUUGUCUUGCUGAAAACGGACUUGAGGUUUUUGAGUGGUAAGUUCUUUGAAGAAGCGGAUUCUCCAACGGUUUUGCCUUUGCUCCUCCUUAGUGCGGAUUCCGGGUCUUCAAGAGGAGGGACCAGAGGUGUAUCAGAUCCUCAGGUCAUGAAACAACUGUAAACAAAACAAAAAACGCGUAAAAAGAACAAAAAAUAAAUAAAAAUUAAAACUGUGAAUCAGCGAUGUACUCGCCGAGUCGGCACGAGUGCACUAGGCGAGUCUGGUCAAAACAUAGAAAAAUUUUUCUAGUUACUUUAAAAACGGAUUUUUAUUAAAACUUAUACUACUUACUAAAUUACCUUUUAAAUAACUUUGUGUAAGAUAAAUCCCACACAAAUGAUCGAUUAAAUUAGAAUUUAACGUUAAUUUUAGAACCGUUCCCCAGCAACGGCGCCAAAAACUUGAUGUGUGCAAACUCACUUAGUUUUAAACCUACUUUUAAUUUUAAAAUAAACACACAAAGGCAGUGGACCUAUCAAUUGUGGUAUAGUUAAAUAAGUAGGGUAUCGAACACAGGGAACGGCAAAUUAAAACUAAAAACUAAUUCUAUCUAAAUUAAUUAAUAAGUAGGAGGUUUUCUCUAGUUUUUCAAGACUAGAAACUUACUAACUAUUACUUAUUCUAAAACUUAGAAAAACAAAGAAUUAACUAGAUUCAAUAAUGGGAAGGAACUUCUGUUUAGUUCAACUCAAUUGAUCCUAUGGUUGAUAUCAAGGUAAUGGUGCAAUGGAUUAACUCUUUUGUUGGUUACCGAUUCAAGUGAUUAGAUUUGCGUUCACUACACUAAUCCUUAGCAAAUAAACUAACUUAAACAGUGGCCAGUUGUCUAAUUUAAUUAAAUUCACUAGAUUAAUUAUUCGGGUUAAUUUAGACUUGCAAUAGUUAACUAAUUUGGUCCUUUAAUUAACUUNUUUGUUGAUGGUCAUCACAAGCUCACACAUGAAUUUACUCAAUUUUCUUAUUAAUUCUAGUUUCAUGUUCAUUAAUCCUAGACAUAUGACAAAGUGGUCACAUAGCAUAUGAGGUUGAUAAUCAAUAGAUGUUCAUGCUAUUCAAUUACCUUCCUAUUAAUAGAAAAUUAAUUAUCAUUCACACACAAGGUUCUUUAGCAAGCUAAAAUAACAAAAAUCACUAACUUUAAAUUAAUCCUACCAAUAAUCAAACCAUAGUAUCAAUUUUGUAUCCCCAAACAGAAGUUUAAGAGUUUUAGCUCAUGAUUGAAGUAAAUUACAGCAAACAAACAGAUUUUAAUUGUUUAACCAUUAUGAAAAAUAAAAAAUUAAGUAGAAUGAUGAAAUUUGCCUCAAAUCUCCUUCGGAAUUGGAUUCUAGCUUGUAUCUUCGUCCUCUAGGUUUUUUCUGACUCUUCAAUCGCAGCUAACCUCUCCAGAAUCGUUCCAGAAUUCCUCCCCAUCGUUCUCAGAAGUUAUCUUUAUAUAUGCAAAACGACUCGUCGAGUCAGAUGCCGACUCGUCGAGCCCAUCUCUAAGUCCCCGUAUGCGAUAAGUCUCUAGGUCUCCGAGUCUUUAUCUUCUCGAAUAUUCGCUUGGGCUCGCCGAGUAGUUGACCCUACUCACCGAGUAUGUGUUGUUUUUAGUGUUUUUCUUCUUUGUUCGAUUCCCGAGCUCUCAACCGCUUCUCCUGCUUCCUUUUGCUUCCGAGCUUCACUUUUGGACUGAAAACAUAAUUCAAACACUUUUAAGUACCUUUUGUCCAUGAAAUGCAAUAAUUUAGCUAAUAAAUGAAUAAAAAUCUACACUUAAUAUGAACUAAAUAUGCACAUAUCACUUUCCUUAGAUUCAUAGUCUCUCCAACCAAAAUUCCUAGAUAAUUGAAUGGGAUGGAUGAAGGUUCACAUCCAAGAGGAGCUGCCCAAUUUAUUACUUCCAUGUGGGUAGCUCCUAUCCCAUACACCUUCGAUUUCCUAAAGUUCACCUUUAGCCCCGAUGAUACACAGAAGCACCUUAAUAUCCGGGCCAAGUUUGCAAUAUUUCGCCUUGACCAUUAGCCUAUAAACAGUGUGUCAUCUGCAUAGAAUAAAUGAGACAAACAUUGAUUAGAUUGUGAAAAUUUGAUGCCUUCGAAGAUUCCUUUUUCCACAACUGUCUUCAUCGCCUGAUUUAAUCCUUCAAUCACAAUGAUAAAAAGAAAUGGGGAGAGUGGAUCUCCCUGUCUGACACCUUUUGACAUAGAGAACUCCUUGGUCGGACUGUCGUUGAUCGACUGGGAAGGAGAACUAAGCAUUCCUUAUAAGGGGUGUGGAUACCUUCCCUAUCACAACGCGUUUGAAAACCGUGAGGGAAGCAGAUCCCAUAGGAACUCUGCAGUUAAGCGUGCUUGGGCGCGAGUAGUACCAGGAUGGGUGACCCCCUGGGAAGUCCUCGUGCCGAGUGGCCCAAGACGAACAAUAUUGUGAUACGUGCCAGAGGGGAAUGUUACAAAUGGUAUCAGAGCCAGCGCACAGUUCGAUGUGUUCGACGAGGACGUCGAACCCUAUAAUGGGGGGUGAAAGUGGGUUAGAUUUGAUCCCACAUCGGCUGGGAAGGAGAACUAAGCAUUCCUUAUAAGGGGUGUGGAUACCUUCCCUAUCACAACGCGUUUUAAAGCCGUGAGGGCAGCAGAUCCCAUAAGAACUCUGCAGUUAAGCGUGCUCGGGCGGGAGUAGUACCAGGAUGGGUGACCCCCUGGGAAGUCCUCGUGCCGAGUGGCCCAAGGCGGAAAAUAUUGUGAUAUGUGCCAGAGGGGGAUGUUACAGUAUAUAGCCAUGUUCAUACGUACCAGUUAAAUUACUAGUAAGCUAUUGACUAUCCUACACCUUGCUGCUUGCUACAGCCGGACGUCAUUUCUUUCUACAUAUAGAUCAGUUAAGUCUUGGUAGAAGACUCCCUGUUAUAGUAGUAGGAAUCAUAGGGAUUUCUAGAGUUUUUCAAACGUUUACAGUUGUUUUACAUACAUUUUCAAUACUUACGAUUUACAUACAUUUUCAAUACUUACAAAUUCUUACAUACAAAUUCUUACAUACAAAUUAAGACACUAAAAUACUUAUGAUCUCACCAGCUUCAAAGUUGAUACUCGCUUUCAAAAUUACUUGUAUCCUCAGGUCAAACAUAGACAGGUACCGAUGCAAGGUUUAGAGAAGAUGGAGCUCGUUCAAGACUCAUCUUUCAUUUUGAUUUAUGCCUUAGUGUUUAUCAAAAUUUGACAGAACACAGUUGUAUAAUAAUUAUAUUAUUAAUGCAAUGGAUGAUGUUGCUGCUUGUUUACUACUUUUCAUUGUUGUGAUAUUGUACAUGACGUCCUCCGCCCCAGAACGUUUCCGCGGUUCUUGGUUUUGGGGUGUGACAAGCCCUCAGUAAGAGUCUAGCAUACCAACUGGUCCUCAGAUCAUAUCUGGAAUGCUACUAAUCCCCCAGUAUGAGUCUGGCAUGCCCCAUCCGAGACUCAACUCAUAUCUGGAUUUCUCCGAUACCCUCAACCCCUUAGUACGAGUCUGGCAUACCAAUCGGGUCCUCAGCUCGUAUCUUGAAUGCACCUGAGCCCUUAGUAUGCGUAUGGCAUGCCCUAAUCAGCUCUUAGCUCAUAUAUGGAAUGCUCCAGGGUUUGUUGGCUACAGAACGAAGCAGUACAACCUCAACCCAACACAAUAUGUCGACAAAUAACCAACAUAUACAGAUAAUCAUGCACACAUAAUCAUAGGUACUCCUAUAGAUCUACCAUACUAACAUAUCGGCAACUAGCAUACUCAUGCAGAUCUAUUCCAUACUCAGAAUAUUAGUGAAUUGUAGGAUAACAAACCAAUACACCGGCAUUGGUGCCUUCGACUCGUAAAUAUAGUGAGGAAAAAUCACAUCGCACUGCUGAACAUAAAGACGAUCCAUGGUUGAUGGCUGCCAGAUCCCCGAACCGCCAAUAUCAAGACAACACCCCAUCACAGCUGAUCCCAUGAAUAAUUUCUGACUACAGAACCACUAUGAUCCACGUGCUAUCAAAUACUACAAUGACAACCCAUCAAUAGACCUGGCAAUGGAGCGGGUUUGGAGCGAAUCAGCCUUGAUCCAAACCCUUUUAACAAAUUUCAAAAUCCGAUCCAAACCCGCUCCGUAACCCACAGGGUUUUAAAUAAUCAGACCCAUACCUUUAUCCGCCGAAUCAACGAAUAUUCAAGCCCGCCCCAUAACCCAAAGUUUUUUUAAAUAAUCAAACACAUUUUAAUAAACUCCUAAAAUAAAAUUUCUUAAAUAAGAAACUGUAUACUAUAUCUUAAUACUUAAAAUAACAUUUUUUUAAAUAAAAAAAAUUGAUUUAGAAAAGGACAUUACAUACUCGAAGAAUUUCAAUCGGAAUUAAAAAUCACUAUUGCAACAACUUUGAAUUGAUUUAUGACUGUUGGUUGUAGUGAUAGCGAAUUGCAAUUGCCAUCUUUUUUCAUGUUAAAAAUUGAUUUAUUGAAUUAGAAAUGGAUAUGAUGAUUUCUUGAUGCAAAUAAAUUAAAUGACAUUAUGAUUCUUGAUAGAAAUCUAUAAGUUUAGAAUCUGAAUUAUCGAUUCCUAUGUAAAAGCAUUUUUUUUCUUUGGCCUUUGCAUUUUGGACUUUUGAUUGGUAUUAAAAUUAAACGUUAAGAAGUAUAAAAUAUAAAUAUAUAAUUCUAAAUUUAUAUGGGGCGAGUUAUAAAUGGAGCGGAUCGGUGAUGAUCCAUACCUGACCCAUUUAAUAAAAGGGCUAGUGGGAAUGGAUCGUUAACGGGUAAACGAAUCAAAAACUACACUCCAAACCCAUAUAAUUCUUACGAGUUUGGAUCGGAUUAGGGUCAAAACCCACUUCAUUGCCAGGUCUACCCAUCAACCUUUAGCCCCUGACUCACGUUAUGAGUGAAAAUUAGGGUAAAAGACCUUUUUAUCCUUCUUAAGCUUGGCCCGAAGCCAAGGCCCAACUAAAUGGUUAAUGGCCCAAAAUCCAAAAUAGACUUCUAAGGCCCAAAUAUGGCCCAAUUUUCCAAAUUGGGCCCAAUUCCUUUCUUGGGCCUUCAGCUAAGAAAGUCCAUCAAAACAAAAGCCCAAACCAUAAAAUCUAGAUGGCCUAACAUGGCCCAAGACAAUCCGAGCCCAAAACCGGAGCCAAAAAUGAAGGCCCAAUAGUACCGCAUACGCGGGGAGUACUCCAAAGGCACACUUAGCGUACAUGAGGCUGCGUAGAAUCCACCAUUGGGGUGGCAGAUUGGGUAUGCGGGGCGUACACCUCCCUACGCGGGGCGUACCCUCUUAAAACUCAAUUUCUUCAUAACUGCUUAAUGGCUUAGCAUUUGAGCUCAUACUUCAGAUCCAAGGUCCAGAGCCAUACUAUGGCCAUAAAAUUCCCAACUUUAUGAAUUUCCACGUCCAAAAAGUCCUUAAUGAAAGGUCUUAAUGGAUUAAUACUUUCUACAAGAAGUAUGGAGAAAAACUAGCUAAGGUGAUCUCACUUUUAUGGCUUAGAACCCCUCUUAGGGUCUGAAAGGACAGCCCAAAAUGACCAAAACCAAACAUGCAUAACAAUGGGACUUUUGGGACAAAAAGAACAUCAUAAUGCUACCAAAAUGAGAUCCAAGCAAACAAAGCAUAAAGGUAGAAACUUUUUACCUUCUGGAGCUUCCCAAGAAGAUGAUGAUCCAAGAUCCACAAGCUUGCUUCAACUACUAAUCUCCUUGAUGCAACUCCUUCUUCCUUAAGAACACAAAGAACACACUUUUAGCUCAAAACACUCUCUUAUUGGGUUAGGGUUGCCAAAAAUGACUCAAGGGUGUGGAGGCUGAAAAGAUGAGGCUAAAUGAUCUAUAAAGGUGAUUAAAUACCCCACAAACCCUAAAACUUAGGGUUUUUUCUAACAAGAGUACACCCAUCGUACAUAUGAGUACGCCCAACAUACUAGGGUACACCCUAGUAUGCUUAGCGUAUGCACAUGUACGCUUAGCGUACCACUCCUUCUCCCAAAAUUACGAUUUUUCCAAUAGGGCUUCUUGCGACCACUUCCUUCCAAAACAAGGACCAAAAUGGUAUACUCUAAAGCCAAGAGAUGAAUUUGAAAAUGCCUGAAAACUGGGGCAUUACAGGUUGGGAGUUCGGAAUACAUGUCGCCAAUGAUGCAUUAUAUUGUUGCAAGUAUUCUUGCAUUUGUUGUGCAUUAGAUUGGGAUUGAGAUUGGAAAGAUGUGGAAGUUGAAGCACAUUUAUUUGGAAUUAGACCGAAGUUGGUGACUGGUCUCCUACCCACUACGCGAGCCUGCCCUUGUCUCGUCCUGAGGGCACGUGCAAGCCAUUCUUCCUCAUCUACUUCUUCACCUUACCCGACCCCGCUUUGCAUUUUCUCGUAUUUAUCUUGAAUCUUCUUCUAAAAUAAACAAGAUAAUAAACAUACGAUAAUUAAAACAAACAACUAAACUUAAACAUUAAAAUAAUAAUAAUAUACCUUAGACAUAAACUAUAAUUAAUAAUAAUAACAUAUUUAACUAACGUAUUAAUUUCGCUUAUGACUUACCUAAUCUUGUUGUGCUCGACUUGUACACCAACCCUAGCCUUCUUUGUAGCGCAUUUGUCUCCAACCCUCAAUAUGUUGCGGCUUCAGUCCUAGUUUUUCCUGUAAUAUGUAAAAAACAAUAAAUAUAUUUAUACGAGUGAUAGUAACAUUUUUAAAUAAUACUAAUAUACUUUAUUACUUUUAAAUGACGUCGUUGAGCAUACGACCUACAUCCAUGAGAACUUGUGUCCGGAAGUUUAAUUCGACCUAGUAACUUUAUUUUUGGCCGAUGUGUGUAUAUAUUCAUCAGUAAAAAACAACAUGCCAAUCGUCUUAUUCUAAGCUUUGGCAGACCAAUCAAUCUGUGGAUGUUUUUUUGUCCUUUCCACAUCCGCAUAUCCACCAGCUUUUUCAAAAUGAUUUUCCAUGUCAUGCUUGCAAUCUCGAUAAGCUUUUUGCAUACUAUCUUGGGUACCCGCUCGAACGGGUUCCCACAACUCUGUGCCCUAGUGCAUAUCGGGAUCAAAAUAAGUCUGCAAAAAAUACAUAUUUGAUUAGUAAUAAGAAAUAUUUAAUAAGUGUAAAAUUCAAUACAUAUAAAAUAUUUUGUAUAUACUUACUUCUAGCUCGAGAUAUAAAUUAUCUUCGUACUUGGUAGAAACAUGGCGCCAAGAAUGAUAAUGCAACAGUACCUCUGAUCCCACCAGAUUUGAGAUCAAUCUAACAAAUAAGUGUCUGUUGUCCCGCACGAAUCGAUACGUCCUCCUGGAGGUAUCAAGGCUCACAACCAAAGGAUUACUACCUUUAUCUUCAUACUCAUCGUACAAUUUUAAGUUUCUCCAUCUGCCAUGUACAUUCACAUUCUUCACUUUUGUUACAUUUACACAUAGAAUUGGAAAUUUAGAAAUUUAAAUCCAAUACUUAAUAUUUUCAUGUAACUUACAUGAUUGGCAACCCGAUGGUAAACCAUGUGUGACCAUGUGUGGGGCUCUAUCACCACUGUCUCCUCCAUGUUACCUCAUGACUUCUGCCAUUUAUUUAACAAAUAUUAUAAACAUUCAAAAUCUAUAAUAAAGCUACUUAUAAAUAGGCAAAAUUUAAAAACUUAACACAUAUUAUAAACAAUCAGGAUAUAUAAUAACCGUAACAUACCAUCAAUGAGAAUCAUCACUAGAACAAUAUAACAUCAUCAUCGUUAUCAUAGUCUUUGUUAUUUAUUUCUUCUUCUGAAGAGUACGUAUCCCCACCAUCAUCGUCAUCGUUAAUUGUCACACCCCUGAACCAGACGACGGAAACGUCUGGGGGCUCGUGUGACUAACAAUUGAAUUAUCAUCACAAUGAAUAUACAUGAAACAUUACACAUUCAUCACCAACAUUACAUAUUACAACCAGCAUUGUUCACAGCAAGUACAUUGUUAAAGAUUACAUAAAUUCAAAGUAUUAAUAGUAAGAUAGGUGAUGUUACACAAAAUAAAUCGAUACACUUGAAAAUCUUCCUGCUUAACGAUUACCUGAGAAUACCAGUUAUUUUGAAAAACGGUCAACAUAUAUAAUGUUGGUGAGUUCAUAAGUAUGUGUGAAUAAAAGUCUUUGCAUCUUUUGUAAAAACCUAGAAAAUCUGAUAUUUUCUGUAAAAUGUCUUAAAAUGAUGUGAAAAUCAAGUAUAAAUGCAUGUGUGAAUUUCAUAGCAAUAACAUAUAUGAUUUCAGUUUAAAUUUCUUUGUAUUUUAAGUAAGUGAUAAAUGAAUAAUAGUAUUUCCCUAGAAAAUCUGAGUAUUUCCUGAUUUAUAAUAAUGUCGAGGUUCUUGUAUCAUUAAUUAAGUUGUUUCGUAUUGACACAAUCGAAGGGUUAAUCUUCGAAAUGUCAAAUUGGUAUUGGAUCUCUAUAUGAGCAGUUAUAACCAUGUAUGAUAAUGACUAGGUUGUCUUUCUUGGCAUUUUCCAAACGUCGGUAUUUGCUCAAGGUUUUGUCGCCCAAGACUGGCCUAGUCUAGUUGUAGCGAACAACUAAGGCGUGGGGGGUCACCCCAUAUAGAUCUAUACACAAACUCCCGCUCUCCCUCCAGGAAACUCUGGUUAUAACUACAGACUACGAUUGUACACUCAGAGGUGUCAACCGACAUGUCUCACUAGAUUCUCAACUUUUCAUACCAUGUUUAAUGUUUACGUGAAUGUUGUAUGUUUUCAAAUCCAAAGGUAUAUAUAUAAGUAUACGAACUUUAGGGCUGGCAAUUGUUGACACGAUACGCGACACGACAUGAAAUAAAUGGGUUUGGGUUGAGUUUUUCAACCCGCCAACCCGCUAACCCGUCAACCCACCAACCCGUUUAUUAAACGGGUCAUAUAUGGGUUUCUCAAAAAAUAAACGGGUUGACCCGCCAACCCGUUUAUAUUCUUAAUAAAAAAAUUAUUAUAUUUUUAAAUGUAUUUAUGUAUCAAGUAUUAAUAUUUAAUAUGUAUUAUAUAAUAUAUACCAUUUAUUCAUAGACCAUUUGAUUGUUUUGACAUUAUUACUCGUGGUGGAUGGUCUAAGGUCAUAAGUCGUAACCUAUAAGACUAAGUCUGUAACAUGUUUCUAUGAAUGUUUUUAAUUUUCAUUUGGAUGUUUAAGACUUAAAUAUCUAAAAUUUAGACCCACGAACCCAAAUCUGACCCACGAACCCGCCAACUUGUCAACCCGUAUAAAUAAAUGGGUUGGUGGGUCAUAUAUAGGUUUAAGUUCCAAACCCGCCAACCCGUGACCUGUAUAUUUAAAUGGGUCGUCAUUGGGUUGGCAUAUUUUGACCCGCCAACCCGCCAACCCGCGACACGCCAACUCGAACACAACACGAUUGCCACGCCUAACGAACUUCAAGAAUUAUGUAAAGGUAUAGUUACAAUCUACUAAGCAUGUGAAUUUCAGUCCAAGCCCAACUAGCAUGUAAAUGGACCACAAAGGUCCAAUGACAUGUAAGAAGGUAAUUUAGACCCAAUAGGCAUGUAAGUGGACCACCAAGGCCCAACAAACAUGUAACCUAUAGCUCAGGCCCAAAUUAACAUGUAAAUGGGUCGCAAGGCCCAAUAAACAGGUCAUUGAAAAUAUUGGGCUCAAUAUAUACUUGAAUGGGCCCUUAAGGCCCAUUGGCCAUGUAAUGUGAAUAUUAGGUCCAAUAAAAUUAUUAUCGAUGUAUUUCGUCAAUUCGUUAUUAUUUCAUGGUUUGCUUUAGCUCGAUGUUUACCGAAUUAAAUAUAAAAGUCCCCUUUUUGUAUAAACGACGUUCUUGGCCAAUAAGACUAAAAUUUUGAAUUAAGGCCCAAAGUUUUGUAAAAAUUAACACUUUAGUCCAUAAUGUAUAAAAAUUUGUAAUUUUGCCCCAAAUGUUUAGAAAUUUACGGAUCUAGUCCAAAAAAUUAUAUUUUGACAUUUAUGGCCCAGUUUCGCAGAAUAUUACAUUUUCAGACCCUUGUUUGUAAAAAUGACACUUUUGACCCAGUUUUUAUAAAAGUUACAUUUUUGGUCCAAUUUAGAAAUAUAUGUUAUUUUUACCCCUAAAUUUGGUUUAUUUACAUUUAUGACUAAAACUUUGGUCAAAUAACAUUUUUAAUCCCAAAACUUCCAUUUUUUCGCAAAUUUGGCCCCAAAACCGUGAGGCCCAAAUAUUCAGCCCAUUAGGCUAAAAUUUACGUUUUUGGCCCUUUGGAAAGCAUGUUUAUCAUAAAAAUCCCUUUUUAUACAAACAGGACCUGUUUGGUCCUUUAAAAACCGUAAAUGUCACUUUUUUCCCUUAUCUUUUGUUUUCUUGACAGUUUUGACCCUUAACAAGGUUUUUGCUUUAAAUUUUUGUAUCUUAAACAUAUAAACACUUUUAACUUGAUAAUAUGAUGUAUAAGGUGUUUUAGUGUUGGAUUAAUGUCUAAGUUUAUAACUAUAAUUGGUAAGACUUGACCCGAUCCGGCAUGGUCCAUUUGGGUUGCAUGGCAUCAUGCACUUGGAUAGACUAUAAUGAGAGAAAUAAGACACUUAUGGUUAUUAAUAUAUUAUAAGUUCUAGUAUAUUAAUAAUAAGAAUAAUAAGAUUAUUUAAUUAGUAUUGAUCAAGAAUUAAUCUAGGAUUAAUUAAGUGAUCAAAAGAAGACUAAUUAAAUAUAUGGGUUGAUUGUGUAAAUCAUCCAUACUUAUAUAGUGGGCUAAUGCUCCAUGGAUAAUCAAGUUGGGCUAAAACCCAUAGGAUGGUCCAUGGAUGCUCCAUGGUGUAUUUGAACCCAUGGAUCCAAGGAAAUGGAAAGUCAUGACAAUUAGGGUUUACCCUAAUUGUAACACUAUAUAAAGAUCUUAUUAUUGACCAAAAUCGGCCACUAGAAUCAUUCUAGAGAAGGGCUAGCCGAUUUCAUGUAGUGUAGAUUUCUCUCAAGUUAUUCCAAGUGUAUUUGGUGUUGUGUGAACCAUUUGAGGUGUCACACUUGGGGCACUAGACACUCAAGCUUCAUGAAGACUUUCUACAUCAAAGAAGUAUGUAUUCUAUCUUGUUACAUUCAUUGUUUUGUAUGCUAGAUUAGGAUAAUACCUUGGAAGUUCUUAUUUGCAUGUAUAAUAGAGAAAACAUAGAUCCAAGGUAUUUAGGGUUGCAUGUACACUUAGGAGUGUUAGAAUGCUCAAAACCCAACAGUGGUAUCAGAGCCUAGGCUUGUUUUCUUGUUAUACUUGCAAAAGAAGCUGAAAAAUCGAGUUUUGAUGCUGUCUGCCCAGCAGACUCGCCGAGUCCAUGAAUGGACUCGCCGAGUCCAAGGCAAAAUGCAUCCAACUCGCCGAGUUGGUUCGUGCACUCGACGAGUUGGACCCCCAGACAGCAUAAAUUCGACUUUUUUGGCUGGAAUUGGACUAGGAACAUUACCCUAAGAUGUUUUUGGACUUAUAAACUUGUUUUUGAUGUGGUAAUGUUCAUGCUAAUCCAAUUUCAAAGAUAAUUGUCAAUAGAUUCAUGUUUUGUAUUAGUUUAAGGUUUAGACUAAUUACAUGAAAAAGUUUGAUUUGAAUUAUCUUGUUCUUAUGAGUUGCUUAGAUUAAUAGAAAAGUUGAGUGAAAUAGUUGUUUUCAAUCCAAAUUAAUCUAAGAGUUGAUUCUAAAAUGUGUUUUUGUAACUUGUCCUCAAGUUAUAUGAAAAGUCACAUUUAAGUUUCAUAAAACUCAUAAAAGUUGGCAAAGGUUACAAAAUGAAGAGUCUAGUUCUAAUUAAAUGGUUUUAUGACUCCAUAACUUGUCCUCAAGUUAUGGAGGACCAAGAGUCUCUUCAUUAAAUAAUAAAUAAAAAAAAAAAGUAACCUUAAUUAAUUCCAUAAGUUAUAAAAUAAAGAAAAGUUAAUUCUUUUAUUAGUUUAAAGUCUUCCAUAACUUGUCCUCAAGUUAUGGAACUUGAAGAGUUUUUGGAUUAAAACUACUUUAAACACAUAAGUUAUGGAAUUAAUUAGUUUUGAAUAGUUUCAAAACUUGCCCUCAAGUUUUGGAAUUUGAAAAGUUUUCACUUAUGAAUACUUUAAUUCCAAGUUAGCCCUUAGAAUUUUAAAAGUUAAAAUUCAACCCUUAUACUUUAUAAUAUUAUAAGUUAAUAAUAUAUAUAUGUAUAAGAGUAAAGUCAGUCUUACCGCUAGUACGCCUCAUUCACGAAGCCGGUCUAUAAGGUGGGUAUAAGGUUGUUGCCUAUAAAAUGGCAACUUAAUGGGUGUCCACUCUCACCCACCGCUUGCUUGACUGGUGGAGGGUCGUUAGCCGAACGGGUUUGACAGGACUAGAAUUCUCCCUUCAUUAAAAGUAUUAAUGAUAAUACUAAGUAACUAAACUCUUAAUAAUACCCAAUCUUAGUUACUUAGGAAAAAUGUGAAUAAGGUGCUAAUCCAUGAAAUUACACUUUGCACUUUGUUUAAGUCGGUUAGUGGAGCGUGUGUGGUUAACCGGCACACUAACUCGUAUUUAACAAGGUAGGCAAAGGGUAACUUAAUGUUUAUCAUAGUAUCGAUGGAGCGUGUGUGGUUAACCGGCACAUCGAUUGAGGGGUAAACACUUAAGGGUACCAAGUAAUUUGCAUGGUUACUUCACACCUUGUUUUGUGAUCCUCGGCAUCCCAGUCACAAAACCUGAAGGGCACACUCGAGAUUGAAACAUGCCAUUGAACAGUUCAAUGAAUCUCAAAGAUCUAGGAGUUUCAAAACCAAUUAAAACCUAAUAAUACAUUUCGUUUAUCUUGGUGGAAAUUGGUGAAUCGUCAUUCACCUACCUUCAAAUAUUUUAUAGCUUGGAUUACGGCAUACCUCUUCUAAGUUAUAAAAUAGUUUGUUGGGUCCUAGCCUUAAUAUUUCAUAUUGGGUGUCAUAUUAAGGACUUUAAAUCAACUAUCUUGAAUAUCUCCCAAAAGAUGUCUGGUUUAGACACCUAUGAUCUUCCCAAAUCUCUUGAAACAAGGUUUCCUAAUGAAGAUGAUGUCCCAUGGAUAUCAUACUUCUUCACCUCUUCAAAUUAUUCUCCCUAACCCACAAGUUCUUGAAAAGUUUAAGGUCACUCAGGCCCUAUUGGCAAGGCAAGGUCUAGGUGUGAUCACAUCUUGGAGAUGUAGUCACAUAUUGACAAGCCGGGAGAGUUGGGUGUCAAAGUCUUGAGAAAGUUGGUGGUUCAAUCACUUUCUAAGUCACAUAGUGAGUUCCUUUGGGACACCUAUGAAACAGACUAUGACAAGACCCUUAAUGAUCUUAUCUAUUUGAUAAGAUCAACUUCCUAAAACUUUAUGGACAUUGACAAUGAUAACAUUGGAUAUCUAGUAAAGCUCUCUCUUCCCAGUGGAAAGGGAUCAGCCAUAGUCAACUGGGUUGACCAAAAUGGUAAAGAGAAAAGCUAAGUCUGUGAUAGUCCCGUGUACCAUUAUCAAAGGGUCCAUAUGUUUAUAUUGCCAAAGGAAGGGGGAUUGGUUGCGAAGCUGCCAAAUUUACCUAAAGAUGUUAAAGUCAAUAAGUUUGACUCUACUUCAUGUAAAGUCCACUAUCUAACUCUGUUAAGUUUCUAUUCUGAGAUUCCUGAUACAUGAUGUGACUGGGUCACAUGGUGAUGUUUUAAGAAUCGGAGCAUAUCCUCGAGUGUCUGGAUGGUGCACUCACUCUGACCAUCCGUCUGUGGGUGGUAGGCAGUGCUCAUAUCUAGCUGUGUUCCCAUUGCCUUCUGAAGAUAUUGCCAGAAACUUGAAGUGAAUCUGCUAUAUCGAUUUGAGAUAAUAGAUAUUGGCACUCCAUGGAGUCUCACAACCUCCUUGAUGUAGAUUCGGGUCAGCUUUUCCAUCUUGUAAGAUUCUUUUAUUGGUAGGAAAUGAGCGGAUUUUGUUAAUCUAUCCACGAUUACCCAAAUAGCAUCCAAUCCGUCUGCUAUCUUUGGCAAUUUUGUCACAAAGUCCAUGGUAAUCCUCUCCGAUUUCCACUUGGGUAUCACUGGUUGUUGCAGUAGUCCCGAGGGCUUUUGGUAUUCCACUUUCACUUUGGCACAAGUAAAACACUUGCCCACGAAAGUGGCUAUCUCUGCCUUCAUAUUAGGCCACCAAUAUUGUUGCUUGAUAUCCAAAUACACCUUAUCUGACGCCGGAUGAAUAGAAUAUCGCGUCUUGUGGGCUUCAUGCAUGACUACUUCUUUGAAUCCCUUAAAUUUGGGAACCCAGAUUCUAUUCAUGAAGUAGUGAGUUCCAUCGUCUUUAACUUCGAGCACCUUCUCCAUUCCACGUAGUGAGUCACUAGCGACAUUCUCUGGCUUCAAUGGUUCCAAUUGGUCUUCCUUGAUCUGUGAGGCUAGAUGAGAUUGGAUGGUGAUUGAUAGAGUUUUCACACGACGACUUGAAUACUCCUUUUGGAUCAAGGCAUCGGCUACCACGUUAGCCUUGCCUGGAUGAUAUUUGAUCUCACACUCAUAAUCAUUUAACAGCUCAACCCAUCUCCACUGCCUCAUGUUUAGUUCCUUUUGAUUUAGAAUGUGCUGGAGGCUCUUGUGGUCUGUAAAGAUGGUGCACUUGGUACCAUAUAGGUAGUGCCUCCAAAUUUUCAAGGAGAAGACCACCUCCCCCAAUUCGAGAUGUUGAGUAGUAUAAUUUACUUCAUGUGUUUUCAAUUUUCUAGAUGCAUAUGCAAUUACCUUCCCGCGUUGCAUAAGGACACAACCUAAACCAUGAUUCGAAGCAUCAUAGUAAAUUAUGAAGUCUUUAAUUCCCUUCGGUAAGGAUAACAAUGGAGCACUACAGAGGGCUUGCUUCAAGGUUUGGAAGGCGAUCUCUUGCUUCUCAGUCCAGUUGAAAGGUACGCCUUUCUGUGUCAAUGUGGUGAGGGGUUUGGCUAUCUUAGAAAAGUUCUGAAUGAAUCUUCGGUAGUAGCCCACAAGACCCAAAAAUUGGCGAAUUUAUGUUGGCGUUGUUGGAAUUUCCCAGUUUUUGAUUGCUUUGAUCUUUGAAAGAUCCAUGUGUAUUCCUUCCUAACUAACUACAUGGCUUGGAAAGUUUACACUGCGGAGCCAGAACUCACACUUGGAGAGUUUCGUAUACAACUUUUCAGCUCGAAGGGUCUUCAAGAUCUGUUGGAGAUGUUGACUAUGCUCUUCUUUGCUUCGAGAGUAUAUGAGGAUAUCAUCGAUGAAAACGAUCAGGAAUUUGUCAAGGAAUGGGCGGAAGACUCGAUUCAUGAGGUCCAUAAAUGCAGUGGGGGCAUUUGUUAGACCGAAGGGCAUCACGACGAAUUCGUAAUAACCGUAACGGGUUUGGAAAGCAGACUUAGGAAUGUCCUCAUCUCGGACCUUGAGUUGAUGAUAACUGGAUCUUAGAUCUAUCUUUGAAAAGUAACUAGCCCCUUGAAGCUGGUCAAAUAGAUCAUCGAUUCGUGGAAGUGGAUACCGGUUUUUGAUGGUGAGCUUAUUUAGUUCCCUAUAAUCAAUGCACAUCCUGAAGGAUUCGUCUUUCUUUUUAACGAAAAGAAUCGGAGCUCCCCAUGGAGAGAAGCUUGGUCUUAUGAAUCCUUUAUUCAAGAGUUCACUUAGUUGGCUUGACAAUUCAUGCAUUUCAGCGGGAGCCAACCUAUAGGGUGAUUUGGCUAUUGAAGUGGCUCUAGGCACUAGGUCGAUUCAGAAUUCGAUUUGUCGUUCUGGGGGUAUUCCUGGAAGCUCUUCUAGAAACACAUCCGGGAAGUCACAUGCCACUGGGAUGUUUUGAAUGUUCGCUUCCUCUUUGGUAUUAUCCACCACAUGAGCAAGGAAUGUGUAGUUCUUCUUUUGUAGACACUUUUGUGCCUUGAUACACGAGAUAAGGUAAAGGUUUGCACCGGGUUUAUCUCCGUAGAUUAUUAGGGUUUCGUGAUUAGAAAGAUGAAAGUGAAUGACCUUCUCGUGACACAUAAUAUCGGCAUGAUGGGGGCUUAACCAAUCCAUGCCGAUGAUGACAUCAAAACUCCUAAUAUUUACUGGCAUCAAAUUUAUUUGGAAAAAGUGGUUGUUUAGUGUUAACGUACAUCCUAUAUAGAUAUCUUUGGUUGUUUCAGUGUUCCCAUUAUCCAUUUCCACCGUGAAGGAUUCGUUGAGCUUCUGGGGUUGUUGAUUUAGAAAGUAUUUGAAUUUAUUACUAACGAAACUUCGCUCCGCCCCACUAUCAAAUAAGAUGCAUGCAUACGAGUUGUUAAGUAGGAACGUACCGAUGAUAACAGCUGGGUCCUACACUGCUUCAUCCUAACCCAUUGUCAACACUCUCCCUGCUGCUCCUGCCCCUUGAUUGUUUGCGUUGGGGAAAUUUCUCCUGAAAUUCCCGGUUUUCCCACAUACGUAACAGGUAUAAUUGGCCCCAACAUUGGUGUUGUUGUUAUUGUUGUUGUUGUUGGUGUUGUUGUUGUUGUUGUUUUUUGGCAUCUGGUUUUGUUGAAGCUGAGUCCUGCAAUACUUUGUUGUAUGGCGUUUCUGGUUGAACCUUGCGCAAAUCAUCUCUCUGUAUUCCCCAUGAUGGUGGAAGUUGCAUUUGUUACACUUGGCGAGAUUUCCUGAAUACUGCUUUGGAGCAUUUGGCGUGGAUGAGGCUGGAGCAUGGGGUGUGGUGGUAGCUUGAGUUACAGCAUGGACAGUCACAGUUUGUUGCUUCUUAGAUGAUUCUGAGUUAUGUUUUCCAUUUCUCUUGUUGUUUAUCCCUUUCUUUCUCUCUUCUUCCUUCUUAACCUCCGCUUCCACUGUUUUGGCACGCUUCUUAUUUCCAUGAUCAUACGAUUUCUUGUCCAGUCUCUUGGCGCUAUCAAACAUCUCAGGGUUUUGCUGCAAUAACAUUCCCUUAGAUAGGUGCAGUCAAUCCCUAGAUAAACCUAUCAAUCUUUUUCCCUUCUAAGGUGAUCAUUCCGGGACACAAAAGAGAUAGCUCACUAAACCUAGAUAUGUAUGCGGUUAUAUUGGAGUUUUGAACUGUGAGGUUCCACAACUCUUGUUCCAUCUUCUGAAUUUCACCUCCAAGACAGUAUUCUGCCAACAUCAUUUCCUUAAGCUCUUCCCAGAGCAUCGCGUUCGCUACCGGGAGUGUCAUGGCCUCUACAUGCCCAUUCCACCAGGAGAUGGCUUGAUCAAUGAAUUUGCAGGUUGCGAACAUGACCUUACACUCAUCUGGGCACCCACAGAUUUCAAAAAUGGAUUCUACUUUCUCGAUCCAUCGCUUCAGGGCUAUUACGCCUCCUGUCCCAUUAAAGGUUCGAGGUUUGGCAUUGGUGAAGUCCUUGUAGGUGCAUGUUCGUGUGGCUCCAUGGAUUGUUCCUUGAUUUGUGCUUCCGUUUCCCUGUCGGUUGCCUUCUCUAUUGUUUCCAUUGCGAAUCUGCACAAGUGUUGUAGUGACCGCAACAGACAAUGUUGCCUGGAAUGCAACCGAGAUUAUUUUCGGCGGGUUUGGUGUUGCGUUGUUUCCACGAUUGGGCCUUUGAGGCAUCUUUCUGUCAUGGAACGGAAAGAUGUAGAGUGACUAUUGUUUUGCGAGUUUGGAAUCCCCUAGGCUAGGUGUAUCGAGUGUGUAUUUAAGUAAUUUCAUACAUUAACAUAAAAUAGGGAAGUAAAACACAUAGCAGAUGACAACAUCAUGAUAAAACGUAAAGCAUUUUCAUUAAUACUAAUUGUUUUGAUACAUGAACAUUUGCCAGAAGGCAUACAGUACAUAGGGAAAUAUAAAAUAUGGCAGCAUUACAACCCUAUGAGCAGUGUGAUCACUUAAACAUAGAGUCGAUAGUACAUAGCAUAGUACACAUAAGGGAAACCUAAUAGUAUUAAGAGAUACUACUGGUCCUGAUCAUACUGAGAAGUGCCUAAUGGUGGUGGUGAAAUCAUAUCCCAAAAUGUUAUGCUAAUAACUGAUCCAUCUCGGUCAUCUCUCCGAUGACCUCAUCUUUUUCCUACUCAGUUUGCAUGGCUCGUGCCUCCAUAGCAAAUAGUUGUUGUCGAAGUGUGGCAACCUCCGCUUCCAGAGACCGAUCCUCAUCAACGGGGUUCCCUAGUGGACCAGGGUGGUCCUGGUGUGCCUCAUUGGUAGGUGGUUCGACGGGGGCUUCAUUUUUGUCCCCAUCCUCCUCCAUGUCUUCGUCAGUCCUAUCAAACUCAUAGUCUGUAUUAGUGUACUCGUCGGGCCCAAUGGUAGGGGCUCCUCCUUGUUCCUCCUCGGGAUUCUCCUCAAGCAUCCCAUGUGCCACUAGGGAUUGAUAAAAAUGGACUCCUUGCUGAGCGUCGUCCAUGGUGACUGCAUGAGGGCGUAUGAAUAAGUCAUGUUUUGAUUAUUCCUAUAGUAUAUUUUACUUAUUUAGGUUUGGUUUCCCUAGAGUUGUUGGAGAGUGAGGUAGGCUUUUGGAUUCAUUUCCCGCUAUGAUUACUCCCAAACACAAUUUGGUCAUAUUCUGAAUAAAUAUAGUUGAUCAGGCUAUAUUUAUCCCUAAUAGGACUACAUAACUGCCCAUGUUUAAUUAUAAUGUUCAAUAUCCUCCAAAAGCUUUUAUUAAAUAUUGUUAGGUUAUUAUCCUAAUAUGCGCAUAUAAGUAUGAAAUUUUUGUUUUGUUCACAGUUAUUUAGUCCCAUUGUGUUUAUAGUUGCAUAUCAUGUAUGGUUAGAUAUGCUAGUUCACUAUAAACAUUGCUUUGAUACCAACCUGUCACACCCCCGACCCAGACGGUGGAAACGUCUAGGGGCUCCUGUGACUAACAAUUGAAUUAUCAUCACAAUGGAUAUACAUGAAACAUAACACAUUCAUCACUAACAUUACAUAUUACAACCAGCAUUGUUCACAUCAAGUACAUUGUUAAAGAUUACAUAAAUUCAAAGUAUUAAUAGUAAGAUAGGUGAUGUGACACAAAAUAAAUCCAUACACACUUGAAAAUCUUCCUGCUUAACAAUUACCUGAGAAUACAAGUUAUUUUGAAAAAUGGUCAACAUAUAUAAUGUUGGUGAGUUCAUAAGUAUGUUUGAAUAAAAGUCUUUGCAUCUUUUGUAAAAACCCAGAAAAUCCGAUAUUUUCUGUAAAAUGUCUGAAAAUGAUGUGAAAAUCAAGUAUAAAUUCAUGUGUGAAUUUCAUAGCAGUAACAUAUAUGAUUUCAGUUUAAAUUUCUUUGUAUUGUAAGUAAGUGAUAAUUGAAUAAUAGUCUUUACCCAGAAAAUCCGAUAUUUCCUGAUUUAUAAUAAUGUCAAGGUUCUUGUAUCAUUAAUUAAGUUGUUUCGUAUUGACAAAAUCGAAGGGUUAAUCUUCGAAAUGUUAAAUUGGUAUUGGAUCUCUAUAUGAGUUGUUAUAACCAUGCAUGAUAAUGACUAGGUUGGCUGUCUUGGCAUUUUCCAAACGCCUGUAUUUGCUCAAGGUUUUGUCACCCUAGACUGGCCUAGUCUAGUUGUAGCCAACAACUAAGGCGUGGGGGGUCACCCCAUAUAGAUCUAUACACAAACUCCCGCUCUCCCUCCAGGAAACUCUGGUUAUAACUACAGACUACGAUUGUACACUCAGAGGUGUCAACCGACAUGUCUCACUAGAUUCUCAACUUUUCAUACCAUGUUUAAUGUUUACGUGAAUGUUGUAUGUUUUCAAAUCCAAAGGUAUAUAUAUAAGUAUACGAACUUUAGGGCUGGCAAUUGUUGACACGAUACGCGACACGACAUGAAAUAAAUGGGUUUGGGUUGAGUUUUUCAACCCGCCAACCCGCUAACCCGUCAACCCACCAACCCGUUUAUUAAACGGGUCAUAUAUGGGUUUCUCAAAAAAUAAACGGGUUGACCCGCCAANUGUAAGUGGACCACCAAGGCCCAACAAACAUGUAACCUAUAGCUCAGGCCCAAAUUAACAUGUAAAUGGGUCGCAAGGCCCAAUAAACAGGUCAUGGAAAAUAUUGGGCUCAAUAUAUACUUGAAUGGGCCCUUAAGGCCCAUUGGCCAUGUAAUGUGAAUAUUAGGUCCAAUAAAAUUGCUAUCAAUGUAUUUCGUCAAUUCGUUAUUAUUUUGUGGUUUGCUUUAGCUCGAUGUUUACCGAAUUAAAUAUAAAAGUCCUCUUUUUGUAUAAACGACGUUCUUGGCCAAGAAGCCUAAAAUUUUGAAUUAAGGCCCAAAGUUUUGUAAAAAUUAACACUUUAGUCCAUAAUUUAUAAAAAUUUGUAAUUUCGCCCCAAAUGUUUAGAAAUUUACGGAUCUAGUCCAAAAAAUUAUAUUUUGAUAUUUAUGGCCCAGUUUCGUAGAAUAUUACACUUUCAGACUCUUGUUUGUAAAAAUGACACUUUUGACCCAAUUUUUAUAAAAGUUACAUUUUUGGUCCAAUUUAGAAAUAUAUGUUAUUUUUUCCCCUAAAUAUGGUUUAUUUACAUUUAUGACUCAAACUUUGGUCAAAUAACAUUUUUAAUCCCAAAACUUCCAUUUUUUUGCAAAUUUGGGCCCAAAACCGUGAGGCCCAAAUAUUCAGCCCAUUAAGCUAAAACUUACGUUUUUGGCCCUUUGGAAAGCAUGUUUAUCAUAAAAAUCCCUUUAUAUACAAGUAGAACCUGUUUGGUCCUUUAAAAACCACUUUUUGCCCUUAUCUUUUGUUUUCUUGACAAUUUUGACUCUUAACAACGUUUUUGCUUUAAAUUUUUGUAUCUUAAACAUAUAAACACUUUUAACUUGAUAAUAUGAUGUAUAAGGUGUCUUAGUUCAUGGGUUUUUUACUUAAUGUUGCUUAAGAUGUCGAGACAUGCUAAGAUCUAACAUAUUUUUUACAAAAUAGACUAAGAAAUCACACACGACAUGCAUAUAACACAUAGAUCUACACAUUUUACUUGUAUUCUCCCCCAAAACUAAUAUGAAAACCAAAAACAAGGGGGUAAGAACUCACCUUUGCUUCGAUGUUUCGGUUUUGAAGAAGAAAUGGAAGAAGUUGAUGUGAUUUUUUGCUCUAGCAAGCUCCUUGAGUAGAUUUCGAGCUUAAGAAGUUUCCAAGAGUCUGACCAUGGAAUAAAGCUAUGUAACAAGGAAUUUUUUGAUGUUAAAAUAAAAGGAGAUGUUUGUGUUUGAUAACAACUUACCAAAGAUUGAAAAUGCUUGAUGAAGAUCCUUAAAACUCAAGCAAAAUUUUGAGAUCCUUGGAGAAAGGAGGAUGAUCUUUGAGAGUGUUUGGAGAGGAUUUGAAAGAGUGUGUGUGUGUGUGUGUGUGUGGUUUGCCUCUCGGCCGUGAGUAGAAGAAGAAGGGGGAAAGAGAAGAUGUGAUGGAUACUUAGGAGUAUAAGCUUUGUAUUUGCUUAAUGGGUAAUUAGCUUGGAGAACCACCAUGUAAUUAUCAUGUGUCAAUGCAUGGUAAUUCUCUUAUUUUCCUUUUUUUACAUGUAUAUGAAUGUACAUAUCUAAUGGGCCGAGAAAAAGAAAGAAUGGAGGGGCUUUGGCCUCUUUUUGAUUUGGUUCGAGUUUAUGAGGCCCAUAGAAAGAGGCUUUCGGCCCAUUGGGCCUUUAGGUGUGUUCACGGCCCAUUUCGAAAGAAGAAAGGGUGUUUAUGGCCCAUUACGGCUAAUUAAUUCAUUAAUGGCCUAAUAAGGCCCAUUAAGGAUAAACCAAUUUAUUUUGGACCCAAAAUGGCCCAAAAUGCUAAGUUUCACGGAAGUGGGUCCAAUUAGUGCCCAUUUAAGGGUCCUAAGCCCAAAAUAGUUAAAUUGGAACCUCAUUGGUCCAUUAGGCCCAAUAAGGAAAUCCUAGUCCAAUAUGGACUUAAAUCGGGAUUCUUAGGGUUUUCAAACUCUUUGUUGAACAUGAGAGGUGAAUUUAAAUGAGCAUUGCGUGAUAUUUACUUAAAGUAUAUGUUUUACACUAGUUGAAUGAUUACACGAGAAUAGAGUUUUCUAGCAAAAAUGCUAGUUGUGACAUUAAUGAAAUCGUGAUUAUUUAUAGUAGGAGCAACAUUCCUCAUAGCAACCACACUUGAUUUACCAACUUCACCUAAAGUCAUCUGCAUAGGCAAGGUGCUUAAGUUUACAAACAAGGUAAAAUCAGUUGAUCGAGUUUUGUUCACGACAUCUAUCUCAUUAACAACACUGAUACUUGGAUGAUCCUAAAGUUUUGAUGAUGAACCUCUUCCACAAAUAUCCGUUUAUUGUUUUGAGUAUGAUCUUUGAGAUAAAACACUUGUUUAGCUUGUGUGGAUAAGAUGUAUUAUUGAUCAUCAUACCUUCUUUUAUUGACAUACCAUCCAUGACUGGUAUCUAUAACGACCAUAUUAUUUAUAGUCUUUAAACAUCCAUUACGUAAUGACACAUUGAACCAUUUACCACGACAGAGUAAAAUUGAGUUACCAUAUAAAUAAUGCGAAUCUAGGAUCUCCUCUAAUUGUCCAUAGAAUGGUCUACCAUCUUCUUGUUGGAUUAGUGUCUAAUUCCAUAACUAUAUUUGGUAUGUACUUGACCCAAUUGGCAUGGUCCAUUUGGGUUGCAUGACAUCAUGCAUUUGGAUAGACUAAAAUGAGAGAAUAACACUUAAGGUUUAUUAAUAUAUUAUAAGUUCUAAUAUAUUAAUAAGAUUAUUUAAUUAGUAUUGAUCAAGAAUUAAUUUGGAACUAAUUAAGUGAUCAAAUGGAGACUAAUUAAAUAUAUGGGUUGAUUGUGUAAAUCAUCCAUACUUGUAUAGUGGGCUAAUGCCCCAUGGAUUAUCAAGUUGGGCUAAAACCCAUAGGAUGCUCCAUGGUGUGUUUGUACCCAUGGAUCAUGGAAAUGAAAAGCCAUGAAAAUUAGGGUUUACAUGGUGUAACCCUAAUUGUGACACACUAUAUAAGUAUCUUAUUCUUCCCAAAAAAAGAGCUAUAAAGGAAUGGUGAGGGCUAGCCGAUUUCAUGAAGUGUCUAAUUUCUCUCAAGUUAUUCUAAGUGUAUUUGGUGUUGUGUGAACCAUCUGAGGUGUCACACUUGGGGAACUAGGCUCUUAAGCUCCGUGGAAUCAAGCUACACCAAAAGGAAUGUCUUCUAACUUGUAUUAUUCCUCAUGAAUCAAUAUUUUGUAUGCUAGUUAGGAUAAUACCUUGGAAUAUUAAUAUUUGCAUGUAUAAUAGAGAAAACAUAGAUCCAAGAUAUUUAGGGUUGCAUGUACACAUAGGAGUGUUAGAAUGCUCAAAACCAUUCACUUCUCCAAAUUUAACAACACCACUAUUUUUAGUAGUGUGUCAGAGAUCACGAAUACUCACAACAAAACGAACACCGACAAUAUGUAUUAUGUUGGUCAUAGACAAUUCUUGAAUAUGAACCAUAGAUGGAGGGAGAGUCUAUUGUUUGAUGGUCCACCCGAUACAAGACCGUAUCCUAGACGAUUUAGUAAUUUAACUAUAUUAAAGUAAUGUAACGUCUGUGUUUCUGGGCUUGCCAUUUUUAGCAAUGUANNNNNNNNNNNNNNNNNNNNNNNNNNNNNNNNNNNNNNNNNNNNNNNNNNNNNNNNNNNNNNNNNNNNNNNNNNNNNNNNNNNNNNNNNNNNNNNNNNNNGACGAAGGUGGACCGGUAUGCGAAGGGACUCCCAUGGGAGUAUGACGUGCCAGUACGUCAGGCACAUACUUUAGAGGCAGCUAUCUGGGCUACCAAGUCUGUUGAGAACAUGAUAAAGGGGAGAACCACCAACAAGGUUGAGGUUGGUGAGAAGAGGAAGUUUGAGGGAACAUCUGGUUCCGGUAAGAAAAGCAAAUUUUCGAAAUCUGAUUCGAAAAGGUUUGGUGGGGGUAAAGGAGGGGAAGCGAAGUGGUGUGAAAAGUGUAAGAAAAAGCAUUUCGGGAAAUGUAGCGAGGAUGUAACUUGCUACAAGUGUGGAAAGGUUGGACAUUUUGCCAAUGAAUGUCCGAACAACAAAAGGAUGUGUUUUGGUUGUAAUGAAGAGGGGCAUAUUUUGAAAGACUGUCCGAAGAAGAAGGAGGCAGCUAAGCCCAACAUUCCACCAAAGCCGAAGGCGAGAGCCUUCCAGAUGACACUUGAGGCUGCGAAAGAUGAAGCUGAUGUCGCUUCAGGUACCUUUCUCGUAAACGAAUUACCUGCUCAUAUAUUGUUUGAUUCUGGAGCCAACUACUCCUUUAUUUCGCAUGAGUUUGGUAGAAAGCUAGCUUUGCCUAUUGAUAGACUAGAUGAUGCUUUAUUAGUCGAAGUAGCUAGUGGCAAGUUUGUACCUGUUAGUCAUCGUAUGAAAAGCAUCUUAAUUGAUCUGAAUGGGAAUAAGUUUCACGAGGAAUUAUUGCCUAUCGAACUAAAUGGUUUCGACAUCGUGUUGGGAAUGGAUUGGCUUAGCGCCAAUGAUGCCGAAAUUUUGUGCAAGAAGAAGAUAGUUAAAGUAAACCCGCCUGGGAAAGAUUCGUUUAUGGUGUAUGGGGACAAACGCAGAGUGAAUUCUGGAAUCAUUUCUCUAAUGAAAGCCAGAAAGUGUUUGACCAAGGGAUGUACAUCAUAUUUAGCAUUCGUGAUUGAUGCUAAGAAGGAAAAGAAGGUGAUGCAGAGUAUUCCAGUGGUGUGUGAUUAUCCGGAAGUAUUUCCCGAGGAUCUUCCUGGAUUACCACCUGAUAGACAAGUGGAGUUCAGAAUAGACUUGUUACCAGGAACCACGCCAAUAGCAAAAGCACCUUAUCGAUUAGCACCGACGGAGAUGAAGGAGCUGAUGAUGCAACUUCAGGAGUUAUUGGACAAAGGUUUCAUUAGACCUAGUUCAUCGCCCUGGGGAGCUCCGGUGUUAUUUGUAAAGAAGAAAGAUGGAAGUAUGAGAAUGUGCAUCGAUUACAGAGAGCUGAACAAGGCAACAAUAAAGAAUAGAUAUCCGUUGCCGAGGAUUGAUGACCUGUUUGAUCAAUUGCAAGGUUCGAGCUAUUUCUCGAAGAUCGAUCUUAGGUCAGGAUAUCAUCAGCUGAAAGUAAGAGAGCAAGAUAUCGAGAAGACUGCAUUCAGAACUAGAUAUGGACACUACGAGUUCUUGGUUAUGUCGUUUGGACUAACCAAUGCUCCAGCAGCGUUCAUGGAUUUGAUGAAUAGGGUUUGUAAUCCUUUCCUUGAUAAAUCCGUGAUAGUGUUCAUAGACGACAUUCUGAUCUACUCGAAAAGCCAGGAGGAGCAUGGCAGACACUUGCGAGAAGUGUUAGAAGUUUUGAAGAAGGAGAAGCUUUAUGCGAAGUUCUCCAAAUGUGAUUUUUGGAUUCGUGAGGUCCAAUUCUUGGGUCACGUGGUCAACCAAGAAGGGAUAAUGGUUGAUCCAGCGAAGAUCGAAGCUGUGACGAAGUGGGAACAACCGAAAAGUCCCACGGAGAUUCGAAGCUUUUUAGGAUUAGCCGGAUAUUACCGAAGGUUUAUCCAAGGCUUUUCUUCGAUUGCUACUCCAUUAACAGCUUUGACCCACAAAGGAGCUACUUAUGCUUGGAGUGAGAAGCAUAAAGAAGCAUUCGAGAAGUUAAAGAAGAAGCUAUGCGAGGCACCGAUACUUUCUCUACCCGAUGGAGUUGAAGACUUCGCUGUUUAUAGCGAUGCGUCUGGUGUUGGAUUGGGUUGUGUUUUGACCCAAAGAGAAAAGGUGAUAGCAUAUGCGUCUCGACAGCUGAAAGAGCAUGAAAAGAAUUACCCGACUCAUGAUUUGGAGUUGGCAGCGGUAGUUUUCGCUCUGAAAAUAUGGAGGCAUUACCUCUAUGGCACGAAGUGCAAACUUUUCACUGAUCAUAAGAGUCUCCAAUACCUCUUUAAUCAGAAAGAAUUGAAUAUGAGGCAACGACGCUGGCUAGAAUUACUUAAAGACUACGACUGCGAGAUACUUUACCACCCCGGUAAAGCUAAUGUUGUUGCUGAUGCUCUCAGUCGGAAAGUCAAUCUUGAAAGGAAGAGGCCAAGAGCGUUGAGAAUUGAAGUUGUCUCGACUAUUGUGGAAAGUAUAAAGAAAGCUCAAGAGGAAGCUUCUGAGAAAAAUGACCGAAAGGAGGAACGUUUGGGUAAAACGUUGGUGUUUGGUACUAACGGUCAUGGACUGAAGGUAUUCCAAGAUCGUAUUUGGGUACCUAAGUCAGGAGGAAUUAGGGAUCUUCUGAUGGAAGAAGCUCACAAAACCAUGUACUCAAUUCAUCCGGGUAGCACUAAAAUGUAUAGGGACCUGAAACCCUACUACUGGUGGCCGACGAUGAAGCUUGAUGUUGCAAAGUAUGUGGCCGAGUGUGUGACUUGUGCGAGAGUCAAGACACAACAUCAGAAACCUUACGGGAGUUUAGAACCAUUGCCUGUGCCUAUGGGUAAGUGGGAAGACAUUGCUAUGGAUUUUGUCACUAAACUGCCCAGAACAAAGAAUGGUCACGACAUGAUUUGGGUGGUCGUUGAUCGAUUCACUAAGAGUGCGCAUUUCAUAGCGGCCAGGGAGAAAUGGUCUAUGGAAAAGCUUGCGAAUUCUUACGUGAAGGAAAUUGUGAGGCUUCACGGUGUUCCGUUAACGAUUGUAUCGGAUCGUGAUAGCCGUUUCACCUCAAGGUUUUGGAAAAGUCUACAAGAGGAAAUGGGUACCAAGUUAUGUUUAAGCACAGCUUACCAUCCGCAGACUGAUGGUCAGAGUGAAAGAACAAUACAAACACUUGAAGAUAUGCUGAGAGCAUGUACCUUGGAAUUCCUAGGUAAUUGGGAUGAACAUUUACCGUUGGUAGAAUUUUCCUAUAAUAAUAGUUUUCACUCGAGCAUUAAGAUGGCACCUUAUCAAGCUUUGUAUGGACAGAAGUGUCGUACGCCGUCUUGUUGGCUUGAGGCUGGGGAAAAGCAGUUUAUGGGACCGGAGAUGGUUCAUCAAACUGCUGAAAAGUUGAAAAUAAUUAGGGAAAGAAUGUUAGCAGCUCAAGAUCGUCAAAAGAGCUAUGCUGACAAGAAGCGAAGACCGAUGACUUUUGAGGUUGGAGAUUCGGUUUUGCUUAAAGUCUCGCCGUGGAAGGGACUUAUAAGAUUUGGUAAAAGGGGAAAGUUGAGUCCAAGGUUUAUUGGACCGUUUAAAGUCCUUCAGAGGAUUGGGAAUCAAGCUUACAAGCUCGAAUUACCCGAAGAACUGAAUGGAAUUCACAACACCUUUCAUGUGUGUUAUUUGAGGAAGUUCACGGGAGAAGUUCCCGAUAUAAUUCCAAUUUCUGAAUUGAGAAUUGAUGAGAACAAAAGGUUGAUUGAAGAACCAGAGGCAAUUGUUGACCGAAAGACUAAGAAGUUGCGACGCAAAAUGGUUGGGUUAGUGCUUGUCCGAUGGAAACACACGAAUGGGCCGAAUCUCACCUGGGAGACGGAGAGUGACAUGUUGAGUCGCUAUCCGCAUUUGUUUGUUGAUGUGUGAUUCCGGGGACGGAAUCAUUCUAAGGUGGAGAGAAUUGUAACGCCUGUGUUUCCGGGCUUGCCAUUUUUAGCAAUGUAAUAGUCUAGGUUAACCUUUGUAACCCGUUUUGAAAUAAUAAGAUUGUAUUAUUUGAGUAUUAUGUGUUUUGUGCUUAAUUGCUUAAUUAUGUGGUUUGAUUAAUUAAGAAUAAAAAUAAGCGUCAAAAUUUAAGUGUAAAAUAAACUUAAUAUCUUUGGUUAAUGUUGUAGUAGUUGAAACGAGGUUUCCGAAUAUAUAUAGAACGCCCAAAUCUGACUUCGUAUGAGGAAGUUAUGAUUUAUCGAAGUUCCGGCUUAGCGAUAUACAGCCUGUUUUACUCGAUUUGAGAUCGAGCGGUUGUUAGCCGAAGCAAUCUAAAUGAGAAUCGAAGAUCUCAUUGUUGGUAUUGAAACGAUAAAAAGUUAGGCGAGAACGGACGUCAAACGAAGAAGUUAUGAAUUUAUAACGAAAGUUUCUGUCCCGGCCUAUUAAAAAUAAUUAAUAAAAAUAAAGUCAAAAUUAGCCGACGGAGUCUAAACGAAAGUCGUAGAGCGUGGUCUCACCUUCGCGUGGAUAUAAAGAACGUCGAAAACGGAGUUCGUAUGAAGAAGUUAUGAAUUUCCGAAGUUUAUUAAUCAUUUUGUAUUUAUUUUUAAUUCAAAAUUCGGAAGCAUUAUCCGAAGGAGUCACCGAUCUGAUCCGAGGUACGCCCCGCGUACUCGAGUACGCCCCGCGUACUCCGAGGGAUGUCGACACUCGCACUCGAGCACUUCGGAUACGUAAGCAAUGACGUUUUGGGCAGUACGCCCCGCGUAACGCAGUACGCCCCGCGUACUCCGAGGCUCCAGCCUCCUAUAAAUAGGAUGCGAGGGUUCCGGGUAUUUUUGCCAAUUCCCUCUCGUUUUCGUGUCGAAGCUCUGUGCAAAAACCCCCGAAGCUACCCCGAAGUCCCGGUAUCAUACUCUAGCCCCGAGGCAAGUCCCGAGAUCCUGAAGAUCCCGAAAAGUGCGGUUCCCGAGUCGAAGCUCUGCCCGCGAGAAGUUCGAUUUUCGAGAAGAUCUUCCAGAUCUGCUGUGGAUUACUACUUCUAUAAGCCGUAGUGCUGUCCGAUCAUCUUCUGAUCAAGUGAGUGUGUAGUUAUUUCUUCUAAUACAAUAAUACGAAGUAUUUUAUAUAAAAAUACGUGCUAUGUGUAUAUAUUUUGUUGUUAUAUAUGUGAAUGUAUACCCACUCUCUUCUAUCUUAUAGAUCUGAUUAUUUCUCAAUGAAAUACGUGUUAUGUGUGUGUGCCUCAUCUGUUAUGUGAAAAAUGUUUUGAUUGAGCAUGCUAUACAGGUUUUGAAACUACGUAUAAAAAUGUAUAUUUUAUCUACUAAUAUGUUGGGUAGAAUAUGGGUAGAUAGUUGGUGUGUAAUAAACAGAUGAGAGGCCUCGAUGUUGUUUUGAUCCAGUCAUCUAGCGGAAUUUAGAUGACGACCACGGACUUUUCUAGACAGUCCAGUGGAACGCUAGCAGGCUCAUAACCUGUAGGUGUUAAUGAACUUGGGUGUUCAUUCGCUGUAUUCCAUCCCCCCCAUGGUUGCCUUAUUUGACUUAUAUUGCUGAGGAACCCCCGAAGCAUGUGUAGUCGCCCCGAUGAAAUAUUCUUUGACUAGGUCCCUUGUGUUAGUUAUUUUAGGGACAUAAAGUGAGAAUAACGGGAAUGGGUAACUGGGUUAUUGUUGGAUGAUAAUAAUUAAUUAAAUUAUUUAUUGUGGGUUGAAAACCCUAUAUGCUCACCAGGCUCCCAAGCCUGACCCACUCAGUUGAUUUAUUUUACAGGAAGUGGCGCAAGAGCUUAAGAUGGGCGAACAUCAAGUUGUUUUGUUUACAAGUCUGUAUAUGUAUAUAUUUGUUGAAAGACUUGUAAUGCUAUCGUUUAUGCUUUAUGAUCUGUAUCGGAACAUGACAUCCCGACUUUUGAUUAUGAAAUGAAAUCAUAUUUCUUUAUGAAAUGUUUUGAUAAAUAUCUAUUUUAUCAUGUUUUGUUUUUGGGAACAAAUUCCGCAUCUCUUUUAAAAAUUAAAAGGAUUUACUCUGAAAAUUAUUUUAAAAAGCAUAAAUGAAAUCGGUCUUUUCUGGCCGAGAUUUUGGGGAUGUCACAAGUAAGUAGCUCGUCUCUCUGAUAAUAUGUAUUAUGUUGGUCAUAGAUGAUUCUUGAAUAUGAACCAUAGCUAGAGGGAUAGCCUAUUGUUUGAUAGUCCACCUAACACAAGACCGCGUCUUAGACAAUUCAGUAAUGUAACUAUAUUAAAGUAAGUAGCUCGUCUCUCUGAUAAUAUUCCAGGGGAAUAUCCUAAUCAUGGGGCUAAAAAAGAAAGCAUGAACAUGAAAGCAAAAAGGCAGAGUUGAAUCGGAUGAAACAAAGUAUCUUAUUUGAGCUUGAGUAUUGGUCUUCCCUCCACCUAAAACAUAAUUUUGAUGUUCUACAUGUUUUGAAAAAUAUGAAUGAGAGUGUGUAUAAUACUACACUGAUGAACGAUAAAAGAAAAUACAUAAAAGAAGUAAGAAUUGACUUGAAAAAUACGGUCAUUCGACCAGAUCAAUGGCCAAAAGAGAAAGUCAAGAAGAAGAAGACAGUACACCAUUCUAUGGUCCCUUGGUUGAUGCAUCUCUCAUUUGGACUCCUUCAACCCAUAACAUUUUCAACUCAGCCACCAAAGGCCUCAAGUAAACAUCAAUGUCCUUUGUAGGUGAUCUAGGGCCAGGAAUCAACAAAGUUAGCAUGAAAGAAGAGUCCUUCAUACAUAUCCAUGGUGGUGUAUUGUAGUUAGUAAAUAUAACCAUCCAAAUAAUAUAAGUAUUAUUAAAGUUGUUGAACGGAUUAAAGCCAUCAGCAGCUGAACCUAGACGAAUAUUUCUAUAUUCUUUAGCAAACUCUCGAUAUCUCUUAUCAAAUUAUUUCCAUGACUUCUCGUCAACCGGAUGACGCAUCUUACCAUCCAUUGAGCAUCCAGUAUUAUGACAACUAAUAUAUUUACCAGUGAAUCUGGAACUAUACAUUCGUCGAAGCCUUGAGUCAAAGGAAACUACCACAAUGCUUUUUGUGGUACUCUCUUCCCAUUUUGUUGUUGUGUCCACCCAUUUGCUUGCAUUACAAAUUCGGGCAAUUUUACAUGGAAUCAUUCUCCUUCCAAAACGAAGCACAAUCAUAUUUACAAGUAUGGAUGGAUUGAUAUCAAACCCUAUCUUUCUCAACUUAUUCUUAGCUUCAUAGUGUGAAGUUGCUCUUCGGGAAUGAAACUCUUAGUAACUCUACAAGUUGGUUAAAAAAAAUAUUUGUCCAUUUAUUUAUCACUUUAGUAUGCAACAACUUUGCCAGAAAGUUUAUGUAACGUCCCAAAAAUUAAGACUAAAAGUUUUUAAUUUUAAAUUAAUUAAAACCAUUAUCCAAACAACAUCUUAGAAAUCAUAGUGCAUCAAAGUGUAUCAAUAACAUCCAUGUACAUCAGCAAGAUAUAAAAAUGCAGAACGACGUGGUGGGUGCAUUGCAAUCAUCCCGUGUAACGCCCGUAAACUCGGGCUAGUCAAUUUAGAGACAAUGUGCGUCAAAAAUGACUUUUUGAUGGGAGAUUGUUUACAAGAAACAAUCUUAACCAAGUUAUAUUAUAUGUCACAAAGGUUCCUUAUAUAUAAAGAACGCCAAAAUCCGAGUUAUAACGAAGAAGUUACGACCUUUCGAAGUUCUACGACAAAACCAACACGGCACCGUGUAACGUAAAAAGUGAAAUCUUGAUAAAUUACUUUUUAGCCUUAGGGAUCUAAAUGAAAGUUGUUUUAUACAUUAAAUUGAGAGCAUGCAUAAAAAGAACGUCAAAAUCUGACUUUGUAUGAGGAAGUGAUGAUUUUUCUAAGAUUUCGCACAGAGUAUACAACCUGGAAUUCGAAUGUCAGAUCGAGUGAUUUUUAGCCAACACAACCUAAAUUAUAAUUGAAUAUCUCAUUAAUAGGAGUUCAACGAUAAAAAGACAGUUAAAAACGGAGUCUGUAUGCAGAAGUUAUGAAUUUUACACGGUCGUUAACAAAAUAAUAUUUUCAUACUGUUAUAUUUAAAAUUGGUUGAGAAUUAGCCGAUUCAAUCUAAAGGAAAGUUGUAGAUCUUGUCAAUACCUAUGUGUGGAUAUAAAGAACGUAAAAAACGGAGCUCGUAUGCGAAAGUUAUGAAUUUUUUAAAAUUUGUUGUUUUACCUGCGUCCAGCGCCACGUGUCAGCACCAGGCGAAGCCUUAGUGCCUACACAAGGCCACGACGUGGAUUAUAAGUCUAUGAUGUUGAUUUCCCCAGAUAACCUAUAAAUAGAGGUGGAAAUAAUCCAUUUCCUUCACACCUUCACCCUUCUUUCUGUCUCAACACUCCCAAUCUCUCCCUCCUAAUCCCUAGCAACUUCUAAGUGCUAGAGGCGAGUCCCGGAGCGCCAAAAGGGUCCGAGAAGAAGAGUUUUCGUCUCAAAAUUUCCGCCCCCUCAGAGCCCGGUUCCUAGCCAAACCCCCAGGAAGUGAGUUAUGCUUACACUACUUUAAGUAUACUUAUGUUUAAGUUUAUUAUCGUUAUUAUGAACUUAUAAACAAGAUUUAUCAGUGAUUCCAAGUCGUUAUACUAAUUGAUCUACUUACGGGGAUGAUAUAUAGGUUGUGAUUUAGUGAGGUGUUUAAAGUGGGAUUUCAAAACAGUAUACUUCGUAUACGAAACGGAACUUACCUCCGAUAUGAUCCUACAUGGUUGUUCCUUACUUGAUAGAUCAUGAAAGUAGACUUUGAGUUAAUGAUGAAUCUAGACUAAUAAUUAGUCGUGCGUAAAGAUUAGACUAAAACUUAGCGAUAAUAAUGCUAGGUUUCAUCGAAGGAAAAUAGAAUCAUGAGAAGCAAAGUGCUUCCCGAGUUUGGAAUUAUCACUUUGAUAAGUGAGUGCAUAGUUACUUUCAUCUUACACAUAGAUAUGAAGUAUAUUAUAUAAAUUACAUGCUAUGUGUUCAUAUUAUAUGUUUACUUUAUAUCUAUGCUAGAUGAAUGAUCCUAUACAUGUUUUGAAUGAUUUAAACUGUAUAUAUAUUUUUUGUAUCUAUAAAAUCUAUUGGGUAAAACAUGGGUAGAUGAAUGAUAAGGGAUGAAAGUUGAUAUAGAGGAACAUUGGCAGUUAUAGACAUAGUGUCCUAUAGGUGAACAUUGACAACAAUGGACUUAGUGCCCUAUAGAUGAGCAUUGGCAGCCGUGCCACCACCUGUAGAUGUUUUGAUCUACGAUGUACUCUAAACAUCAUAGCAGCUGCGCUCAAAGGGUAGUAUCGGCAGCUGCGUGUAACGCAUGUGUUUCUAGGCUUGUCAUUAAUAUUGAUGUAAUAGUGUAGGUUAACCAUUGUAACCUGUUUCGAAAUAAUAGAAGUGUAUUAUUUGAGUAUUAUGUGUUUUGUACUUAAUUGUGUGUCUUAAUUAAAUUAAGUAUGAAAAUAAGCAUCAAAAUUAAAUGUUACAUAAAGCUGAUAUCUAUGGAUAAUUUUGUAGUAGUUGAAACGAGGUUUCUGAAUAUAUAUAGAAUGCUGAAAUCCGAGUUAUAACGAAGAAGUUAUGAUCUGUCGAAGUUUCGCGACAUAAAUCGGCACGACGAUGAAUGACGUAAAAAGUGAAUUUAUGUUAGAUUUAUCUUUAGUCCUAGUGAUCUAAACGAAAGUUGUAGAGUUCGUUAAACCGAUAGCGUGCAUAAAAAGAUCGACCAAAUCUGACUUCGUAUGAGUAAGUUAUGAUUUUCCGAAGUUUCGACUUAGCAGUGUGCAGCCCGAAUACUCGAUUUGAGAUCGAGCGGUUUUUAGUCGAAACAAUCUAAACGAGAAUCGAAGAUCUCGUCAAUGGUAGAGCAACGGUAAAAAGAUAAAUGAAAACGGACGUCAGAUGAAGAAGUUAUGAAUUUAUAACAGAGUUUUCCUAUCCCGGCCUACUAAAAAUAAAUAAUAAUAAAAUAAAUUCAAAAUCAGCCGACAGAGUCUAAACGAAAGUUGUAGAGUGUAGUCUCACCUACGCAUGGAUAUAAAGAACGUCGAAAACGGAAUUCAUAUGAAGAAGAUAUGAAUUUCUGAAGGAUUUAUAUGAUUAAUAUUUAUUAAUUAAUCUUUAAUUCGAAUGUAUAUCCGAAGGAGUCACCGACCUGAUCCACACUAUGCCCAGCGUACACCGAAGCGUGACCCACCUCGCACUCGAGUGCUCCGAUGACACAUGCAGUGACGAAUCCGAAGCGUACGCCCCGCGUACUGAGCAUUACGCCUAGCGUAAUGCGAGGCUUCAGCCACUAUAAAAGGGCAUGCGAGGGCAGCCAAUCCUUUUGCUCAAUUUCUUUUCUCUCUCUCUUGUUUUCCAUCGUUUUGCGUUCAACUUAUACCCCGAAUCCCCAGUAUCAUUCCCGAGCCCCGAAGCAAGUCCCGAAGCCCCGAAGAUCCCGAGGAGUAGAGUUCCCGAGCCGAAGCUCUACCCGCGAGAAGCCAAUUUUUGUGAAGAUCUUCCAGAUCUAUCAAAGAAUACUACUUCUACAAGUCGUAGUGCUAUCUGUUCAUCUUCUAAUCAAGUGAGUGUGUUGUUACUUUCUUCUAACGCAUAAUUACGAAGUAUUUUAUAUGAAAUACGUGUUAUGUCUAUAUUUUGUGUUGGAUAAGGUGUCUAAGUCCAUAACUAUUUCUGGUAUGUACUUGACCCGACCCGGCAUGGUCCAUUUGGGUUGCAUGGCAUCAUCCAUUUGGAUAGACUAUAUGAGAGAAUUAACACUUGUGGUUUAUUAAUAUAUUAUAAGUUCAAAUAUAUUAAUAGUAUUAUUUAAUUAGUAUUGAUCAAGAAUUAAUCUAGAAUUAAUUAAGUGAUCAAAUGGUGACUAAUUAAAUAUAUGAGUUGAUUAUGUAAAUCCUCCAUAACUUAUAUAGUGGACUAAAGGGCUCCAUUGAUAAUCAAGUUGGGUUUGUUGGAUUAUUGUCUAAGUCCAUAAACUAUUUUGGUAUGUACUUGACCCGAUGGUGUAUGGUCAUUUUGGGUUGCCUUCACCAAAGCAACUUGAUAGGAUGAAUUAUAAAGAGAAAGGAUUAAAUAUGAUUUAUUAAUAUAUUAUGAUAAUACUAUAUUAAAGGAGAAAUCAUAUUGUUUAAUUAAUAUUAGUCAAGAAUUAAUUGAUAAUUAAUUUUGUGACUAAAAGAGAUUAAUUAAACUUAAGGGACUAGAACUGUCAAUUGUAUGAUAGUUGAAUAUUGAGCUAAUGGACUCCAUAUUAAAGGAGUGGAUGAAUUCUAUGGGGAAACCCAUUAGAAAUCGUCCUAGGCCUUUAAGGAAGGAGCCCAUGGGUUACUUAGGGCUUAAGCAUCCAAAUUAGGGUUUCCUUGUUAGAUAACCCUAAUAGCCUCACUAUUUAAGGACCCUUUGGGCACCAAAAACGUAGGCAACUGAAUCCUAGGGGUUUCUACACGUUUUUGGGUGUUUCUUCUCUUCUCCUAUUCAUCCUCUUGCUCUUGGUGUUUGUGAACCAUUAGAGGAGUGACAUUUGUGACUCUAAGCUUUCUAAAGUCAUUACAAAGGAGGAUUUGAGAUUGUUAUUGCUACAUAACAAUCAAGGUAUGAUCUAAACCCUAAUUCAUAUCUUAUACUGAUUAUCAUAUACUAGAUCCAAGCAUUAGGGUUUGUAUGAGCACAUAGGAUGUUCUUAUAGCUAAAACCCAUCAGUGGUAUCAGAGCCUUGAUUGGUUUCUAUUGUAUUGAUGCCUUGUUAAUUUGUUCAUGCUUGAAAAAUUCGAUUUUGUGAGUCUGCCUAAUGAACUCGGCGAGUCCCAUUGUGGACUCGGCGAGUAGGCCCCUACUCGGCGGGUCCAUAGGGGUACUCGGCGAGUUCGAGCGUCAGAAAGAGGGGACUUCGAGAUUUCUUGCUGAUUUACUCAUGGAUACUUGCCUUAUCUGUUUUAGAUCAUUAAAAUCCGAUUUUAAACAUAUUUAUGAGUAUAUCCUUGAUUAAACAAAAGAUAAUUACCAAUUGAUUAGAUAAUAACUUCCUUAUAUGAUAAAGUUUGAUUAUUUGUAUUAAUUGGGUAACUUAUUUUGCAAGAAAUUGAAAUUAGGUCAAAUAUAGAUAAUGAUGAGAUUAAUUGUUUAAUUUAUAUUAUUUGUUAUUUGAUCCUUGUGUUAUGAAAAGUUUCAAUUUUCCCCUUUAGGUUUUAUAGUUUAAAUUUGAACUCAAAAGUUUNUAGGGUUUCAUGUACACCACAGGAACGAUGUUUCAUAAACUUGACGAGUUCCAUAGACUCGAUGAGUUAAGUGUCCUGGUGCCGGGAUUUUCGAUUUUCUGGCCAAAUUUUAAUGAGGAUAACUGUGAAAACUCGUUUUUCUUUCCUAAAUUCAAAUCUUUAAGAUCGGUAUGGAUAUCCUUAUCAGAUUUGGUGGAUUUAGUUAAAUAUGGAUGAUAUAGGAUUAUUUUGAUUCAAAUAUUUAACCUAGUAAGUUUGAAAAGUUUCAAAUUACACCCUUUAGGUUUUAUAGUUUAAAUUUGAACUUAAAAGUUUUAGUUUUGAAAUUUAAAUAGUUAAACCCUAAUAUUUUGAAAAGUUUUAAAAUUUGUCCUUAAAUUUUGGAAUUUAAAAUUUAAUUAAAAGGUAUUACUUUUGCAAUAUUAAUUUCUAAAACCCUAGUGUUUUGAAAAGUUCAUAUUACACCCUUAUGGUUUUAUUAAAUUAAUUAAGUGCUUAAUUAAGAGAGAGAAUUAAUAAAUCCAUAACAAUAUGGUUUAAGAUUAAUCAAAUUAAAAGUGUAAUUUAUUAAUAGAUUAAACCACCUAAUAUUUUUAAAGUGUAAAAUACACCAUUAUACUAUAUAUAAAAUUAAAAGUCUAAUAUAUUAUAUAUGUAUAAGUAAAGAGUCUGUCUUAUCGUUAGUAAGCCUUAUUCACGAAGUUGGUCUUUAAGGGGUGUUUAAGGAAGCGGCAUGUAAAAUGACCGUCAUUGGAUAUCCACUCUUACCCACCGCACCAUUAACUAGUGGAGGGUCAUUAGCCGAAUGGGUAGGAUAGGACAUAACCUUCCAUUAUAAGUAUAAUGAAAUACGAAGUAACUAAACGUUUAUAUAAAUUCUCAAAUCUUAGUUACUGUAGGAAAAAUGUGAAUUUGGUGCUAAUCCAUGAAAUUGCACAUUGCACCUUGUUGGUCGUUAGUGGAGCGUGUGUGGUUAACAGAACACUAAUAUGGGACCAAUGAAGGAUGGCAAUGGGUUUCUCGUAAUAUUAUCAUUGAUCAAUGGAGCGUGUGUGGUUAACCGGCACAUUGAUUGGGUGGUGAUCGACAUCGAGAGUAUCAAGCUAAUUUGCAUGGUUAUUCACACCUUGUUUGUGAUCCUCGGCGUCCCAGUCACAAACUUGAAAGGCAUAAUCGAGAUUAAACAUGCCAUUGAAAAGUUUAAUGAAUCUCAAAAGAUCUAGGGCUUUCAAUUCAUUAAUAACCUAAUUUUCAUUUUUGUUUUUCAUGGUGGAAAUUGGUAAAUCGUCAUUUACCUACCUUCAAAUAUUUUGCGACUGGAUUACGGCAUCCCUCUUCCGAAUUGUAGAAUAUUGUGUUGGAUCCUAGCCUUAAUAUUCCCUUUGGGUGUUAUAUUAAGGAUUGAAUCAACUAACUUGAACUUCUCCCAUUUUGUAGAUGUCUAAAUCUAACAACUAUGGUAUUCCACAAUCCUUUGGAAAAAGUCUUCCACAUGAAGAUGAUGUUCCACGAUUCGAUCGAGGAACAAGAGAUCAUGCUUCACUUCAUCCUCCUCCUCCCGUUGUUCUCCCUAACCCACAAGAUCGAAGAAUUGAAAGGUUCAAUGUCACUAAAGCCCUAUUGGAAAUGAAACAUGAAGAUAAUGUUGGGUGCGUCAUUCCCCGAUAAGUUGGCUGUGAACUGGGUUCUGCAGUCGCUCCCUGAAUCAUAUAAUGAGUUCAAGAGAAUGUAUUAUAUGAUGGAUCAUGACGAUAACCUCAUUGACCUAACUUACAUGCUCAUUGCUGCUGAAUCAGAAAUAAUUUGGCAAAGCAAUGGAGCGGUUUUGUUGGGAAAGUCAACCAACCAUGCUUUCGAGGACGUUCUAGGAGAACCGACCUGCGUUUGCUGCCAAGAGAAAGGGCGUUGGAUACAAGUUUGCCCUAAGAGCCUGAAGAAUCCAAAAGAUGGGAGAGUCAAAGAGUAUGGUUGUGCUUCAGGUAAAAAUCCACUAUCUAACUCCAUUAAGUUCUUAUUCGUUGAUUCUUAAUACAUGAUGUGAUAAGAUUGCAUUUGAAUGUUUUGCAGGAUCAGUGAAAAGAGAGGAAGCUUGAUGGAAAAGCAAGAUAAGUCUAAUCACAAAGAAAUGGAUCUCGAUCGCAUGGACUUGAAGAUUAGAUUUUGAGCUUAGAAAGUUAUGAUAGAGUUGUUAGGAAUAUUAGACUACAUAGUUUUUCAGUUAAUUUUGCAUUGUAAGGAAAAAUGUUUUCCGCUGCUUUUAUGAAUAAAAUAAAUUUUGAUUUGACUCAUUUAUUUAUUUAUUUCCUUGCAAUGAAAUCGUUAUGAAAAAUUGAUGUUUGCAUAUUUCUACAACGAAUGGAUGUGAUUCUUAAUUAUGUUAAUUAUGGAAAGGUCAAGAAUUUACCAAAUAGGAAAAGUUUCUCAUCGCCCAAGUUUCAAUUGGAUAGAGACUUGGGUCAUGCAACUUGGUUGCACGAUGAAUGAGAAAUUUCAUAUGUGGAAAUAAGACUAAUUCGUUGACAAAGUGUCAAGUGAAGAACUAGGAGAUCGAGUACACAAAGUUGUGUGUUGAUCAAGUCCACCGCAAGAGUAACGAAGAUAUUCGUCAUGAUUUACUAGAGGUUUAGUAAAAAUGAUUAUACUUAUAAGAUUAAGUGUAAUUCUGAAUUGAUUGAAAAAGGUUUAAAUCAAUAGCAUAACGAAUAAGAAGAAUCAAGUAGACAGAAAGAUAAAAGUCUCUCUAUUCUAAGAAGAAGGGAGAGUAUCUUUAUGCUUUAUGAUAUGUCUUAAUGAUUAAGAACCAUAUCUCAAUUGAUCCUCUAAGUAAGUCUUAGUACAAUUGUAUGUCUGAGAAGAGGAAUCAAGAAUUAAAGAAAUGGUUAAAAUCAAGAAGUCAAUCGUAUUUCGUUCCAAACAAGUCUUAGAGUUAAGAUUGUGACAUAGAGUGACAAGUAUUAGGAAGGUUUAUGACAAUCAUCAAAUGUAGAAUUUGGAAAAGGGUUUUCUUAUUCUUGCACAUUUGAAAUUCGUAAGUUGUGAUGUCUUGGAUUAGACAAAGACCAACGAGGACCAAUUUGUGAAGUGUUUUGUCUUGAUAAAAGCUACACUAACUCUUGAAUAUUUGGUUGUCGAGAAAUGUUUAUUGACAAGAGAAUCUUAUAUGUCAAGGAGUCAGUGGGAGUCUUAAUGGUCUUGAAAAGGUUUCAAUAACAAAUCAAAAUAAACCUUAUCAAUCAUCACUAGCACACGAGUUGAGGUUUACAACCUAUCGUGUUGACAUUAUCUUGUUUCUGUGCCGUUCCAAUCGAGUUAAUUAUGCAUGUGAGUUCUAUGAGUUCUCAUUUGAAUGCAUAAAAGGCAAGGACCUUGAUCAAUGGAAAGUACAUUGAUAGGAAAGGGUGAGCUGCUUAACUACUUGGAAGACAUGGUGGGCAGCCGUGUUACCAUAAGGCAAGAAAUCAAGAUUAAGAGUUCGGUCCAUAUAAGUUUGAAUUUGUCAUAAACUUUGGUUUUAACAAAUUCACAUGGAUAGGAACACAUACACUAUUAAAAUCUAAGUGUCAUAAGAUUCCCUCCUUCAUGGAAAUGACUGUGAGGUAAUGCUUUCACUAAAAGAGAUUUUAAGAAGAUAGUAAUUGUGAAAAUUGGAUUCUCGAAUUCGAUUAUGGUUACAGUAUCCCUUUCCAUGAUUCGAAUUGUAAGAUUUGGCAAUUAGUCUGAAUUGUUUAGACACACAUAUGAGCUAUCUAAGGGAAAGGUGUAUAAGCUUAGAUAAAGGAUUAUCAAAGCAUUAGUUAUUAGAAACAUGAACUUAAGAAAUUCAAUAGGUAUUGUUCUUCUGAAAGUUAAGUUGUUUCUAAAUACAUGUCAAAGCUAGUGGGAGCAUAAGUGUUAUGUUUAUAAUAAUCAUCAUGAUAGUGGGAGCAUAAAUGUUAUGAUUAUGUGAUUAUUAAGGCAAGUAUUGCAAGUUAGCAAUAUUAAUUAUAGAAAACAAGAGUUAUACUUUGCAAAGUCACAAUGGUUAAAAGGUUGUUUUGCUAUAAUUAAGGGAGAGAAUAUUAUGCUUCAUUUCAAAACUAAAGGCUUAGGUUGUGGAAUGUUAAUUAUUUUAGUCAAGGAUACAUAGUAUUCUUAAAUUUCGAUUAUGAUUACGACAUUUCUCUUCAUAGUUCGAAUUGUGAGAACAUAGCACAUAAAAUAUUAUGGCAGAAGACUGAUAAAGUAUCAAAUCUUUAUGCAUCGUGUCCCAUGCGCUUCGGGUAUAGGAUCGAUUGCAAAUGCUAUAAUAUUUGACCAUUCCAAAAUUUUCCAAAUGUCUAGCGCAUUUAGAGGGAAAAGGACAAGAAUAGGUUUUGACUAAGAUAAUUAAACAACUAUCAAAGGACAAUCCAAAGUUCGCCAAGGAUUGGUCACUUAUGAGUAGUUGGAAGUAUAGUAUUGAAUAGACCAUAUCGACAUUAUUAUGAAUAGAAAAGAUUCUAUUAAGAAUGAGUUGUCAUAUGGAAAAUAUGGAAACGUUUCCAUAUUGGGAGUCGGAUAUUGAGAAUCUAUGUCUAGAUUAGAAAUUUUAUGCAAAAGGAUGUUCAAAGGAAUGUCCUUUGAGUGAGAGACAUCACAUCUAAGGAAUUGUCUUGUAACAAUCUCCAAUAGACAGCUUUGUAAUUCAUUGGCAAUAGUCAUUGUGACUUUGGUGCAGUGACAUUAUGAAAGGAUGAUUGCAUAAAAUAUUAGAAUCUAACAUAUUCCAUAAGUGGCAAGAAUUUGAUAUUCUUUCACUUGUGAAAAGGAUUGGGAGUUAUGAAAUGAUUAUGAUUGGAAAUGUGUUCAUUUGAUCUAUUUCACAAAGUAAGAACCAUAGAUAAACACUGUGUGCAUGCUAAGAGCAUGGGACAAGUGUUGUAAUAAUUUAAGUAAGAAGUUUAUUACCCGAAACAAGAAAUAAUGAGUAAUCGAUAUGGUGAUAAUAAAAGGUGUUUUAUUUAUACUCAAGGUUUGAGGCCAUAUGGGACUAGUAUUAUUCUUGUGUUUCACUUUGCAUGUUUUGACUUCCUAAAUAAUUUAAAUUGGUUUAGAACAGUUAAAUUAUUCGAACGGGCCCUAGUCGUUCAUAUGUUGGAAGUAGGUAUGAAUGAAGACUGUCAUGAAUUGGUGUGUGGAUUGUCUAAAGAGCAUUAGACAUAAGCAAAUGUUUGCUGCAACGUUCAUGAGUGCUUAUAAAUAUGAUUUGAGCAUUGCAUUAAACCCACGCUCACUUGGAUCACUUCAUGGAUUUUAUCACGAGUGAUUGGUGAGACGAUAAUAUCUUAUAUUCUUGAAACCGAGAUGUGUGAGUUGUAUCUUGCGAGUUGGUUGCACAUUGAUAAUACGUAAACGCACCAGUAACUUGGUGUUAUAAAACAUAUUGUUGUGUGUGAUUCGGUGAGUAAGUGCAAUCGAACAUUGAGUCAAAGUUUAUCCGUUCCUUUUAUCAAAAGUAGGAUAAAAACGAUUUCUGUGGGCCCCUCGAUUAUUUAGUGAUGGCACCUAAGCGCUUGGCCAAGCCGGGACUAAAUUGAUGUGUUCAAUUGUAGUCUAUUGUUAGUCGUCAUAAAUCUGAAUUCGGGAAACAACACAUAGACAGAGAGAAUGUUUUAGAUCCAUGUCUCAGUCUAUACGAUAUCUAGAAUGGAGGAAUAUAUGAUCCCUUAUCUAAAGGAUACGCGAAUAUGAUAAGAUCAGAGUUGACAGCGGCUUUAGAAAGCUACGAUUGCAGAUCAGGAUCUGAAGUCAUACGCAUAAUAGUUAUUAGACUUAUCCAAGUGGGAGACUGUUGGAUUAGUGUCUAAGUCCAUAAACUAUUUUGGUAUGUACUUGACCCGAUGGUGUAUGGUCCUUUUGGGUUGUCUUCACCAAAGCAACUUGAUAGGAUGAAUUAUAGAGAGAAAGGAUUAAAUAUGAUUUAUUAAUAUAAUAUGAGAAUAAUAUAUUAAAGGAGAAAUCAUAUUGUUUCAUUAAUAUUAGUCAAGAAUUAAUUGAUAAUUAAUUUUAUGACUAAAAGAGAUUAAUUAAACUUAAGGGACUAGAACUGUCAAUUGUAUGAUAGGUGAAUAUUGAGCUAAUGGACUCCAUAUUAAAGGAGUAGACAAAUUCUAUGGGGAAACCCAUUAGAAAUCGUCCUAGGCCUUUAAGGAAGGAGCCCAUGGGUUGCUUAGGGCUUAAGCAUCCAAAUUAGGUUUUCCUUGUUAGAUAACCCUAAUAGCCUCACUAUUUAAGGACCCCUUGGGCACCAAAAACGUGGGCAACUGACUCCUAGGGGUUUCUACACAUUUUUGGGUGUUUCUUCUCUUCUCCUAUUCAUCCUCUUGCUCUUGGUGUUUGUGAACCAUUAGAGGAGUGACAUUUGUGACUCUAAGCUUUCUAAAGUCAUUAUAAAGGAGGAUUUGAGAUUGUUAUUGCUACAUAACAAUCAAGGUAUGAUGUAAACCCUAAUUCAUAUGUUAUAUUGAUUAUCAUAUACUAGAUAUAGGGUUUAUAGUCUUGGAUGAGUUGCAUGUACAAUAGAGAAACCUAGAUCCAAGCAUUAGGGUUUUUAUGAGCACAUAGGAUGUUUUUAUAGCUAAAACCCAUCAGGGUUAAACCCAUUGGAUGCUCCAUGGAGGCUCCAUGGGAGUUACAAACCCAUGGGUAAUGGAAAUGAAGAGUCAUGUCACAUUAGGGUUUACAUGGCGUAACCCUAGAUGUGACACACUAUAUAAAGAACAUCAUACUCCCUAAAAUCGGCUACACAUAGUGACAAGAGGGCUUGCCUGAUUUUUUGAGUGUUACACGUUCUCUCAAAGUUGUUCCAAAGCAUUUGGUGUUGUAUGAAGCAUUUGAGGAAUCACACUUAGGGUGCUAGGCUCUCAAGGUUUCAAGGAAUCAUAACAACAACAAGGUAUGUGUUUCUAGCUAUCUUUUAUAUUAUAAAGUUCCCCAUGUAUGCUAGAUAGGUUUAUGAACCUUGGAAAAAAGUAAUUUGCAUGUAUCUUAUACAAACAUAGAUCCAAGGUUCUCUAGGGUUGCAUGUACACUUAGGAGUGUUAGAAUUGCUCAAAACCCUUCGAUGGUAUCAGAGACUAGGCUUGCUUGUUUGAUAUUUGAUGCAAAAUAGUGAAAAAAGUCGAUUUUUUGUUGUCUGCCUGCUGAAAUCGCCAAGUCCAUGGGGGGACUUGCCGAGUUCAUGUGUAAAAUCAUCCUACUCGUCGAGUAGGUUCAUGCACUCGACGAGUAGGAGCCUCAGAAUGCAGUUUUUUGACUUUUGCUGCUGGAAAUGGACUAGAAACGUUACCCUAAACUGUUUGGGUGUUAUUAAACAUGUUUUAGAUGGUGUAAUGGUUGUUCUAAUCCAUUUAUAAUGACUAAUAUCAAAAUUCCAUGAUUUUAUGUUUUCUUGAAAAUUUGAUAUUCAUAUUCAUGUUCUUAUGAGUUUAGAUGAUCAUAGGAAUUAUGUGUAACUUCUUGAUAGUUUUAAUUCUUAAUCAUUAUGUGUUUUAAUGGAAUCCAUAAUUUGUCCUCAAGUUAUGAAUUACCAAAAGUUUUAUCUUUGAAUGUCCAUUGAAGAAACACAUAGGUUACAUAAAAUGAAGAUUUACUCAUUUUAAUGAACCAAUUAAUCUCAUAAGUUAUGGAUUGAAGAGUUUUGUUAAGUUACAAAACUUUCCCUCAAAUUUUGGAACUUGUAAAGUCACCUAAUUAACUUUAGUUCCAACCCCUAGAAUUUAAAAUGUUAAAAUUCAACACUUAUACUUUAUAAUAUUAUAAGUUUAAUAUAUAUAUAUAUAUAUAUAUAUAUNNNNNNNNNNNNNNNNNNNNNNNNNNNNNNNNNNNNNNNNNNNNNNNNNNNNNNNNNNNNNNNNNNNNNNNNNNNNNNNNNNNNNNNNNNNNNNNNNNNNNNNNNNNNNNNNNNNNNNNNNNNNNNNNNNNNNNNNNNNNNNNNNNNNNNNNNNNNNNNNNNNNNNNNNNNNNNNNNNNNNNNNNNNNNNNNNNNNNNNNNNNNNNNNNNNNNNNNNNNNNNNNNNNNNNNNNNNNNNNNNNNNNNNNNNNNNNNNNNNNNNNNNNNNNNNNNNNNNNNNNNNNNNNNNNNNNNNNNNNNNNNNNNNNNNNNNNNNNNNNNNNNNNNNNNNNNNNNNNNNNNNNNNNNNNNNNNNNNNNNNNNNNNNNNNNNNNNNNNNNNNNNNNNNNNNNNNNNNNNNNNNNNNNNNNNNNNNNNNNNNNNNNNNNNNNNNNNNNNNNNNNNNNNNNNNNNNNNNNNNNNNNNNNNNNNNNNNNNNNNNNNNNNNNNNNNNNNNNNNNNNNNNNNNNNNNNNNNNNNNNNNNNNNNNNNNNNNNNNNNNNNNNNNNNNNNNNNNNNNNNNNNNNNNNNNNNNNNNNNNNNNNNNNNNNNNNNNNNNNNNNNNNNNNNNNNNNNNNNNNNNNNNNNNNNNNNNNNNNNNNNNNNNNNNNNNNNNNNNNNNNNNNNNNNNNNNNNNNNNNNNNNNNNNNNNNNNNNNNNNNNNNNNNNNNNNNNNNNNNNNNNNNNNNNNNNNNNNNNNNNNNNNNNNNNNNNNNNNNNNNNNNNNNNNNNNNNNNNNNNNNNNNNNNNNNNNNNNNNNNNNNNNNNNNNNNNNNNNNNNNNNNNNNNNNNNNNNNNNNNNNNNNNNNNNNNNNNNNNNNNNNNNNNNNNNNNNNNNNNNNNNNNNNNNNNNNNNNNNNNNNNNNNNNNNNNNNNNNNNNNNNNNNNNNNNNNNNNNNNNNNNNNNNNNNNNNNNNNNNNNNNNNNNNNNNNNNNNNNNNNNNNNNNNNNNNNNNNNNNNNNNNNNNNNNNNNNNNNNNNNNNNNNNNNNNNNNNNNNNNCUCCUGGAAGAAUCGCGGGGCCACCCCGACUCAACUCGCCGAGUCUGAAGAACAACUCGACGAGUCCCAGUUAAUCUUCAAGCUACUCGCCGAGUCUGUUCAUCGGACUCGGCGAGUCCAUGCCAUGCAACCGCUCAAACUGCUUUCUAAGGUCAGAACUGCUCCGACCAUUCAUAGGUCUGGCCUUCCUAGACUGAUUCAUCACGUAAGGUCCUCAUUUCGGUGCUCAUAAUACACCCCAUGACUCAUAAUUUACAUUUUGACCUAAGGCAUAAGGAUUCCAAUCCAAAACCUCCAUUGAUUCCUGAAAUGCUCAGGCAUGGGACAUUCUGGACUUCCAAAGAUCUCAAUACAGGGUUCCAAUCGUUUGGGGGACUAAAGUAACACUCAAUCUAGCCACAAAAGGGUUCAAUAAAUCCUAAAUCCAUAUACACAUCAACAUAGAAGAAUGUAACUCGAAAUAUUACCUGAAUAACGUGCUCUCUGUGUCCCCAAUCCACAGAACGUGGCUCUUCCUGUUGUUCCCUUAACCAAGCCUCUUCUUCCUUGCAAAACCACACUUCCAAAAUCAACAAUGGUCUUCAACCUUGCUCCAGACGCUCACAAUCGAAUUAGGGUUUCUCUCAGAGGACUAGGGUGAACAAUGACGGCCAUAAAGUCCCUCAUAUACGUCCCAAACCUGAACGGUUAGGGUUUUCGCUAAAUAGCGCAGACUCGCCGAGUCCAUAUCCGGACUCGUCGAGUCCAGUCGCGAACCCGCAACCAGAUCCGCGAUCCUACUCGGCGAGUCUAGGCUCCAACUCGCCGAGUCCCCUCUUAAAACACCCAAAAUCAUAAAUAUAACAAUACCUGAAAUUCCAGGCUGUUACAGUAAUCGGGUUAUUGUUGGUUGGUAAAAGUAAAUACAAUUAUUUAUUGCGGGUUGAAAACACUAUAUGCUCACCAGGCUCCCAAGCCUGACCCACUCAGUUUAUUUGUAUUACAGGUAGUGGCGCGAGGGCAUAAGAUGGACGAAUCAUCAAGUUAUUUUGUUUAUUAGACCAGUUGUUAUAUGUAACUAUUGUAUGGUCUAUCUUUUGUUGUUUAUGCUUUUGUGUCUGUAUCGGAACAUGACAUCUCGAGUUUUGAUUUUAUAGUGAAAAUACAUUUCUUUAUGAAAUGCUUUGGUAAAUAUUAUUUUAUCAUACUUUGUUUUUGGGAACAAAUUUCGCAACUCUUUUAAAUCAAAAGGAUUUACUCUUAAAUUAUUUUAAAAAGCAUAAAUGAAACUGGUCUUUUAUGGCCGUGAUUUUGGGGAUGUCACAGUGGGUAUCAGAGCAUUAGUUUAAGCGAACUAGGAAUUUGUAAGAUUUCUAGACUUAAACUUAGAAUGCUAAGUGGAGAUUGUGAGAAGUGUGUCUGUUAUAUUAUGGACACGAGCACUAGUAUAUUUUAGGAAGUUGCCUAAAAUGCUCUUAGGUGCUAAAUGUUAUAUGUUGCCAUAUAUGAUAUUAUUUGUUUGGAUCUAUGGUCUGUUGCCGACCGGAUCAUGAAACCUUAUGUGUGUAGGAUUCUAAGCAUACGUCUACGACAUUAGAACUAGCAUGUAAACGUUUCGGAGUGAUAUGGAAGAUCGUAAUAUCUAUCAUGAAUAAAGAUCUAAAUUUCACCUUAUUCGGUGUAUUGAUCAAGAAUGGCAAGAACAAGAAGCAGUGAUGGAAAUGCAAACAAGAACAGGAAUCAACCGCCUCUAAUUGAACAAGUAAUUGUUGAAACUGCUGCACCAGAGCAAAUCACUCUGGCUGGGGUGCAAGCCAUGAUUCGGGCUAUGUUAGCCGAACAAAAGGAAGAAAUGCGACAGAUGUUGCAUGAAAAUAGGGACGAACCAAUCAUACCCAUUGAGGAACCCAAACUGAUUCCCGAACAAUCGGAGGAAGGAAACAAUAGUCGCGUUGUGAGUCAAGUUGGGAGUCAAGGAGAACGAAGGAACGACCCGGAAAGGGGAAACAAAAAGGAUGGGAGAAUGUAUAAGAAUUUCUUGGGCGCCAAGCCGCCAAGUCUUUCUGGGAACCUAAAGCCCAUUGAGAUUAUGGAUUAGAUCUCCGAAAUGAAGAUGGUAUUUGAAAGUUGCGACUGUAUCAACAAACAGAAGACUGUCUUUGCAGUUAGACAACUGAAGACCGGAGUCUUGAGCUGGUGGAAGUUGUUGGCAGAUAUUAUGUCAUGAGGAGAAGCCCUGAAAAUGUCAUGAGAGGAGUUCUUAGAACAACUAAGGGCGCAGUAGUGUUCAGAGAUAGAUCUGAUUGAUCUGAACAAUGAGUUCCAAAACUUAAAGAAGGGGAGGAUGAGCAUAAAUGACUAUGCUAUCGCAUUCACUGAUAAAAUGAGGUUAUUUCCAUACCUAGUGCGAAUGAAACUCUCCAAGAUUGAGAGGUUCGCUAAUGGACUACCUUCCGACUUUUGCCCGAUAGUCAAGAUGGCAACUACUCUAAAAAUAGUUGUUUGUGCGGCUAAGAAUGUGGAGACCCAGCAGAAGGAAAAGGGUCUGGAAAGAAUAGAGGUUGGUGAGAAAAGGAAGUUGGAUGGACCUUUAGGGUCCAACAAGAAAAUCAAGUUUUCGAAGUCUAGUUCGAGAGGAGGAGGAGGAAGAGAAGCCAAAUGGUACGACAAAUGUAAGAAGAAGCAUCAUGGAAAAUGUGAAGUAGUAGCCACAUGUUUUAAAUGUGGAAAGCCAGGGCACUAUGCCAAUGAAUGCACUCUCACCAAGAAAGUUUGUUAUGGCUAUGGUGAGGAGGGGCACAUCUCGAGAGAUUGUUCGAAGAAGAAGGAGGCAUCAAAACCCAAUAUUCCCCCAAAGCCGAAGGCGAGAGCAUUCCAGAUGACACUGGAAGCUGCAAAAUAUGAAGCUGAUGUCGCUUCAGGUACCUUUCUCGUAAACAAAUUGCAUGCCCAAAUUUUAUUUGAUUCUGGAGCCAACUACUCCUUUAUUUCGCAUGAAUUUGGUAGAAACUAGCUUCUCCUGUCGAUAGACUAGAUAAUGCUUUAUUAGUCGAAGUUGCUAGUAGCAAAUUUCUACCUAUUAGCCAUCGUAUGAAAAACAUCUUAAUUCACUUGAAUGGGAAUAAGUUCCAUGAGGAAUUAUUGCCUAUCGAACUAAACAAUUUCGACAUCGUGCUGGGAAUGGAUUGGCUUAGCGCCAAUGACGCCGAAAUAUUGUGCAAGAAGAAGAUUGUAAAGGUAAAUCCGCCAGGNGCAAGAAGAAGAUAGUAAAAGUAAACCCACCAGUGAAAGAGUCAUUUAUGGUGUAUGGGGACAAACGCAGAGUAAAUUCUAGAAUCAUUUAUCUAAUGAAAGCCAGAAAGUGUUUGGCCAAAGGAUGUACAUCAUAUUUGGCAUUUGUGAUAGAUUCUAAGAAGGAGAAAAAGGUGAUGCAAAGCAUUCCUAUCGUAUGUGAUUAUCGGGAAGUAUUUCCCAAAGAUCUUCCCGGAUUACCGCCUGAUAGAAAUUUGGAGUUCAUAAUAGACUUGUUACCAGGGACGACGCCUAUAGCAAAAGCACCUAAUCGAUUAGCACCAUCAGAGAUGAAGGAGCUAAUGAUGCAACUUCAGGAGUUAUUGGGCAAAGGUUUAAUUAGACCUAGUUUAUCACCCUGGGGAGCUCCGAUGUUAUUCGUGAAGAAGAAAGAUGGAAGUAUGAGAAUGUGCAUCGAUUAUAGAGAGCUGAACAAGGCAACAAUAAAGAAUAGAUAUCCGUUGCUGAGGAUUGAUGACUUGUUCGAUCAACUACAAGGUUCAAGUUAUUUUUCAAAGAUCGACCAAAGGUCAAGAUAUCAUCAGCUGAAGGUGAAAGAGCAGAUAUAGAGAAGACUGCAUUCAGAACACGAUAUGGACACUAAGAGUUUUUGGUUAUAUCAUUUGGACUAACCAAUGCUCCAGCAUCAUUCAUGGAUUUAAUGAUCAUGGUUUGUAAUCCGUUCCUAGAUAAAUCUGUGAUAGUGUUCAUAGAUGACAUUCUGAUUUAUUUGAAAAGCGAAGAGGAGCAUGGCAUACACUUGCGAGAAGUGUUAGAAGUCUUGAAGAAGGAGAAGUUGUAUACAAAUUUCUCCAAAUGUGAUUUCUGGAUUCGAGAAGUCCAAUUCUUGGGUCACGUGAUCAACUAAAAAGGGAUAAUGGUUGAUCCAGCAAAGAUUGAAGCUGUAAUGAAGUGGGAACAACCGAAAAGUCCCACGGAGAUCCGAAGCUUUUUAGGAUUAGCCAGAUAUUACCGAAGGUUUAUCCAAGGCUUUUCUACGAUCGCUACUCCAUUAACAGCGUUCACCCACAAAGGAGUUACUUAUGCUUGGAAUGAUAAGCAUAAAGAAGAAUUCGAGAGGCUAAAGAAGAAGCUAUAUGAGGCAGCGAUUCUUUCUCUACCCGAUGGAGUUGAAGACUUCGCUGUUUAUAGCAAUGCGUCUGGUGUUGGCUUGGGUUGUGUUUUAACCCAAAGGGAAAAGGUGAUCGCAUAUGCAUCUCGACAGUUGAAGGAGCAUGAAAAGAACUACCCGACUCAUGAUUUGGAGUUGGAAACGGUAGUUUUCGCUCUGAGAAUAUGGAGGCAUUACCUCUAUGGCACGAAGUGCAACUUUUCACUGAUCAUAAGAGUCUCCAAUAUCUCUUUAGUCAGAAAUAAUUAAAUAUGAGGCAAUGAAGUUGGCUUGAAUUACUUAAGGAUGUACGACUGCGAGAUACUUUACCACCCUGGUAAGGCUAAUGUUGUUGCUGAUGUUCUCAGUCGGGAAGUCAAUCUUGAAAGAAAAAGGCCAAGAGCGUUGAGAAUAGAAGUUGUCUCAACAAUUGUGGAGAGUAUAAAGAAAGCUAAAGAGGAAGCUUUUGUGAAGAAUGAUCGAAAAGAAGAACUUUAGGGAAAAAUGUUGGUGUUCGGUAUAAACAGUCAUGGACUGAAGGUGUUCCAAGAUCGGAUUUGGAUACCUAAGACAAGAGGAGUCAGAGAUCUUAUGAUGGAAGAAGCUCAUAAGUCCAUGUACUCAAUUCAUCCCGGUAGUACUAAAAUGUAUAGGGACCUAAAACCCUACUACUGGCGGCCGACGAUGAAGCUUGAUGUUGAAAAGUAUGUAGCCGUGUGUGUGACUUGUGUGAGAGUCAAGACACAACAUCAGAAACCGUAUGGGAGUUUAGAACCUUUGCCUGUGCCUAUGGGUAAGUGGGAAGACAUUGCUAUGGAUUUUAUCACUAAACUGCCCAGAACGAAAAGUGGUCACAACAUGAUUUGGGUGAUCGUUGAUCGAUUCACUAAGAGUGCGCAUUUCAUAGCAUCCAAUGAGAAAUGGUCUAUGGAAAAGCGUGCGAAUUCUUUUGUGAAGGAAGUUGUGAGGCUUCACGGUGUUCCGUUAACGAUUGUGUCAUAUCGUGAUAGCCAUUUCACCUCGCGAUUUUGGAGAAGUCUACAAGAGGAAUUGGGUAGCAAGUUGUGUUUGAGUACAUCUUACCAUCCACAGACUGAUGGUCAGAGCGAACGGACGAUACAAACACUUGAAGAUAUGCUGAGAGCAUCUACCCUAGAAUUCCAAGGUACUUGGGAUGAACAUUUACCUUUGAUGAAAUUUUCCUACAAUAAUAGUUUCCACUAGAGCCUAAAGAUGGCACCUUGUCAAGCUUUGUAUGGACAGAAGUUUCGUACGCCGUCUUAUUGGCUUGAGGCUGGAGAAAAGAAGUUUAUGGGACCCGAGAUGGUUCAUCAAAUUGCUGAAAACCUGAAAAUAAUUUAGGAAAGAAUGUUAGUAGCUCAGGAUCGUCAAAAGUGCUAUGCUGACAAAUAGCGAAGACCGAUGACUUUUGAAGUUGGAAAUUCGGUUUUGCUUAAAGUCUCGCCAUGGAAGGGACUUAUAAGAUUUUGUAAAUGGGCAAAGUUUAGUCCAAGGUUUAUUGGACCUUUUAAAGUUCUUGAGAGGAUUGAGAACCAAGCUUACAAGAAUGAAUUGCCAGAAGAACUGCAUGGUAUUCAUAACACUUUCCAUGUGUGUUAUUUGAGGAAGUUUACUAGAGAACUUCCCGACAUGAUUCCACUUUCGGAGUUGAGAAUCAAUGAGAACAAAAGGUUGAUUGAAGAACCAGAGGCAAUCGUUCACUGAAAGACUAAGAAGUUGGGACGCAAGAUGGUCGAGUUUGUGCUUGUCCGAUGGAAACACACGAAUAGGCCAAAUCUCACCUGGGAGACGGAGAGUGACAUGAUCAGUCACUACCCGCAUUUGUUUGUUGAUGUGUGAUUCCGAGGACGGAAUCAUUCUAAGGUGGAGAGAAAUGUAACACCUGUGUUUCUGGGCUUGUCAUUAAUAUUGAUGUAAUAGUCCAGGUUAACCAUUGUAACCCGUUUCGAAAUAAUAGAAGUGUAUUAUUUGAGUAUUAUGUGUUUUGUGCUUAAUUGUGUGUCUCAAUUGAGUUAAGUAUGAAAAUAAGCGUCAAAAUUAAAUGUUAGAUAAAGCCGAUAUUUAUGUAUAAUGCUCUAGUAGUUGAAACGAGGUUUCCGAAUAUACAUAGAAUGCCGAAAUCCGAGUUAUAAGGAAGAAGUUAUGAUAUGUCGAAGUUUCGCGACAGAAACCGGCACGACGCUGAAUGACGUAAAAAGUGAAUUUACGUUAGAGUGAUACUUAGCCCUAGUGAUCUAAACGAAUGUUGUAGAUUUCGUUAAAUUGAGAGCGUGCAUAAAAAAAUCGCCCAAAUCUGACUUCGUAUGAGGAAGUUAUGAUUUUCCGAAGUUUCAACUUAUCAGUGUGCAGCCCGAAUACUCGAUUUGAGAUCAAGCGGUUUUUAGCCGAAACAAUCUAAACGAGAAUUGAAGAUCUCGUUAAUGGUAGUGCAAUGGUAAAAAGACAGAUGAAAACGGACGUCGGAUGAAGAAGUUAUGAAUUUAUAACGGGGUUUUUCUGUCCCGGCCUACUAAAAAUAAAUAAUAAAAAAAUAAUAUCAAAAUCAGCCGACGGAGUCUAAACGAAAGUUGUAGAGCGUAGUCUCACCUACGCGUGGAUAUAAAGAAAGUCGAAACGGAGUUCAUAUGAAGAAGAUAUGAAUUUCCGAAGUUUUUAAAUGAUUAACAUUUAUUAAUUAAUCUUUAAUUCGGAUGUAUAUCCGAAGGAGACACCGAUCUAGUCCGCACUACGCCCAGCGUAGUUGAGUACGACCAGCGUACACCGAAGUGUGACCCGCCUUACACUCAAGAGCUCCGAUAACGCAUGCAGUGACGAAUCCGAAGUGUACACCCCGCGUACUGAGCAUUACGCCCAGCGUAAUGUGAGGCUUCAGCCUCUAUAAAAGGGCUUGCGAGGGCAGCCAAUGCUUUUGCUCAAUUUAUUUUCUCUCUCUCCCGUUUUGCAUCGUUUUGCAUACAAAUUAUACCCCGAAACCCCGAUAUCAUUCCCGAGCCCCGAAGCAUGUCCUGAAGCCCCGAAGAUCCCGAGGAGUAGUGUUCCCGAGCCGAAGCUCUGCCUGCAAGAAGCCAAUUUUUUUGAAGAUCUUCCAGAUCUACCGAAGAAUACUACUUCUACAAGUCGUAGUGUUGUCCGAUCAUCUUCUGAUCAAGUGAGUAUGUAGUUACUUUCAUCUAAUGCAUAAUUACGAAGUAUUUUAUACGAAAUACGUGUUAUGUGUAUAUUUGUUGUUAUAUGUGUGAAUGUAUAUUCACUUUCUUCUAUCUCGUACAUAUGACUAAUUCUCUAUGAAAUAUGUGUUAUGUGUAUCUGUCUCAUCUGUUGUUUGGAAUAUGUAUUGAAUGAGAAUGUUAUACAGGUUUUAAACUAAGUAUAAAAAUAUAUAUUUUUAUCUACUAAUAUGUUGGGUAGACCAUGGGUAGAUGGUUGAUGUGUGAUAAACAGAUGAGAGGCCUCGAUGUUGCUGUUGAUCUAGUUAUUCAGCGGACUAUGGAUAAUGACCACAGACUCUUUCGAGACAGUCAUGUGGAACGCUGUGACAUCCUCAAAAUCACGGCCAAAAAAGACCGUUUUAAUUUAUGCUUUUAAAAUAAUUUGAGAGUAAAUCCUUUGAUUUAAAAGAGUUGCGGAAUUUGUUCCCAAAACAAAAUAUGAUAAAAUAAAGUUUUUCAAAGCAUUUCAUCAAGAGAUGCAUCUUCAUUAUAUAACAAUAUUCGGGAUGUCAUGUUCCCAUAAACAGACCAAAAAUAUAAACAACAAAAGAUAGAUCAUACAACAGUUACAUAUAACAAUUGGUCUAGUAUCAAAAGAUCUUGAUAAGUCAUCCAACUUAUGCUCUCGCGCCACUACCUAUAAUACAAAUAAACUGAGUGGGUCAGGCUUGGGAGCCUGGUGAGCAUAUAGGGUUUUCAACCCGAAAUAAAUAAUUAUAUUUAAUUUCACCAACCAACAAUAACCCAAUUACCCAUUCCCGUUAUCCUCACUUUACGUCCCUAAAACAACAUCUAUCUCAAGGGAUCUAAUAUAGGAUUUUCAUCGGGACAGACACUGCACAGGGGUUACCUCAAUAGUAGAUGUCCUAAAGGCAACCAUGAGGGGGAUAGAGUACACCGGUGAACACAUCGUUCACAACACCUAGCUAGCGUUCCACAGGACUGUCUAGAAAGAGUCUGUGGUUGUUAUCCAUACUCCGCUGAAUAACUAGAUCAACAACAACAACAUCGAGGCCUCUCAUUUGUUUAUCACACAUCAACUAUCUACCCAUGUUCUACCCAACAUAUUAGUAGAUAAAAAUAUAUAUUUUUAUACAUAGUUUAAAACAUGUAUAGCAUUCUCAUUCAAUACAUAUUCCAAUCAACAGAUGAGACACAUACACAUAGCACGUAUUUCCUAGAGAAUAAAUUAUAUCUCUGAGAUAGAAGAAAGUGAAUAUACAUUCACACAUAUAACAAAAAAUAUACACAUAACACGUAUUUUGUAUAAAAUACUUCAUAAUUAUGCAUUAGAAGAAAGUAACUACACACUCACUUGAUCAGAAGAUGAUCGGACAACACUACAGCUCUAAGAGUAGUAUUCUUCGGUGAAACUGGGUUCACUUCACUCACCAGGCUUCUUGCGGGCAGAGCUUCAGCUCGGAAACUCUUUUCUUCGAGGGAUCUUCGAGCUUCAGGACUUGCUUCGGUUGUCGGGAUGAUACCGGGGCUUCGGGGGUACUUUUUCACGUAAAUCGAGGUAAUAUGAGUGAGAGAGAAGAGAUUUGGCAACCACAAACGGUUGCCCCUUCAAAUCUAUUUAUAGGGCUAUUUUCUCAUUUUCCACGUCGUGGGCACUUCUUCCACGUCGUGAGCUUGGUCGUCAUUGCAUGCGUCAUCGUCCACUUGCUCUGCCAGGCUCCAGAAGGCGUCAGAAGCCAUGCCACGUCGUGGUCUCUGACGGUUUUGGUGUUUCGCACCCCGAACUUCAGAAAUCCAUAACUUUCGCAUACUUACUCCGUUUUCGACGUUCUUUAUAUCGACGUGUAGGUAAAAACAAGAUCUACAACUUUCAUUUAGACUUUGUAUGCUAAUUUUGACUUUAUUUUUAAUAUAUUAAUAAUAUACUAUUGUUAGUAGGCCGGGACAGGAAAACCCCGUUAGAAAUUCAUAACUCCUUCAUCUGACGUCCAUUUUCGACUGUCUUUUCACCGUUGGAGUACAAUCGAUGAGAUCUUUGAUUCUCGUUUAGAUUGUUUCGUCUAAAUAUCGCUCGAUCUCGUAUUCGAACUUCGGGCUAUACACUGCUAAACAAAAACUUCGAAAAAUCAUAACUUCCUCAUACGAAGUCAGAUUUGGGCCUUCUUUUUAUGCACGCUCUCAGUUUAACGAACUCUACAACAUUACUUUAGAUCGCUAAGUCCAAAUAUUUUUCUAAUGUAAACUCACUAUUUACGUCUCGCUGUGUCGUACCGGUUCUGUCGCGAAACUUCGACAAGUCAUAACUUCUUCGUUAUAACUCGGAUUUCGGCAUUCUUUAUAUAUUCAGAAACCUCGUUUCAACUACUACAACAUUAUCCAUAGAUAUUGGGUUGAUCUAACAUUUCAUUUUGACGUUUAUUUUUAUUCUUAAUUAAAUUAAGACAUACAAUUAAGCACAAAAACACAUAAUACUCAAAUAAUACACUUCUAUUAUUUCAAAACGGGUUACAAAGGUUAACCUAGACUAUUAUAUCAACAUUAAUGACAACCCCAGAAACACCGUCAUUACAAUUCUCUCCACCUUAGAAUGAUUCCGUCCCCGGAAUCACACAUCAACAAACAAAUGUGGGUAGCGACUCAUCAUGUCACUCUCCGUCUCCCAAGUGAGAUUUGGCCCAUUCGUGUGUUUCCAUCGGACAAGCACAAACUCAACCACAUUGCGUCGCAACUUCUUAGUCUUUCGGUCAAAGAUUGCCUCUGGUUCUUCAAUCAAUCUUUUGUUCUCAUCGAUUCUCAACUCCAAAAGUGGAAUCAUGUCGGGAACUUCUCUCGUGAACUUCAUCAAAUAACACACAUGGAAAUUUUUAUGAAUUCCAUUCAGUUCUUCUGGUAGUUCGAGCUUGUAAGCUUGGUUCCCAAUCCUCUAAAGAACUUUAAACGGUCCAAUAAACCUUGGACUCAACCUUCCCCUUUUACCAAAUCUUAUAAGUCCCUUCGACGGCGAGACUUUAAGCAAAACCGAAUCUCCAACUUCAAAAGUCAUCGGUCUUCGCUUGUUGUCAGCAUAGCUCUUUUGACGAUCUUGAGCUGCUAACAUUCUCUCCCUAAUUAUUUUCAACUUUUCAGCAGUUUGAUGGACUAUCUCUAGUCCCAUAAACUGCUUUUCUCCAGCCUCAAGCCAACAAGACGGCGUACGACACUUCUUUCCAUACAAAGCUUGAUAAGGUGUCAUCUUUAUGCUCGAGUGGAAACUAUUAUUGUAGGAAAAUUCUACAAAAGGUAAAUGUUCAUUCCAAUUACCUUAGAAUUCCAGGGUACAUGCUCUCAUCAUAUCUUCAAGUGUUUGUAUUGUUCGUUCGCUCUGAGCAUCAGUCUGUGGAUGGUAAGUUGUACUCAAACACAACUUGGUACCCAAUUCCUCUUGUAGACUUCUCCAAAAUCGCGAGGUAAAGCGGCUGUCACGAUCUGACAAAAUCGUUAACGGAACACCGUGAAGCCUCACAACUUCCUUCACAUAAGAAUUCGCACGCUUUUCCAUAGACCAUUUCUCAUUGGAUGCUAUGAAAUACGCACUCUUAGUGAAUCGAUCAACGACCACCCAAAUCAUGUCGUGACCACUUUUCAUUUUGGGCAGUUUAGUGAUAAAAUCCAUAGCAAUGUCUUCCCAAAUACCCAUAGGCACAGGCAAAGGUUCUAAACUCCCGUAUGGUUUCUAAUGUUGUGUCUUGACUCUCGCACAAGUCACACACUUGGAAACAUACUUUGCAACAUUAAGCUUCAUCGUCGGCCAACAGUUGUAGGGUUUCAGGUCCCUAUACAUCUUAGUGUCGCCGGGAUGAAUUAAGUACAUGGUUUUGUAAGCUUCUUCCAUCAGAAUUUCUCUGACUCCUCUUGUCUUAGGUAUCUAAAUCCGAUCUUGGAACACCUUCAGUGCAUGACUGUUUACACCGAACACUAACGUUUUGCCCAAACAUUCUCCCUUUCGGUCAUUCUUCUCAGAAGCUUCCUCUUGAACUUUCUUUAUACUUUCCAUUAUUGUCGAGACAACUUCAAUUCUCAACGCUCUUGGCCUCUUCCUUUCAAGAUUGACUUUCCGACUGAGAGCAUUAGCAACAACAUUUGCUUUGCUGGGGUGGUAAAGUAUCUCACAGUCAUAGUCCUUAAGUAACUCUAGCCAGCGUCGUUGCCUCAUAUUCAAUUCCUUCUGAUUAAAGAGAUAUUGGAGACUCUUAUGAUCAGUGAAAAGUUGGCACUUCGUGCCAUAGAGGUAAUGUCUCCAUAUCUUUAGAGAGAAAACUACCGCCGCCAACUCCAAGUCAUGAGUCGGGUAGUUCUUUUCAUGCUCUUUCAACUGUCGAAAUGCAUAUGCGAACACCUUUUCCCUUUGGUUCAAAAUACAACCCAACCCAACACCUGACGCGUCGCUAUAAAAACAAAGUCUUCAACUCCAUCGAGUAGAGAAUGUAUCGGUGCCUCGCAUAGUUUCUUCUUUAGCUUCUCGAAUGCUUCUUUAUGCUUAUCACUCCAAGCAUAAGUAGCUCCUUUGUGGGUCAAAGCUGUUAAUGGAGUAGCGAUCAAAGAAAAGCCUUGGAUAAACCUUCGGUAAUAUCCGACUAAUCCCAAAAAGCUUCAGAUCUCCGUGGGACUUUUCAGUUGUUCCCAGUUCAUUACAGCUUCAAUCUUUGCUGGAUCAACCAUUAUUCCUUCUUGGUUGAUCACAUGACCCAAGAAUUGGACUUCUCGAAUCCAAAAAUCACAUUUGAAGAACUUAGCAUAUAGCUUCUCCUUAUUCUAGACUUCUAACACUUCUCGCAAGUAUCUACCAUGCGCCUCUUGGCUUUUCGAAUAAAUCAGAAUGUCAUCUACAAACACUAUCACUGAUUUAUCAAGGAACGGAUUAGAAACCCUGAUCGUUAAAUCUACGAAUGUUGUUGGAGAAUUGGUUAGUCCAAACGACAUAACCAAAAACUCAUAGUGUCCGUAUCGUGUUCUGAAUGCAGUCUUCUCUAUAUCCUGCUCUCUUACUUUCAGGUGAUGAUAUCCUGACCUAAGAUCGAUCUUUGAGAAAUAGCUCGAACCUUGUAGUUGAUCAAACAGGUCAUCAAUCCUCGGCAACAUAUAUCUAUUCUUUAUUGUUGCCUUUUUCAGAUCUCUGUAAACGAUGCACAUUCUCAUACUUCCAUCUUUCUUCUUUACGAAUAACACCGGAGCUCCCCAGGGUGAUGAACUAGGUCUAAUGAAACCUUUGUCCAAUAACUCCUGAAGUUGCAUCAUCAGCUCCUUCAUCUCCGUCGGUGCUAAUCGGUAAGGUGCUUUUGCNNNNNNNNNNNNNNNNNNNNNNNNNNNNNNNNNNNNNNNNNNNNNNNNNNNNNNNNNNNNNNNNNNNNNNNNNNNNNNNNNNNNNNNNNNNNNNNNNNNNNNNNNNNNNNNNNNNNNNNNNNNNNNNNNNNNNNNNNNNNNNNNNNNNNNNNNNNNNNNNNNNNNNNNNNNNNNNNNNNNNNNNNNNNNNNNNNNNNNNNNNNNNNNNNNNNNNNNNNNNNNNNNNNNNNNNNNNNNNNNNNNNNNNNNNNNNNNUCUUUCCCAGGUGGGUUUACUUUGACUAUCUUCUUCUUGCACAAUAUCUCAGCAUCAUUGGCGCUAAGCCAAUCCAUUCCAAGCACGAUGUCAAAACCUUUAAGUUCAAUAGGCAAUAAUUUCUCGUGAAACUUAUUCUCAUUCAAAUCAAUUAAGAUGUUUUUCAUACGAUGACUAACAGGUACAAACUUGCCACUAGCAACUUCGACUAAUAAAGCAUUAUCUAGUCUAUCGACAGGCAAAGCUAGUUUUCUACCAAAUUCAUGUGAAAUAAAGGAGUAGUUGGCUCAAGACUCAAAUAAAAUUUGGGCAGGCAAUUCGUUAACGAGAAAGGUACCUGAAGCGACAUCAGCUUCAUCUUUAGCAGCUUCCAGUGUCAUCUGGAAGGCUCUCGCCUUCGGCUUUGGCGGAAUGUUGGGUCUUGCUGCCUCCUUUUUGGGGCAGUCCCUAGACACGUGUCCCUCCUCACCACAACCAUAACAAACUUUCUUGGUGAGAGUGCAUUCGUUGGCAUAGUGCCCUGGCUUUCCACAUUUAAAACAUGUGGCCACUACCUCACAUUUUCCAUGAUGCUUCUUCUUACAUUUGUCGCACCAUUUUGCUUCGCCUCCUCCUCCUCUCGAACUAGACUUCGAGAACUUUUUUUUCUUGUUGGACCUGAAGGUCCUUCGAACUUCCUCUUUUCACCAACCUCUAUCCUUUCCAGACCCUUUUCCUUCUGUUGGGCCUCCACAUUCUUAGCUGCUCGAACAACUUUUUUCAGAGUGGUUGCCAUCUUGACUGUCGGACCUAAUUCGGUAGGUAGUCCAUUAGCAAACCUCUCAAUCUUGGAGAGUUCCGUUGGCACCAGGUACGAAAAUAACUUUAUUUUCUCAGUGAAUGCAGUAGGAUAGUCGUCUACGCUCAUUCUCCCCUUCUUCAAGUUUUGGAAAUCAUUGUUCAAAUCAAUCAGAUCUAUCUUUGAACAGUACUGCACCCUUAGUUGUUCCAAGAAAUCCUCCCAUGACAUUUUCAGGGCUUCUCCUCAUUGCAUAGUAUCUGCCAACAGCUUCCAAAAACUCAAGACACCAGUCUUCAGUUGUCUAAAUGCAAAGACAGUCUUCUUUUUGUUGCUACAGUCGCAACUUUCAAAUACCAUCUCCAUUUCGGAGAUCCAAUCCAUAAUCUCAACAGGCUUCAGGCUUCCAGAAAGACUUGGCGGCUUGGCGCCCAAGAAAUUCUUGUACAUUCGCCCAUCCUUGUUGUUUCUCCUUUCCGGGUCGUUCCUUCGUUCUCCUUGAGUCCCAACUUGACUCAUAAUGCGACUAUUGUUUCCGUCCUCCGAUUGUUUGGGAAUCAGUUCAGGUUCCUCAAUAGGUAUGAUUGGUUCAUCCCUAUUUUCAUGUAACAUUUGUUGCAUUUCUUCCCUUUAUUCGGCUAACAUAGCCUGAACCAUGGCUUGCACCCCAGCCAUUGUUAUUGGUUCUGGUGCUGCUGCUACAACAGGUAUUUGCUCAAUCACUGGUGGUUGAUUCCUGUUUUCAUCUGCAUUUCCAACGCCACUCCUGGUUCUUACCAUUUUUUAUCUACACACCGAAUAAGGUGAAAUUCGAUCCUCAUCCAUGAUAGAUAAUUAAAUCAUCCUUAUCACUCCGAAACAUUUACAUGUUAGUUCUAAUACCGACGUCAUACGCUUAGAAUCUUACACACAUAAGGUUUCAAGAUCCGGUCGGCAGUAUACCAUAGAUCCGAACAAAUAAUAUCAUAUAUGGCAACAUAUAACAUUUAGCACAUAAAAGCAUUUUAGGCAGCUUCCUAAAAUAUACUAGUGCUCGUGUCUAUAAUAUAAUAGACACACAUCUCACAAUCUCCACUUAGCAUUCUAAUUUUAAGUCUAGAAAUCCUACAAAUUCCUAGUUCGCUUAAACUAAUGCUCUGAUACCAACUGUGACAUCCCCAAAAUCACGGCCAGAAAAGACCGUCUUAAUUUAUGCUUUUACACUAAUUUCAGAGUAAAUCCUUUGAUUUAAAAGAGUUGCGGAAUUUGUUUCCAAAACAAAAUAUGAUAAAAUAAAGUUUAUCAAAGCAUUUCAUUAAGAGAUACAUUUUCAUUAUAUAACAAUGUUCGGGAUGUCAUGUUCAGAUAAACAGACCAAAAGCAUAAACAACAAAAGAUAGACCAUACAACAGUUACAUAUAACAAAUGGUCUAAUAUCAAAAGAUCUUGAUAUGUCAUCCAACUUAUGCUAUCACGCCAAUACCUGUAAUACAAAUAAACUGAGUGGGUCUGGCUUGGGAACCUGGUGAGCAUAUAGGGUUUUCAACCUGCAAUAAAUAAUUACAUUUAAUUUCACCAACCAACAAUAACCCGAUUACCCAUUCCCGUUAUCCUCACUUUACGUCCCUAAAACAAUAUCUAUCUCAAGGGACCUAAUCAAGGAUUUUCAGCGGGACGGACAUUACUGCAAAGGGGUUUCCUCAACAGUAGAUGUCCUAAAGGCAACCAUGAGGGGGAUAGAGUACACCGGUGAAUACAUCGUUCACAACACCUACAGGUUAUGAGCCUGCUAGCGUUCCACAGGACUGACUAGAAAGAGUCUGUGGUCGUUAUCCAUACUCCGCUGAAUAACUAGAUCAACAACAACAACAUCGAGGCCUCUCAUCUGUUUAUCACACAUCAACUAUCUACCCAUGUUCUACCCAACAUAUUAGCAUAUAAAAAUAUAUAUUUUUAUACAUAGUUUAAAAACUAUAUAGCAUUCUCAUUCAAUACAUAUUCCAAUCAAUAGAUGAGACAUAUACACAUCGCACGUAUUUCAUAGAGAAUAAAUCAUAUCUAAGAGAUAGAAGAAAGUGAAUAUACAUUCACACAUAUAACAACAAAAUAUACACAUAACACGUAUUCUGUAUAAAAUACUUCAGAAUUAUGCGUUAGAAGAAAGUAACUACACACUCACUUGAUCAGAAGAUGCUCGGACAGCACUACAGCUCUAAGAGUAGUAUUCUUCGGUGAAACUGGGUUCACUUCACUCAUCGGACUUCUUAUGGGCAGAGCUUCGGCUCGGAAACUCUUUUCUUCGCGGGAUCUUCGAGCUUCUGGACUUGCUGCGGGUGUCGGGAUGAUACCGGGGCUUCGGGGGUACUUCUUUGCAUGUAAAUUGAGGUAAGAUGAGUGAGAGAGAAGAGAUUUGGCAACCACAAACGGCUGCCCCUUCAAAUCUAUUUAUAGGGCUGUUUUCUCAUUUUCCAUGUCGUGGGCACUUCUNUUCACAUCGUUACAUCAUCGCAAGUUGGGUCUGGUAGACUCCAGGAGUCGUCAAAAGACAUGCCACGUCGUGACCACUGAUUUCACAUCGUGGUCUCUGACAGUCUUGGAGUUUCGCGCCCCGAACUUCAGAAAUUCAUAACUUUAACAUACGAACUCCGUUUUCGACGUUCUUUAUAUCGACGCGUAGGUAAAAACAAGGUCCACAACUGUUAUUUAGACUUUGUAGGCUUAUUUUGACUUUAUUUUUAAUAUAUUAAUAAUAUACUAUUUUUAGUAGGCCGGGACAGGAAAACUCCGUUAGAAAUUCAUAACUCCUUCAUCUGACGUCUGUUUUCGACUGUCUUUUCACCGUUGGACUACUAUCGAUGAGAUCUUCGAUUCUCGUUUAGGUUGUUUCGGCUAAAUAUCGCUCAAUUUCAUAUUCGAACUUCGGGCUGUACACUGCUAAACCGAAACUUCGAAAAAUCAUAACUUCCUCAUACGAAGUCAGAUUUGCACAUUCUUUUUAUGCAUGCUCUCGGUUUAACGAACUCUACAACAUUCCUUUAGAUCACUAAGUCCAAAUAUUGCUCUAAUGUAAACUCACUAUUUACGUCUCGCUGUUUCGUACCGGUUCUGUCGCGAAACUUUGACAUGUUAUAACUUCUUCUUUAUAACUUGUAUUUCGGCAUUCUUUAUAUAUUCGGAAACCUCGUUUAAACUUCUACAACAUUAUCCAUAGAUAUCGACUUUAUCUAACAUUUCAUUUUGACGCUUAUUUUUAUUCUUAAUUAAAUUAAGACACACAAUUAAGCACAAAACACAUAAUACUCAAAUAAUACACUUCUGUUAUUUCAAAACGGGUUACAAAGAUUAACCUAGACUAUUAUAUCAACAUUAAUGACAAGCCCAUAAACACAGUCAUUACAAACGCUAGCAGGCUCAUAACCUGUAGGUGUUGUGAACGAUGUGUUUACCGGUGUACUCUAUCCCCCUCAUGGUUGCUUUUAGGACAUCUACUGUUGAGGAAACCCUUAGCAGUAAUGUCCGUACCGAUGAAAAUCCUAGAUUAGGUCCCUUGAGAUAGAUGUUGUUUUAGGGACGUAAAGUGAGGAUAACGGGAAUGGGUAAUCGGGUUAUUGUUGGUUGGUAAAAGUAAAUAUAAUAAUUUAUUGCGAGUUGAAAACCCUAUAUGCUCACCAGGCUCCCAAGCCUGACCCACUCAGUUUAUUUGUAUUACUAGUAGUGUCGCGAGGGCAUAAGAUGGAUGAAUCAUCAAGUUAUUUUAUUUAUUAGACCAGUUAUUAUAUGUAACUGUUGUAUGGUCUAUCUUUUGUAGUUUAUGCUUUUGUGUCUGUAUCGGAACAUGACAUCCCGAGUUUUGAUUUUAUAAUGAAAAUACAUUUUGUUAUGAAAUGCUUUGGUAAAUAUUAUUUUAUCAUGCUUUUUUUGGAACAAAUUCUGCAACAAUUUAAAAUCAAAAGGAUUUACUCUGAAAUUAUUUAAAAAAACAUAAAUGAAACUGGUCUUUUCUGACUGUGAUUUUGGGGAUGUCACACUGCGCCUAAUCGAGAACAUCAUAAUCCUGGCAGCUACGCCCAAAGGACAAUAUUAGCACUUGCGCCUAAUAGAGAAUAUUAUAAUUCUGGUAGUUGCGUCUAAAUGAUAAUGUUGGUAGUUGUGCUUAAUAGAUAACGUUGACAACUGUGUCAUUAGGAAAACGGUGGACUGCGUGCCUAUUCCUUAGGAAAAUCCUUAGGAAUGAAUGAGUUAAUGAUAAAUGAUUCUUAGGAUACAUCCUUAAGAAAUAACGAAGAUAAUGGGGAUGGAUAAUUGGGUUAAUUUUUUAAUGAUUAAACAUAAUUAUAUUAUUGUGGGUUGAAAACCCUAUGUACUCACUAGGUUUCCCAAUAUGACCCACUCAAGUUUAUUUGGAUCACAGGUGUCUAUACGAAGCUACUUUACACUGAGAGAUUAAGGAGACGUAAAUCACUAGUGUAAAUGAAUGGAAGGUCUGUUUAUGCUUAUAUUUAUGUAUUAACGAUGACGUCCUAAAGUUUUAAAAAGAAAUGAAAUACAUUUCUUCGAAAAUGCUUUGAUAACACAUUUAUCAUGUUUUUCUGGGAACAAAUUCCGCAACAUUUUUAUAAAAAGGGUACUCUCAUUUUUAAAUAAAGCAUAAACAAAUCGGUCUUUUCUGGCUGUGAAAAUGGGGAUGUCACAAUUGGUAUCAGAGCAUUAGUUUAAGAGAACUAAGAAUAAGGGUUUAUUUCUAGACUUAAACUUAGAAUGCUAAGCGAUGAUUAUGAGUUGAGUGUGUGAUGUUGCGCAUAAAAAAACACAAAGAUAACCAAGAAUGAACCUGUUGAUUCUAAAAGAAUAGCCAGGACAAUCUCUUCAAAACCACGUUGAUUCUACGAAUACUGUGGGAUUGGCUUCAAAAACUGGGUUAACACGCACAAAAUUUGGGAGAAAACUGAAAGUUCAUAAAAUUGAUGAUCGACCAUCCAAAUUACAUAAAAAACAGUUAAAUAAAAAGCAUAAAUUAAAAUGAAACCCUAAAAGUCCAUGGGCGAAAUACAAACCCAAAAAUUAAGGAAAAAUAACAAAAUUGUUCAUAACUCCAUUUAGAAAGCGAUUUCUGGACUCAAAAUGGGUAAGUCCCUUUCGGGGACUUAUCUAGAUGUGCUCCUUGCUCCAAGCUUCGACUUGACUGGUCGUAGGCCCAAAACGGAGACUCGUAGCCAAAGUUAUGGCCAUUUCCGUGAAGCCCCUUUAAUCACACGAUCGUGGGCCUCUAGGAAUGCAAUGGCCCGAUCCUCCACACUAGGGCCCGCAUCUGUGUGUCUAAUAUAUUUUAGGUAGUACACCUGAAUAGACACAGCCACUAUCUUAUUUUGGGAGGAUGCCUAAAAUGCUUUUAUGUGCUAAAUGAUUUGUGAUACUUUAUGAUGCUAUUGUUCGAUCAGAUAUAUGGUAUGUUGCCCACCGGAUCCAGAAACUUUAUGUGUUUAGAUUUCAAAAUGUUUAAUUACAGUAUUAGAACUGGCAUGUAACUUUUCGGAGUGAUAAGAAGAUUUACAUGUGGAUCGUAAAUAAAACCUUUCCUAUCUUAAUUAUCAUCAUUACACAUCAAACGUCUGAUUUGGUGUAUAGAUCAACAUGUUGAGAACUCGAAGCGGAUUAGGAGACGCUAAUGGAAAUGUUGAUCAACGGCCUAUGAUUUAACGUGCACUAAAGGUAGCAGCUACACCAUAGCCAAUCACAAUGGCAAGAGUCCAAGCAAUGAUUCAGGCUAUGAUAGCCAAACAAAGGGAGGAGAUGAGGCAAAUGUUGCUUAAUAGGGAUGAACCUACCAUGCUCAUUGAAUAACUAGAACUAAAUGAUGAACAGUUAGAGAAGGGAAUUACAGUAGAACCGUUGGUCAAGCUGAACUGCCAGUGGUUAGGAGGAAUAACCAAGAGGAAGGGAUCAAGAGAAAUAGAUGCAAGUAUAAGGAUUUCACAACUUGCAAACCAUAGAUUUUCACUGGGAAAGAGGAUCCAAAUCGGAGUUACAGACCGGAUCUCGGAGAUGGAUUUGGCUUUCAUAACAUGUAGAUUCAAAGGAAAGCUAAAAACCAUAUAUGCAGUGCGUCAGUUGAUGGGUGGAGUUGUUCACUAGUGGAACACUUUGGGAAAGAUCAUGAGUCCUAAUGAGCUGCUGCAACUGACGUGGGCAGAGUUCCUAGUGCAUUUCAAACGAAAGUUUUGCUCGGCCCAAAAUCUGUUGGAGCUAGAGAACCAAUUCCUAACAUUGAAGAAGGGCAUCAUGCCUAUUGACGAAUACAGCAAUGCCUUCACCGACAAGAUGGAAUUUUCUUUGCGCAUCGUCCCUGGCGAACUAACUAAAGUCGAUAAGUAUACAAAGGGACUACCAUGGGAAUAUGUUGUGCUAGUACGCCAGGCACCUACCAUCGAGGCGACUAUCUGGGCUGCUAAGUCUGUUGAAGAAAUGAUCAAGAGUAGGGCCACCAACAACGUCGAAGUUGGUGAAAGAGAAAGUUUGAAGGAUCUUCAAUGUCCAAUGAGAGGAGAAAAUGCUCGAAGUCUGGUUCGAAGAAGUUUGAAGGAGGAGGAGGUGAAGCAAGAUGGUGUGAUAAGUGCAAGAAGAAACACUUUGGAAAAUAUGGCAAGAAGGUGACUUGUUUCAAGUGUGGAAAGUCUGGGCAUUAUGCCGAUGAGUGUAUAUUCAACAAAAGGGUGUAUUACGGAUGUAAUGAAGAAGGGAAUUCAAGCUGGACUGCCCAAAGAGGGAAGGAGCUACAAAGCAAAAUGCACCGCCAAAGCCGAAGGCAAAAACAUUCCAUAUGAUCCUUAAUGAAGCAGAUGAUAAUGCAAGGAAUCAAGAAUGAGGACUGAUACCCGAAGAUCAAGUUAUGAAGUAGCCAUGCAGAUAGUAUCAGGAGGUGUAGCCUAUUAGAGGCAUAUUAUAGGUUGAACUUUAACAUCCAUGUAAUCAUUUCAAGAAGUAAUAUAAGCCUUGGUUUUGUUAUCUGGUGCGUUAAGUUGUUAUGUGAUUUUCAAGUAUGGUGACUUGGAAAACUGCGAGACAAUACUUGGGACAAGUAUGAGUAUAUGUGAAUGGUAGUAGAGGCCUAUACUACCAGAAGCACAGGACUCGCACUUGGAUUAGGGAAAGUCACAAGGUUACCAAGGCACUAGUAAUUGAUUCUUUUUUGUUCAUGUUUGUCGUCACCAUCGUUUCGGUAAUGACUAAGAAGAUGAUUGUUAGUCCAACCCUAGUGGUCAUAUCAAAUCGAGUCCGACUAAGAUGAAUAUGUUGCGUGGUUCAAAAAACCAAGGUCGAUGUUGCAUCUGACUUAAGCCAGACGAUUGAAGUGAAAGAUAAUCGAACCGAUCAAUAGAAGUAUCGUAACCUUUGUUAAGGUAAGAAGCUUGUAGCUAGAAGUGCUACAUGCUAGAAUAUGAUUAUAUCACAUUAGAACAUGAAGGAAGGUAUAUUUUGUUCUAUAGUUUGACUCUAAAAGACCUAAGUCUAAGUGUUGCAUCAUACGAUAAGAGGUCAUUACAACAUGACCCAUCGGUUUAUUGUGGUAAUCAAAUAACUUCUCUUAAUAUAAGUAUGUUUAACAAGAAGUAGGAGUCUCUGAUUUGGAUCGAUUUUGUAACUCGAAGGUUACGAUUGGAAGUCCAACAUAGGAUAAAGAACGGGUGCAAGAUUGAGUACCUCCUGCGGUCAAGAAGUCCAAGAGUUUGAUACUCAUUCGAAGGAACAUAAAAGUUACGAUUAUUACCUAAUAUGAAGAGAUAACAUAAGGAUUCAUUAUACAAGCCCUAUUUUGUUGAUUAUUCUGGGACGUAAUCAUCCUAAGGAGGAGAUAACUGUAACGCCCGCAGAUUCAGGCUAGUCAAUUAGAGAUAUUGAGCGUCAAAAAUGACAUUUUUAUGGGAGUUUAUUUAGAAGAAAUAAUCUUAACCUAGUAAUAGUAUAUGUCACAAGGGUUCCGUACAUAUAAAGAACGCCGAAAUCCGAGUUAUAACGAAGAAGUUACGACCCGACGAAGUUCUACAGCAAAACCGGCACGACACCGCGUAACAUAAAAAGUGAAUUUUUGAUAAAUUACUUUUUAGCCUUAGAGAUAUAAAUGAAAGUUAUAAUAUAGGUUAAACCGAUAGCAUGCAUAAAAAGAACGUCAAUAUCUAACUUCGUAUGAGGAAGUUAUGAUUUUUCUAAGAUUUCGCAAAGUAGUAUACAACCCGGAAUUCGAAUUUCAGAUCGAGCGAUUUUUAGCCAACACAACCUAAAUGAAAAUUGAAUAUCUCAUUAAUAGGAGUUCAACGAUAAAAAGACAUUAAAAAUGGAGUUCGAAUGUACAAGUUAUGAAUUUUACACGGUCAUUAACAAUGUAAUCUUCUCAUACUAGUAAAUUUAAAAUCGGUCGAGAGUUAGCUGUUUGAGUCAAAAGGAGAGUUGUAGAUCAUGUCAAUACCUAUGCGUGGAUAUAAAUAAUGUCAAAAAUGGAGCUCGUAUGCAAAAGUUAUGAAUUUUUGAAAAUUGGUUGUUUUACCUGCGUCCAGCACCACGUGUCAGCACCAAGCGAAGCCAUGGUGCCUACGCAAGGCCACGACGUGGAUUGGCUCCAGAUAGCCUAUAAAUAGAGGCGGAAAUCAUCCGUUUUCUUCACACCUUCACCCUUCUUUCUCUCUCAACGCUCCUAAUCUCUCCCUCCCAAUCCCUAGCAACUUCUAAGUGCUCCGAGAAGAAGAUCUUUCGGCUCAGAAGUUCCACCCCCGCAUAGCCCGGUUCCUAGCCAAACCCACGGUAAGUUAGUUAUGAUUACCCUACUUUAAGUAUAACUUAUGUUUGAGUUUAUUAUCAUUAUUAUGAACUUAUAAACAAGAUUUAUCAAUGAUUCCAAGUAGUUAUAUUGAUUGAUCUACUUAUGGGGAUAAUGUCUAGGCUGUGAUUUUGUGAGGUGUUUAAAGUGGGGUUUCCAAAUAGUAUACUUCGUAUACCAAACGAACCCUACCUCUGAUAUGAUCCUACCUGGUUGCUCUUUACAUGAUAGAUCAUGAAAGUAGACUUUGAGUUAAUGAUGAAUCUAGACUAAUAAUUAGUUGCAAUAAAGAUUAGACUAAAACUUAGCGAUAAUAAUGUUAGGUUUCGUCGAAGGAAGAUAGAAUCGUUAGAAGUGAAGCGUUUCUCGACUUUGGAAUUAUCACUUUGAAAAGUGAGUGCAUAGUUACUUUCAUCUUACACAUUGAUAUGAAGUAUUUUAUAUAAAUUACGCGCUAUGUGUGCAUGUUAUCUGUUUACUUGAUAUAUAUGAUAAAUGAACGAUCUUAUACAUGUACUCUAAACAUCCUAGUAGCUGUGCUCAAAGUGUAGUAUCGGUAGCUGUGCCGUCACACCCCCAAACCAGAACGACGGAAACGUUCAGGGGCGGAGGACGUCAUGUAUAGUAUCAUAACAAUGCAUAAUAGUAAAACAAGCAACAACAUCAUCCAUUGAAUUAAUGAUAGAAUUUAUACAUGUGUGUUCUUUGUAAAGUUGUAAGACACCAAAAAUAUAUAAUCAAAAUAAAGACGAGUCUUGAAUACGCUCUGUCUCCUCAAAACCUGGUCAUCGAUACAUGUCUACUGGUGACCUAAGAAUACAAGUUAUUUUGAAAGAGUAGAUCAACAUUUAAGCUGGUGAGUUCAUAAGUAUAUUAGUGUCAAAAAUUUUCAUCUGUUUCAUGAAAAUGUUUGUAAGUAUUUAGAUGUAAAUGUUUGUAUGCUUCCAAGAAAAUCCUAUAUUUUCUACUAAAAUGAAAAGUAGUCUUCUUCCAAGACUCAACUGUUUUGUAUGUUUGUUUUCUCGUAAAAAUUGAUGUAAGAUGUAUGUUUGUACUUGUAAUAGUAUAAAUGUGGGUUUUCCAUAUUUUUUUAAAACUUUCUAUACACGAAAAAUAGUAUGCAUUUCUUACGUGAGAAUAUCACUGUGUGAAUAUGAUGGAAAAAUGACGAUAUUCAGUAGUGUUGUAUAAAAUAUCUACUGAAGCACUAACUACCUUAAAGCAAAUUGUUAAUUAAGGUAAAACGUGAUGAGGUUAUAACCAUGCUUGAUUGACUUGUAUAAAACACAACGAUCAAAAUACAUCGAAAUGGUAUGACAUUUGUCACUUGUAGACCUGUAGGUCCCAUUGUAGCUAGCAACAAGGUUUAGGAUGGUCAAUCCAGUAUAGAUCUAUACACAAACUCACGCUCUCCCUCCAAGAGACUCUGGUUACAAAGCGUGACACAACAAGUAUAUUGAUAUGCCAUGAAGUAGUGGCUCACAUUAAUGUUAUCUUGUUCUAGUUAUAGUAUGUAUGUUCCUUUCUGUUCUAGUUAUAGUAUGUAUGUUCCAAUCUGUUCUAGUUAUAGUAAGUAGUAAUACUCUAAACUAUACCUAUUAUAGUUUACUAGUAUGAUUGUUUGACUGUUACUAAUUUGCAGAAAAGUCUCAAUUACUCACAUAAGCAACUAACUUAAGUAUGUAACUUAAAAAUGGGUUUAAUAUUCAUAUAUGUAUUUAAUAAGCAUAACUAUGAUUUUGCUGACAUUCGAACUAGUGAUCCUACCCUAAGCCCACAACCAAACAAAGAAACAGGAGUUAAGGUAUCUCGCAGUAGUCCUAAGCCCGUUAAAGCAUACUUACACGUAAACAGAUAGACGAAUAUGAUUUGAUAUAAAAGAAGUUUAUAAAAGAUUUAAAAGAGUUUUAACAAGUUUUGAGUAUAAGAAAUCCCUUUGGAUGUUGUUUUCACAUGUAAAUGGUUAACAAAAUUUAAUUGUGUUCUACUUGUUAUCCCCCAUAAAAGCAUUUAAAAGGUAUUUAAAAGUGUAUUGUAGGGGUAUGAACUCAUAUGUAGUGAGUGAUUCGAAUGAAAGAUCGAUAUAGGAUGAUAAGUAUGCCAAGUGAAGUAUCGAGCACAAACGGGUCCUAUUAAGCAUAUAAUAACACAUAUAUGUAUACAAUUAGUAUAUAUAACAACUAAAAUGUAAGGGAAACAACCUUAGGAACUAGGAAACACUUUGAAUGAAGUGUUAGCAUCACAAAUGAUUGGCUGAAAGGUGUUCACGACUAAACAAGGGGUGUUCACGGCCUUAGGAGGGUACAUGUCCAUAGAACGCAUGAUGUGUUCACGGACCAAGGUUGAUCUUAUGAAGGUUUCACGGUCCUAUGAUGCAUCUAUGAAGGGUUCAUGGCCCUAUGAAGGGUUCACGGUCGUGAACUCUUGAAGAUCUUGCAAAUAAGUGUUUGUUUCAUGGGUGGAAUCAAGUGUUUCUAAGGGACAACAAGAUGAUGGAUGAGAUACUUAUGUUUUGGAAGCCUUUAGAAGUGUUCACAGUUGAAGAUAGUUGAGAGAGAAGUGGUGUUCACGGCUAGGGUUUAAAGAAAUGAAGAAAAAUGAGCCAACUCCUUAUAUAUAAGACUUGUUCACGGCCAAGGAUGGGUACACGGCCAUGAACCUAGAUGUGGCCGUGAACUCCUUUUGGUGGUGUUUCCGGCUCGAUUGCAACUCAAUGAACUCAAGCUAACACUUCCUAACUCACAAUCCUUGAGUGUACUAGGCUUAGAAAUUCUCAAACAUACCCUUAACACAACAUAAAGGUAACAGAAACAAGUCUGACUUUAGAUUGAAUUGAUUGACUUUACAAGAUAGAAAUUCCAGGUUGUCGCAUGUGCCUAAUAGAAAACAUCAUAACCCUGGCAGCUACGCCCAAAGGACAAUAUCGACUGUUGUGCCUAAUAGAAAAUAUCAUAAUUCUGGCAGCUGCUCCUAAAUGAUAAUAUUGGCAGCUAUGCUUAAUAGAUAAUGAUGAUAUAUGGUCCAUUAGCAUGGCCUAGACUGCUCUAGCGCGCCAUAUGAUGCGACAUCGGCUCCGACCACCUGCUCUAAGGAGAUGCUUCUGCACCAGAGAUAGAUCUGUGAGGUCACAACAAACAAGACCGUUAGAGCUGCCCCAAAGACUGUGCCCUGGGAGAGAGCUCCGACGGUCAAGUUAGAUCAUUUGGUAGAUCUGAGAUGGAUCUCUUUAGCUAGAGAGGAUCAUCCUUGUGUUGGUGGUGUUGUAUGGUGGUUGACGGCGGCGGGUGCCGGCUGAGCCACCCGGCCAAAGUAUAGGGCGGCGGCUGAGCCAAGGGGAAGAUCCUAAUGGUGGCAGAACCACCUAGGAAAGAGUCCUCCUUCAUGAAGGAGGCACUAUUCUAUUUAUAGGGGGACAACUAGGUCAAGGGGAAUUAGGUCAGGCCUUGGGCCAACCCAAUUCAGGCCCAGCUAGCAAGGAGCUGGGUAAGGCCGCCCGGAGGCGCCGCGCGGGACUUANUGACGGGCGCGUACCAGGAAAGGACGGCAAGGGUGCGCCAGGAAAGGGAGCGUCAGGUCGGGCCUGCAAGAGAUUCCCCAGCAAGGCUGGCAAGGGAGUCCCCAACAAGGUUGUCAAGGGAAUGCCAGGAGAGGCUGGCAGGAGCGCGCCAGGCCAAGAUGGCGCGCUAGAGCAGUGUAGGCCAUGCUAAUGGACCAUAUAUCAUUAGAUAACAUUGACAGCUGUGUCAGUAGGAAAAUGAUGGACUUUAUGCCUAUUCUUUAGGAAAAUCCUUAGGAAUGAAUGAGUGAAUGAUAAAUGAUUCUUAGGAUAGAUCCUUAAGAAAUAACGAAGAUAAUGGGGAUGGAUAAUUGGGUUGAUUGUUUAAUGACUAAACAUAAUUAUACUAUUGUGGGUUGAAAAACAUAUGUACUCACUAGGUUUCUGAACCUGACCCACUCAAGUUUAUUUGUGUGACAGGUGUCGAUACGAAGCUACUUUACACUGAGAGAUUAAGGAGAUGUAGAUCACUAGUUAAAAUGAAUGUAAGGUCUGUUUAUGCUUAUGUUUCUGUAUUGACGAUGACAUUCCAAAGUUUUAAAAGAAAUAAAAUACAUUUCUUCGGAAAUGAUUUGAUAACACAUUUAUCAUGUUUUUCUGGGAACAAAUUUCACAACAUUUUUCUGGCAUCGGGCCUCGCCCGGUAUACAAAUAACAUAUAAGCACAUGCAUAAAAAUCACUUAAACACAUGCAUAAAAAUCACAAUGAUAAAUAGCAUACAAUAUAAUCAUUACGCCCCGCCCGGUAAUCAUAUAAACACAUAACACAUGCAAGAGUAACACAUACAACUAGUAAGGAAACUCACCUCAAGCUGCAAAAUCACUCGGAUAAAAUCUCAAUCUGUUGGUCCGGAAGAUCCUCGCGCUAACCUCAUAAUAUAAAUAUCCAAUUAAUAAUUGGAUCUCGACCCAUAAUAACCAAUCUAAGUUCCUUUUCCAAUAUCCAGGGUAAAAGAUUGUUUUACCCUUUUUCUUACAUGGCCCAAAACCAAGGCCCAAUCCAUUGCUCAAAAGGGCUAAAUUCCAAAAUGGCAUCCAUAGGCCCAAUAAGGCCCAACUUCCAAAUUGGGCUGAAAAUCAUCAUGGACCUAAUCCCAUGAAAGUCCAUAGUCUAUCCAUGACCCAAAGUCAAAAUUCUAAUGACCUAACAAGGCCCAAAUCUUAAAAACCCAAAAUAUGGCCAAAACCCAGGGAAGUCAAACCAAAAGUCAACCUACUGUACGCUUAGCAUACUCCUUCCAGGGCAAGUAUGUGCAUCGUACCAACUGGGUAUGCCCAACGUACUCCCCAGAUUAUCAACCCAACCCAUUAAUAACUUAAUUGGUUAAGCCAACAUGCUAAACUCUCAGAUCUGGUUCUAAAUGGCGACUUACUAUGUAAAGUUGACAACUUUACACCCAUGCAUGAAUUAAUGGGGCCCAACACUAAAAAAGAAGCUUAAUAAGACUCUUAACACUUGCAUGGAAUAAUAUCUUACAUAAAGUUUGCAUUUUUAUGGGCAAAGGACCUCAAAUCAGCGAAGAUCUAACAUCCAUAGCUUCUGGAGUGGACCAUAACUUCAUAUAUGACUUAAAAGACCCAAAAACGCAUAAAUAUCACCAUAAAAUGGAUCUAGCACAAAGGACCAUCCAGAUGAGAGAUUUUUACCUCAAAAGGCUUGCUAAGGUGAAGAUAACUCUAGAUCUACAAGAUUAAGCUACUCCCAAGAAACCUCGAAGUGUUCCUCGUUUUCUUCUUCUUCACCACAAAACACCAACAAACUCACUUUCAAGCUCAAAUCUGACCAAAUACACUUAGGGUUUCGAUAUUGUGACAUAGGGUGAUGGAGGCUGAUCAAUAAAAUGUCCAAAGGUGGUUUAAGAUGUUUAAGUAGGCUGCAAACCCUAAAAAUUAGGGUUUGCCCCUGCUCUACGUAUGUCAUGCAUACUCUACGUACGCCCCACAUACGUGGGUGAAUCUUGCGUCCAGAAAAUAGAUAGUAUGAUAAGCGUACUCAUAGAGUAUGCCCUGUGUACUAGCUAUGGACCAAAAUGAUAAGGAUUUUGCAUUAAGGGGUUAGAAAGAAACUUACCAAAUUACGAAUGUUACAAUUCACUUUAAUCAGAAUUUGUCCUUGAAGUAUGCUGCUCCAAACAACUUUGGGUAGUGCUCUCUCAUCUCGUCCUCCGGCUCCCACGUCCAUUCUGAACCCUUUCGAUGCUGCCACUGAACUUUCACCAAUUCAACAACCUUGUACCUCAAGGCUUCGUCUUCCUGUCAAGAAUUGUUACCGGUCUCUCGAUAUAAUUCAUGCGAUCAUCCACUUAAAUAUCCUCUAAUAGAACCACCACGGAAUCAUCAAUUAAACAUUUUUGUAACUGAGAGACAUGAAAUAUGCUAUGGAUCAUACUAAGAUCCUCGGGAAGAUACAAGCGAUAAGCAACCCGAACCACCCGUGUGAUAAGUCCAUUUUAUGAAUGUACUAAAUUGUCAUAAAUCUGUUGAAUUGAUGUAUAAUUGUCCAAGAAUGGCACUACAUUGCUGAGUUAUUGAACUUCAUAUGCAGGUCAAUAUAUUGUACUAAAAGUGGGUGGAACCUACAAGUAAAACGGAUUGUUAAAGGAAUGAAGAAACGUUGCUGGGAAAAUUGACCAUUCUUCAAUGUUUUGGUCUAAUCUCAAGUUCUGGAGCUCCGAUUGACAUGAGUAUAGAAGUUCUGGAAACUAGACAAGAUUUUCUACAACUUUCGUGUUUUGUGCUUCUGCUAGUUAUGUCGUUUUGACUACCAAAACUUGCACAGAAGAUGAAGGACACCUCCAGACAUCUAAGACGUCCAGGUCAAACAGCCAACAUCUGGUCGUUAUUUCAGAGCAGAAAAGAAGGAAGAACCCCGUCAGCAUCUAACAUGGAAUCUAAGAUGUCCCCUAGGAUGUCUUGGCAUUUUAGGGACGUCCCGUGUUGGAACGGUGUGUUUAGGAAAGUUUAGAAAACAAGGCACGACGUCCUAGAACGCAUCUAAGACGUCUCCUAAGACGUUUGACGUUUUUGGCCAUUUUUUAGUAUAUUUCAAGGACGUACAAAGAUCGCUUGGGCGUUAUACACGACGUCUAAGAUGUCUCCUAGGACGUCCAACGUCCCACAUCGCCCAAUUUCAUUAUUUUUUAUCCCACACUAUAAAUAGGAGCCUAUUUCGUUGGUUAAAAUUCGGAUUCAAAGCAAGAUUCGAUUCAAUUCAUCAUCAAGCUAUAAGUGAAGAUCAUUUCAUUGGUUAAUUUUCAUCAAUUCUUUAUUUUCCAGAAUUAUUUCUUCUUCCCCAAGGUUUAUUUGUUCUACACUUCGAUAAUCAUUAGGCUACAUUUGUUUGAUGAUUCUACGUUUGUUUAUGAAUUCUAUAAUGGAUUUUAUUCAUUUUAAUCAAGUUAUUUGUCUUAUGAACUCAAUGGAAGGCUAAAUCAUUAGGGUUACUUCCGGGGAUGUUUAGGACUUUUUGAUGAACACACUUGAUUAUUACUUGAUUCUAGUUAAUUUCAAUUGUUGUUUUAUGCUUCAUGUGAUGAUCUUUUGGUAAUGAUAAUUGAAAUUGGGUUGUAUGAAUUGUUUGAUGUCAUAAUUAAGAUAGUCUAUUGUCAAUUCAUCAUUUGUUCCAAGUUCACAUAGUUUAGGAAUAAAGACAAGUGAUUGAAUCAACAUAUAUUAUUCCAACUUAUGAUAUUGAAUCUUAAUGCGGUAAUAGGUACUUGUAAGAUAUUUUAUUGCUAGUCCACUAAUUGUUCUUAAUCCAUUGAGGCAUAAAGGAGUAAGACAACUAGUUAAAUGAACAUUUAGUAUGCCCAAACUAUGUAUUACAAGUUAAUAAAUCCCAAUUGUAUCUAAGUAAUUGAAUUAGGAUUUAAGGGAAGAAAGUGUGUGAAUUUAAACUGUCCAUAACUGAACCGGGAGUACUCUAGUUUUCUCAUUGAGAUUUUCGUUGUAAUUAAUAAAUUUCCAUGCUUUUUGUUUGAUCUUUGCGUUAAAUUCUUUUUCGUGACAAUUGCUAGUAGCUUUUUUUCGUUGACUAUUUUAACACAAAGUUUGACAACAAACUCCCUGUAGAUUCGACCCUUACUUACCCUAGCUAUCUAGUGGUUUUGAGGUUAUUUUUGAUUGAUACAACGACAUCAAUCAUAAUUUGGCGCCUUUGUCGGGGAGAUUGUGCGCUUGAGCUAUUGUUUUUAAGUAGUUAUAGCCUUUUACUUUCAUUUUCAAUUCUCGUUUGUAGUUCACAUUUUGUUUUAUUUGUGUUGUGCAGGCACACUGGUGCAUGCAUACAAGACAUAGCAGACGCUCUUCACCGCUUGCAUUUGAUCCGGAAAUCGAACGAACAGCUCGCUCAAAUCGGGUCGCCAGAAGGAACAUCAACACUAUGAGUGUAGAUAAUGUUGUCGUGGAAGAUGUGGUUGAAGGGCAUGAGGAAGAAGCCAACAAUCCUCCACCACUAGUUCCACCACCAGCUCCUCAAUUCCCAAACAACAACAAUGGGAAUAACAACAAUGCCGGUGCACCAAUCAUCCAACCAGUGCAACCAUAACUGAAUAGAAACAACCGUGGCCAAAAUGGUGGAAACGGAGGAAAUUGGGCAUAGAAUAUGGGAGGCAAUGUAGGAAACCACACUGGUGGUAAUGUUAGAAAUCAUAACCAAAAUCCUAGAAAUGUUGGUCCUCAAUUCGGUAAUGGUGGUAAUGGUGGUAACGAGGAUGAUUGGGAUUUUGACGAUGGAAGUUACAACGGACUUGGUUGGAAUCAUAACCACAACGGUGGUAAUAGGCGGAAUCAAGGAAAUCGGGGUGGAAACGGGUACUAAAACAAUAACUGGAACAACCUGAAUUUCCCUAAUGGUGGCAACAAUUACUACAAUGAUGGGUUCGGAAAUCAAGGCUUUGGGAAUCAAUAUCGAAGGAAUCCAAAUGGUGGAUUCAACAAUGCGAAUGGAGGAUACUAAAAUGAAGGUAAUCAAUUCCCUCAUCUUUACUUUCUGCAGCCUAAUAGACAAUCUGUGGCGUCUCAUUUUCAGCCGAGAGAGUAUGAUGAUGCUUCACCCAUACUCUUCGCAGAAGUAAAUGAGCAUCAUGUAGAAGUAAGACCACAACUAAUUAGUGUCUUACCCGUCUUUAGAGGCCAUAAAACUAAUGAUCCAUACAAUCACCUCUAUGAGUUCCUUGCAAUUGCUAACGCGAAUACUCCGCGAGGAACUAAUAGAGAUUCAUUUAGACUUCUCUUAUUUCCGUUCACUUUAAAAGAAAAAGCUAAGUAUUGGUUCACUUCUCUUGCCCCCAUAGUAUCACUACUUGGGAGCAAUUAAAAACUAAAUUUUUGCAAGAGUUUUACCCAGCUAGUAAAACAACGGAAAUAAGAAAAGCCAUAGAAGAUUUUGCACAAAAACCCAAAGAAGAAUUUCAUGAUGCAUUUGAACGCCUCAAGGAAUUGUUCCGUUCAUGUCCCUAUCAUGAAUUUCCCCGUUGGCAACUGGUAGGUUUCUUUUAUGAUGGAGUCGAUACUGCCAAUCAAAGCAUGAUUAAUGCCUCGUCCGGCGGCAUUAUUAUGAUACAAGAUAGUGAAGACGCUUGGCGAUUCUUAGAGUAGUUGAGUCAUGGUUCAAAAACCAAUUACUCAGCUAAGAAACGGGACAAUCCAGUUUCAUCUGUUGCUUCAGUUGGACUAGACAAAAAACUGGAAAAAUGAAGUCAAAUCUGAUAUUAAUUCUUUAAAUAAAAUUUUUGACUUACUACUCUCUAGUCUAGGCAAAAAGAAAGGUGUGUUUUUUCGCAGGGACAGAAGAUAUGUGUAAGCUGUGGAGAUUCAUGACACAUUGCAGAUGAGUGCAUGAGAAUUCAAGAGGAAAUCAAUCAAGUGCAUGGUUAUGGUCAAUUCCAAAAUAAUCCACGAUCAUUCAAUCGGAACUACAUCCAAGGCGGGAACUACAACAACAUUGGGAUUUUCAACAACAACAACCGUCAAGGGAAUUACCAAAACCAAAAUCAGCCAAAACAGUUCCAGCAGUCCAACUUUAACCAAGGUGGAACAUCAAAGAAGGAGGAAAAUGAUGGCAACAAGUUGGACAAAAUCAUGGAGUUCAUAACCUAAACAUAUCAGAAAACCGACACUAACUCCAAGUCUAUAGCUGCUAUUGAGAAGCAAAUUGCUCAACUGGCGGAGCAAAUUGGGAAAAGAGAAGAUGGCAAGUUUCCAAGCACCACAACAGUGAACCCAUCUCAUACCCAGAGACCCCGAAAAGAGCAUCAAGUGAACGAGGUAAUUACCUUGUGUAGUGGAAAAAAGGUUGACAACAAGGUAAGUGCUUCUACAUUAGAUAAUGACAGUGACACUGAAGUCAUCUUUGAUGAAAAAGAAGAGUUUGAGAAAGAUUUUAAAUCCGAAAAACAAAAAGAAGAUAAGGUUAAAAAUGACUCUAAAGUUGGGGAGCAUGGUGUGGAGGUUAAUACCGCACCAUACCCUUCGGCUUUAGAGAAGCCGGCAUCCUUCCCUUUUGGGAAGCGAGGGCUAAAAAUGGAAGACAUGUGAGAUCUAUUUAGUCAAGUUAAAAUAAAUAUCCCAUUAGUCAAACUUAUUAAGGAGGUACCUUCUUAUGCUAAAUUUUUGAAGGAUUUGUGUGUUCAAAAACGCAAACUCCAAGCAUACCUCCCUAAAAAGAUUGAUUUAGUCAAGCAUGCGAGUUCGAUAAUAUCAAAUAAACUUCCACCCAAGCUUAAGGAUCAUGGAGCACCUUUAAUUUUUGUUACGCUAGGUAACAUUAAUAUAAAAAAGGCGCUCCUUGAUCUUGGAGCUAGUGUUAAUAUAAUCCCGGGAAAUUUUUUUGAUCAACAUGACUUAGGCACUUUGGAACAAACUGAUAUUAUUUUACGAUUGGCCGAUAAGUCAACAAAAAUUCCUUGGGGAAUAUUAUCAGAUGUUAUUAUUAAGGUGGGAGAUUUCUAUUACCCAGUUGAUUUUCUUAUGCUUGACACCGUGAGCACUUAUAAAGAAAGUCAACCUUCUAUUAUUUUAGGUCGUCCGUUAUUGACAGCAAUAAAUGCACAAAUUAAUUGUAGAACGGGUGCAAUGGAUAUCUCUUUUGGAAAUAGGAAACUUAGAAUUGAUAUUUUUAAUACGUUUCCUAACUCACCAUCAGAUUAUGAAUGUUAUCAUGUGGAUGUGGUUGAUGACUUAGUGCAUCAAUUCACUCUUAAAAUCUUACACCCUGAUCCAUUGGAGUUUUUUCUUUCUAAUGACAGGGACGAAGUUUUAGAGUUGGAUGACAUCAAGAUGGUUGAGGAGGCAUUUGAAAAUGUUAUUGAGCAAGAGAGGCCACCAUGGAGUUAUCAAGUUGAAAAAUUGCCAACAAGUUUUUCGGACCCACUUAAGCCAUCUUUGGAGGAGCCACCCAGUCUUGAACUCAAAACUCUUCCUUCACAUCAUAGAUACUCUUUUUUAGGAUCUAAGGAGAACUUACCAAUUACCAUAUCUUUUGAUUUGACAUGUCCACAGGAGGAAGCAUUACUGAAGGUGCUUUCGAAGUACAAGGGAGCAAUUGGAUGGACCAUAGCAGACUUGAAGGGAAUUAUUCCAGCCACAUGUAUGCAUUGAAUCAUCACUGAAGCUAGAGAAAAGCCAUCCCGAGAUGCACAACGAAGGCUCAACCCGAAUCUGCGAGAAGUUGUUAAAAAGGAGGUGUUGAAAUGGCUUGAUGCGGGUAUUAUCUACCCAAUAUUUGAUAGUGAUUGGGUGAGCCCGACACAGACAGUGCCAAAGAAGUCGGGCGUUACAGUGGUAGAUACAGAAGAUGGAGAGAAGAUCUCAACAAGAUCGGUCACCAGAUGGAGAGUUUGCAUCGACUAUCGCAAACUCAAUGCUGCAACAUCAAAUGACCAUUUCCCUCUCCCUUUUAUUGAUCAAAUAAUUGAGAAAUUGUAUGGUAAAAAGUUUUAUUGUUUUUUGGAUGGAUACUCGGGGUAUAAUCAAAUUGCCAUCCACCCCGAGUAUCAAUCCAAAAUGACAUUCACGUGUCCAUAUGGCACCUUUGCUUUCCGAAGGAUGCCAUUCGGCUUGUGUAAUGCCCCUGCCACAUUUUAAAGAUGUAUGAUGGCUAUUUUUUUAGACGUGGUGGGGGAUGCAUUAGAAAUUUUCAUGGAUGAUUUUUCUAUUUUUGGAUCAUCUUUUGAGACAUGCUUAGACCAAUUAGAAAAAGUUUUGAAACGUUGUAUUGACUCUAAUUUGGUUUUAAGUUGGGAGAAGAGUCAUUUCAUGAUAAAAUAGGGAAUUGUACUUGGCCAUGUUGUCUCCGAGCAUGGCUUUGAAGUCGACCGGGCCAUAGUACAAAUUAUUUCUACUCUUCUCCCACCAACUUCAGUAAAAGGCGCCCGUUCUUUUCUUGUACAUGCCGGCUUUUAUCGAAGAUUUAUCAAGGAUUUUAGUGCAAUGUCAAAACCUCUUUGUAAUUUACUUUUAAAAGAUGCACCAUUUUCCUUUGAUAAAGCAUGUCUUGAAUCUUUUACCACAUUAAAGAACAAACUUGUUGAAGCUCCUAUCUUGCAAUCACCCGAUUGGACUUUACAUUUUGAAAUUAUGUGUGAUCCAAGUGAUUACGCGGUAGGGGCAAUUUUGGGACAACGGGUGAAUAAAAAACCCAUUGCAAUUUGUUAUGCGAGCAAAAAAAUUUCGGAUGCACAAUUGAAUUACACUACUACCGAAAAAGAGUUGCUUGCGGUCGUGUUUGCACUUGAAAAUUUUAGAUCUUACAUAUGGGGAUCUAAAGUUGUAAUUUUUACCGACCAUAGUGCCAUUCACCACCUCUUGGAAAAGAAGGAUGCCAAACCACGUCUCAUAAGAUGGAUCCUUCUUCUUCAAGAGUUUAAUCUUGAAAUUCAGGACAAAAAGGGUUCUGAAAAUGUUGUGGUGGAUCAUUUAUAUAGAAUAACUAAUAAUGAUAACUCAACGAAAGUUAUUCAAGAAAACUUUCCAGAUGAGCAUAGUCUUGUUGUCAAAACUAUACCAUGGUUUGCUAAUUUAAUUAAUUACUUUGCGACAGGGGAAACUCCAUUGUAUUGGAAUGCUCAACAAAUGAGGUUCUUCCACUCUCAAACAAAAUACUACAUAUGGGAGGACCCAUAUAUUUUCAAAAUUGGAGCAGAUCAAGUGAAUAGGAGAUGUGUACCACAUACAGAGCAAGAAGACAUUCUUCGACACUGCCAUUCAUAUACAUGUGGAGGGCAUUUUAGUGCCAAAAGGCAGGGCAUCGGGUUCUACAAAGCGGUUUUUUCUGGCCCUCUAUUUUUAAAGAUGCACAUACAUUCGUUAAAGCUUGUAUUCGUUGCCAACAAGUUGGGGGGAUCUCAAGACGGGACAUGAUGCCAAUGACCCCAAUUUUAGUAGUUGAAAUCUUUGAUGUAUGGGGCAUUGAUUUCAUGGGUCUGUUCCCCACUUCUUUUGGCAAUCUAUACAUUCUUGUAGCCGUUGAUUAUGUAUCAAAAUGGCUCGAAACCGAGGAUACACACACGAAUGACCAUAGUGUUGUUUGUAAAUUUGUUAAAAAGAACAUAUUUUCUACACACGGAAUCCCUCGAACUAUUAUUAGUGAUGGGGGCUCCCAUUUUAAAAAUUGGCAUUUUGCAAAGUUACUUAAACACUAUAGUGUCACACAUAUGAUAGCUACUCCAUAUCACCCACAAACAAAUGGACAAGUAGAAGUGUCAAAUAGGGAAAUAAAACGAAUCUUGGAGAAGACUGUUCAUCCCGACCGAAAAGAUUGGUCAUUAAGAUUAGAUGAUGUGUUAUGGGCAUAUCGAACAACCUAUACGACGCCCAUUGGAAUGUCUCCGUAUCGGCUUGUUUAUGGAAAGCCAUGCCAUCUCCCGGUGGAGUUAGAACACCGUGCCAUGUGGGCCAUAAAAAAUGCUAACUUUGAAUUGAGUGAUGCAGGUAUAGAAAGGAAACUCCAAAUUGUUGAAUUGGAAGAGAUUCGAAAAGAAGCUUACGAAAGCUCAAGGAUCUAUAAAGAAAAGACGAAGGCAUUUCAUGACCGACAUAUUGUCCGAAAACAAUUCGUUAAAGAACAAUUGGUGUGGCUAUUCAACUCUCGUCUCAAACUCUUCCUCAGAAAGCUUCGGAGUAAAUGGAAUGGACCUUUUGUGGUGAAAAAUGUGGCGGAUCAUGGAUCUAUUGAAAUCAAGGACACGAAAGGCAGUGAACCAUUCAAGGUAAAUGGACAAAGACUCAAACCUUAUAUUCGAAUGGUAAAUGGUGAAACAACAUUCGUUGAGAAAACAACGCUCAAGGCAACACAAUAUUUAGAAACAACUUAGUCGAGGUAAACCGUCCGGCUGAAGACAUAAAACUUACCGCUUUUCGGGAGGCAACCCGUGGUUUGGUGUGUUUUUACUUCUAUUCUUCUUUUGGUGUGUUUUAAUUCUUUUCGUAUCGAGGACAAUCCAAGGUUUAAAGUUGGGGAGGGGGUAUUUAAUUUUUGUUUAAAAUUAAAUAAUAUUCGAAAAAUACUCAAAAAACAGCAAAAAAAAAUAGCCUCAGGCAUCCUAGGGGUGUCUUAGACGUUGUCUAAGACGCCGUCGGGCUGUCACUUCUUUUCCCCCCGAUGAAAACCCUUCGCGAAAAUUAAAAAAAUACCCUUAAUGUGUAUGACGUCCUAGGACGCGUCUAAGACGCCGGCUAGGACGUCGACGUGUUUUUCAACCGUUUUAUGCCGUUUUCUGCAUUAUUGUUGGUAUCUUUCUUCUCCAAACUGCCAUAGCCGAAAACCCACUUGUUCUUGCUUAUUUCCUUUGAUUUCUUGGCCAAAACUCAACCAAAAUUCGUGGUUUUUGUUGCAAUCUUCAAGAAAUCAAGUAAGAAACAUCACAUUGCAAGAUUUACACACUCUAAUCACUUAUUUGGGGCCGAUUUCAAAACCCACAAAAACUAGGGUUUCGAAAUUUUGACUUAUUUUGAGAUUUUACUUCAAGUUCUUGGUUCUUCUUCACUAGAAACACAAUUUCAACAAGGUAUAUGCUUCAAAACUCCAUCUUUUAGUUGAAUUUCAGAAUUUUUGCAUGUAUGUUCAUAUAUGUUUGAAAUUUUGAAAAAGAUGAAGAAUAUGAUAUAUAUUGGUAUGAAUUCUUGUGAAUUAGUGUUUGUAGUUGUUAGAAGUAUGUUCCAAACAAGUUGCAUGUGUUGAUUCGAGAAAUUUCUAAAAAUUGAAUUUUUGUUGUUAGUUGUUAAAAAAUAAUAAUAAUAAAUAAAAGCACAUAUAAUGUUGGAAAAUCAUUCUUAUGUUUAUAUUUGUGUUUGAAUUAAAAAUUCAAGUUUUUAGAAAAUUUCAGAAUGACACUGAAUUUUGACAUUGCAUUGUUAGUCUGAAUAUUUGCCUGUUACAGUUCUGUUCUGGUUUUAGUUAGAACUUGUCAGUUGAAGUUAACUUUUGGUUUAACUGUGUUUUUACUGAUUGGAUAAAUUUUUGAAAAAUAUUUAGUUACUAAAAACAUAACAGGACUUAAAACGGUUAUUUAUUUAGACUGGAUUUAUUUUAACUUUGUUUGGAACAACUUGCCAACUGAAUUAUUUGUUUUAUUUUUGUGACAUUUGAUAUGUUUAAUGGCAAGUUUUGUUUUGUGGUUUUGUGUAUGAAUUAUUUUGCAGAUGCCAGCAAAGAGAUCAAGGGUAGCAUCAUCAAGCAGUGCAUCUAGACAACCAGCUAGACAGUCGGAGCCAAAUGUACAUGUGGCUUUCAACCCACAGUAUCAGACAUUGCAUGAGCAUCUAGAUGACAUUCGUCCAACAGUUUAUGAGGCAACUCAUCCGAAUAUGGGUUUUAUUGUAGAGUACAUGGUGGAGCGACCGAGCUUCACUAGGUAUAAUAUUGUGGAGACGUUUGAUCGCUAUGGAUGGGGUGGAGUGCUAGACUUCAAUCCCACGCAGAUUUAUGUUGAUAUAGUGCAGGAAUGGAUGAGGAAACUUCGACGUGUCGAGGUGCCUGGUAGGCCGGAGGAGUUGCCGCUGAUUGGGACGGUCCGUACUCAUGAUAUAGUGAUAACUGUGCAGGGUAUUCGGGACAUGUUUCAUGUAGAUACUGGCUGUCAUUUUCAUUAUCUUGAGAAUCAUCUGACUGAGUAUAGAUGUAUUGACACGAGGGGGUAACCCUGGGGUUAGUAUGACUGAAGUAUACCGUAUAGUGUUCCAUGAGGGGACGAGGGCAUACGACAGAUUCCGCGAAUUGGUGCCUUUAGCAAAGGCAUUACAUAACAUUAUCACGAAAAAUGUGAACCCAAGGAAUAGUGAUCCUAGGGCGGUGAGGCCACAUGACUUAUAUGUAUUAUAUGGAUUGAUGAUAGGAUCUAUCUUUAUCUCUUAUGCAUAUAAUGCUAUGUGCAACAUAUGGUCCUGUUUUGAUAUCCAGCACAGAGUCACUACCCCCCAUGUUGCCCUGAUAUCGACAUAUGUUGCCUUGCUACUUCUUUUAGACACAUCUCAUUUCAUGUUGAAAAUGGGAGACAUAUUCUGAGGGAUUCUACCACAAAUCCGACAUACACGGCACCACUCGGAGUGGGGGAUGAGGAGCCAUUCGUUGGUGAUUUUUAGGGGGAUCAGUAGCAGCAAUAGGCAUAAGCAGCAGGUCGGGGAUAGAACAUGCAGGCAGCUUGGGAGGACUUUGUGGGGAGGCAGAACAUGCAUAACCAGGAGGUGCAGGCUUGGAUGGGGAGAACGGAUAUAUGGUUGAAGGGUGUCGAUACGACACUAGCUGAUAUUACUGAGCAGAUGCGACAGAUUGGCAUUACAUCUAGCAACACUUAUAGUGUUGCCACUCGUCAGUUGUACCAACAGGAGUACUAUGCAGAUGCUGCCUACACAUAGAGUCGUGUCCAGUAUGAACCGAUGGACAUUGAUCAACCACAGUAUCGAUACCGAGCUCCAGCUCCGUUCUUCUACCGAUCCGGGAAUCUGAGCAACUAUCCACCGCCAUCCGAGCAUGAGCAUUAUCAGCCACCACCAGCUACAGAGGACUCUACUCGCUUUGAGGAUUUAGUUGGAUCGAUCUUUGGGUAUCCUCCACCAUACCCACGUUAUCCUCCACAGUCGCCCCCACAUUGAACUUUGGUGAGAUCCUCUUUUGAUUUUUAUUUUUAUGGUUGUUUGAUGAAGACUUUUUUUAUUUUUAUUUUUAUUUUUCGUUUGCUUUUCAUGUCUUUAUUUGGGAUGAAUGUACUAUUAUUAAACUCAUUAUUAUUAUUACUCUCUCUUGGGUUGGUUCCAUUAAAUAUGUGAUGAGUUAGUAGCAUCUCUAUAUCUUGAACGUAACUCAUCAAAAUGGAAAAUGAUAGGAGUUUCGUAAAUUGAGUCAUAAUAUUUAUUUAAUAUUGAUUUUGUGGAUUGCUCAACCGAUUUGGGAAUAUUUAUAUUUAGUUAAAAAAUUGUUAUGUGAAAUACCCAAGUGUUUGAAAAAUGACGGUUUUUAGCUCGAGCCUACGAUCUUUCAAUUGAGGACCCAACCGAACAAUAUGUGUCAUCACGCUCUGAGUACUUGGUCUUACUUACUCUUGCGCCUUUGGGGUUGGGAGGGGACUAUUAUUGUUUUCACACAAUAAAAAAGCAUCAAAAGACAUUGAAGAACUUCCAAGUAUCUAUAUUCAAGCUCAAGUCAAAUACCAAAAUGAUCAAAUCCGAUGAAGCCAUCAAAGAACUUGAAGAAUGCAAAAUCAAGAUAAAUAUGAAGAAAAGUUCAAGUUGAAGACAUUGUGUGAAAUAAUGUGUGACCCCUCGAUAGCGGGAGCGUAUGGGUUGGUCCAUUAAGUGUUACCGACCGCGCUAACUAUGUUAGUGAACCUUGAAAAAAGGGACUUUGGCAAUGAGUUCAACUGAUUACUCAUGAGGGUGAUUAUUGGAAAGGGUUCAAAAAGUGGAGGGUUUCAAACAACAAAGUAAAAUAAGCAUAACAUGUGUUUUGAGUUUAAAAGUCUGGAUAAGAAAAUAAUAAUCCCCAUAAUCAAUAUAUUGUGCUAUUGGAAAUGUUGUGAUAAAAAGUACAGAAUUCAUGAUUCCAUUGAGUUUUUCUUAGGAUAAGAGAGUAAAGACUACGCUGAUUAUUUCAGGCCAAUCUCGGGACGAGUUUGGAAUAAAGUUGGGGAGGUUUGAUAAGUCCAUUUUAUGAAUGUACUAAAUUGUUAUAAAUCUGUUGAAUUGAUGUAUAAUUGUCCAAGAAUGGCACUACUUUGAUGAGUUGUUGAACUUCAUAUACAGGUCAAUAUAUUGUACUAAAAGUGGGCGGAACCUGCAAGUAAAACAGUGCUAAAGGAAUGAAGAAACGUUGCUGGGAAAACUGACCAUGCUUCAAUGUUUUGGUCAUAACUGAAGUUCCGCAGCUCUAAUUGACAUGAGUAAAGAAGUUCUGGAAACUAGACAAGAUUUUCUACAACUUUUGUGUUUUGUGUUUCUGCUAGUUAUGUCGUUUUGACCACCAAAACUUAAACGAAAGAUGAAGGAUGCCUCCAGGCGUCUAAGACAUCCCCUAGGACGUCCACAUCAAACGGUCAGCAUCUGGCCGUUAUUUCAAAGCAGAAAAGAAGGAAGAACCCCCGUCAGCGUCUUACAUGGCGUCAAAGAUGUCCCCUAGGACAUCUUGGCAUUUUGGGGAUGUCCCGUGUUGGAACGGUGUGUUUCGGAAAGUUUAGAAAACAAGGCAGGACGUCCUAGAACGUGUCUAAGACGUCUCCUAAUACGUUUGACGUUUUUGGCCAUUUUUUAGUGUAUUUCAAGGACGACAGAUGGCAUGCAAGGACGUACAAAGAACGCCUGGGCGUUAUACACGACAUCUAAGAUGUCUGCUAGGACGUCCAACAUCCCACAUCCCCCAAUUUCAUUAUUUUUUAUCUCACACUAUAAAUACGAGCCUAUGAAUUCGUUUUUAGGGUUACCACCUCCGAUUUUCAGAGUUUUUCAUGUGUUUUUGAGGCUUCUAAAACACUUGGAAACAUUUGAAAACACAAAUCCAUUCCAUUAAAAUCCGGAUUCAAAGCAAGACUCAAUUCAAUUCAUCAUCAAGCUAUAAGUGAAGAUCAUUUCAUUGGUUAAUCUUCAUCAAUUCUUUAUUUUCCAGAAUUAUUUCUUCUUCCCCAAGGUUUAUUUUUUCUAUAAUUUGAUAAUCAUUAGGCUACAUUUGUUUGAUGAUUCUACAUUUGUUUAUGAAUUCUAUUAUGCAUUUUAUUCAUUUCAAUCAAGUUAUUUGUUUUAUGAACUCAAUGGAAGGCUAAAUCAUUAGGGUUACUUCUGGGGAUGUUUAGGACUUUUUGAUGAACAUAAUUGAUUAUUACUUGAUUUUAGUUAAUUCAAUUGUUGUUUUAUGCUUCAUGUGAUGAUCUUUUAGUAAUGAUAAUUGAAAUUGGGUUGUAUGAAUUGUUUGAUGUCAUAAUUAAGAUAGUCUAUUGUCAAUUCAUCAUUUGUUCCAAGUUCACUUAGUUUAGGAAUAAAGACAAGUGACUGAAUCAACAUAUAUUAUUCCAACUUAUGAUAUUGAAUCUUAAUGCGGUAAUAGGUAGUUGUAUGAUAUUUUAUAGCUAGUCCACUAAUUGUUCUUAAUCCAUUUAGGCAUAAAGGAGUAAGACAACUAGUUAAAUGAAAAUUUAGUGUGCCCAAACUAUGUAUUACAAGUUAAUAAACCCCAAUUGUAUCUAAGUAAUUGAAUUAGGAUUUAAGGGAAGAAAGUGUGUGAAUUUAAACUAUCCAUAACUGAACCGGAAGUACUCUAGUUUUCUCAUUGAAAUUUUCGUUUUAAUUAAUAAAUUUCCAAGCUUUUUGUUUGAUCUUUGCUUUAAUUUUUUUUCGUGACAAUUUCUAGUAGUUUGUUUUUUUUCGUUGACUAUUUUAACACAAAAUUUGACGACAAACUCCUUGCGGAUUCGACCCUUACUUACCCUAGCUAUCUAGUGGUUUUGAGAUUAUUCUUGACUGAUACAACGACAUUGAUCAUCGUGCCAAAACCCUAAAGAGACCGAUGUGCCUGGGGCCCAAUUUGCUCUUCUUCCUGAAUCGGAUGACACCUUUCCAAUGUGACAAGUUCAGGGGGACCAUAUCCCUAACCUGAAACUCUAAAUCUGAUUGGUGCUUGUCGGCAUAGCUCUUCUUCCGGCUCUAAGCUGUCUGGAGCCUACUCCAAACUGCUGAAUCAACUUGGUAGUCUUGAGUACCGCUUUGGUACUCCCCAUUAGUAGCUGACCGUCCUCACCCCAACAUAUCAUGGUACUGCAUUUCUUUCUAUAGAGCAUCUCAAAAGGAGGUCGAUUAAUGUUGGCGUGAUUACUAUUGUUAUACAAAAACUAUUGGAUUAGGUGUCUAAGACCAUAACUAUUUUGGUAUGUACUUGACCCGAUUGUGAGCAUGGUCCUUUUGGGUUGCCUUCACCAUAGCAACUGAUGGGAUGAAUUAAGGAGAAAAAGGAUUAAUUAUGAUUUAUUAAUAUAUUAUAUGAAUAAUAUAUUAAAAGAGAAAUCAUAUUGUUUAAUUAAUAUUAGUCAAUAAUUCAUUUUGUGGCUAAAAGAGAUUAAUUAAAUAAAGGGGACUGAUAUUGCAAUUAUAUGAUAGUUGCAAAUUGGGCUAUGGAUUCCUAAUGGAAAUCGGAUUGGACAAAAUCUAUGGGAAGCCCAUAUGGAUUUCGUCCAAGGGCUUUCCAAGGGAACUCCAUGGGUUGCUUAAGGCGUAAGCAGUGAGAUUAGGGUUUCCUGAUUCAAAACCCUAAUAGCCUAAGUAUAAAAGGAACCCUUGGCAAGCCAAAAACGUCCCUAACCUUAUAAGAGAAACCCUAGGACGUUUUUGGUGCCUCCUCCCUCUCUCCUUGUUCAUCUUGUUACAUAUGGUGUUUGUGACUCCAUUAGAGGUGCAACAUUUGAGGCACUAGGCUUUCAGAAGUCAAUUACAAGAAGGAUUCGGAUUGUUAUUGCAACAUAACAAUCAAGGUAAGAUCUAAAAUCUAUCCUUUUGUCAAUUUUGAUUAUUGUAUACUAGAGUUAGGGUUUAUGAGCUUUGGAUGAUUAUUACGUAUAUCAGACAAACUAGAUCCAAAGCUUUAGGGUUUGCAUGUACACCAUAGGAUUGACGUAGUGCUCAAAACCCAUCAAAAACUACGCCAAAGGGAUAUAUGUAUCCCAACUCCCACCAAAAUCCAGAACACACGCCCGAAGCAUAUCCUCCAAGGUAUGAAUAGUCCUCUCGCUCUGACCAUCAGUAUGUGGGUGGAAAGUCGUACUGAAAUGCAGAUGAGUACCCAGCUCGUCGUGGAACCUCUUCCAAAAUCUGGAAGUAAACCGGACGUUCCUGUCUAAAACCACAAAACGGGCACACCAUGAAGUGCCACUACCUCCCUGAUGUAUACCUCAGCUAACUUCUCUGAGGAGAUACUAUCUUGAGUCGGAAUAAAAUGUGUGAACUUGGUCAAUCAAUCCACGAUGACCCAAAUCGAAUCCACUCUAUGUUCACUCUAAGGCAACAUCGUAAUGAAAUCCAUGGUAAUCUCCUCCCAUUUUCAAACAGUGAUAUCUAACGGUUACAUCUUGUCGUGAGGCCACUGAUGCUCGGCCUUGACUUUCCUUCAAGUCAAGCAUCUCUCCACGUACCAAGCUACAUCCCGCUUCAUACAGGGCCACCAAUAAUCAGGAUGAAGAUCAAUAUACAUCUUCGUCGUGGUGGGAUGAAUGGAGAAUCUCAAUUUGUGUGCCUCCUCCAUCAGAACUUGACGCACACCAGCCCAAUCGGAACCCACACUCUUCGAUGGAGAUUCAAUAACCCUUGGUUUUCAUAAUAAAAGGAAGCCACCUGACUCACUGUGCGCUCACUCUUCCCAUCACAACCUCAACCUGAGCCUCUCAAAUCUACUCUAAAAGUGGAGUGAUCACAGUCAUCCUGAAACAAAUAUCCUUGAACGGAGCCGCGAUCGCCUUGCUGCUAAGAGCAUCGGCCACCACAUUAUCCUUCCCCGUAUGGUAAAGGAUCUCACAAUCAUAAUCCUUCACCACAUCCAACCAUUGGCACUGCCUCAUGUUCAUAUUUGGCUGAUCCAUCAGAUACCUCAAGCUCUUGUGAUAUGUCUAUAUAGUACAGCGGGCCCCAUAGAGGUAAUGUCAUCAAAUCUUGAGGGCAAAAACCAUAGCCCCAACUCUAAAUCAUGCAUCGGAUAAUUCGUCUCAUGAUGCUUCACUUACCUUGAAGCGUAAGCGAUCACGUGACCCCUCUGCAUCAGAACUACACCUAAACCUGUGAUCGACGCAUCAUAAUAAACCAUGAAAUCUUCAACACCCUCCGGCAGGGUCAAAAUAGAUGCCUCACACAAUCUUUAUCUUAGGGUCUCAAAAGUUGCAUGUUGGUCGGGCGCCCAGCGAAAAGUGACAAUCUUCUUCGUCAACCGAUUUAGAGGAACCGCUAUCUUGGAGAAAUCCUAAAUGAACCUCCGAUAAUAGCCUUCCAACUAAGGAAACUCCAAAUCUUAGAUGGAGACCUCGGUACCUCCCACCUCAUCACGGCCUCGACCUUGGCCGGAUCGACCAGAAUACUGUUUUGGUUGACAAGGUGCCCUUGAAACUGCACCUCGUGCAACUAGAACUCGCACUUGGAGAACUUUGCAAAAAGUCUCUCCCUCCUCAAAGUUUCCAAUACCUCCCUGAAGUGCUCCUCAUGUAGCUCCUGGGUCUUGGAAUAGACCAGGAUAUCAUCAAUGAAUAGGGCAUUUUGUAUAAUCAAUUGUUGAUGUUAUUGAAAAUAAUGAUGUUAUUGAAACAUAUGCAUGGCAUGUAUUCCCAAUAAUUAUAUUUAAUUAAUUGGUUGUUGUGCAUGUUAUUAUAUUGGGAACAAAUUAGAAAGUGGUCCAUGUGGUAGUACAUGAUAUGUAUGGGGACCAUUUGUAGUUAAUAGUCAAUGGGUAUUUUUAUAAUGGAAAAAUGGGACCUUUGAACCCAUUAUAGAACCAUAUCCAUGACUAUAUAACAAAUUCACAUGCAUGCACAUUAUUCCAAAUUUUUCCAUGCAUAAAUAUUCAAACCCAUUGGUCAUGAGUUUACUUAAAAAGGCAACAUACUUUCAUAAGUGAGUAAAAUAUCAUUUCAUGUCAACAAUUUACUUACAAAGGCAACAUACAUUCAUUAGUGACCAAAAUACCCUUUUAUGUCAUGAGUUAACUUAAAAAAGCAUCACGCAUACAUAAAUGACUAAAAUACCCUUUUAUGUCAUGAGUGAACUUAAAAAGGCACCAUGCAUACAUAAAUGACCAAAAUACCCUUUUAUGUUAUGAGUGAACUUAAAAUGGCACCAUGCAUACAUAAAUGACCAAAAUACCCUUUUAUGUCAUGAGUUAACUUAAAAAGCCACCAUGCAUACAUAAAUGAUCACAUCACAUGUAUUCAAAUACACAUACUUUAAAUCCAAAUUACCAUCAUCCUAAUACACAAACUUAAAAUCCAAAUUACCAUCAUCCUAACACACAUACUUUAAAUCUAAAUAACACAAAGGAAAAAUCAACACUAAUAAAUUAGAAGAGCUUUUCCCUUAGAAUUUCCUGGAUCAUCAACACCACCAACUUUCUUGCCUAAUUUCAACUUGAAGAUUCUCUUUGACUUUCUUCUCCUUAUCCUGUUCAAAAUCUUGGAAAUUGGUCUAACCCUUACCUGUUGAACCUAGAUAAUAGGAGUAACCUCCUAAAUUUGAACAUUAUCAACAACUUGGACAUUAGGAAUAACCUCAUCAUCUUGAACAUUACCACCCUCCUCAACUUCCUCACCCAUAACACCCCCAUCACCUUCAUAACUUCUAGGUGGAAUAACUUGCAUAGACUGACUAAAAUCCCUUGCACUACUGGAUUCAACAUGAGUAGAAGUAACUUGCAUAUCAUUUUGAGUAUUAUCCAUCUCAAUUGGAGUCAUUUAACCUCUUCUUGUUGUUGUGGUUCACUUGUACUACCCUAUAUGGCAUGAUAUAAUUAUGUUAGUGGCAAAUCAUAUGUAAAUAAAUUUAAAUUUUAAAUGGUUUUACCUGUUCUGCAUUUUUCUUCACAUAAACUUUUUGUUUCUUCUGUUUCUUUACAUUUAACUUUUGGGGCCUUCUCUAUGGACAAGUGGCCUUACUGUGACACAUCUCCUUGCAUAUAAUACAUCUAAUUUUCUUUCCAUCCUUAGAAACCCUGUGUGUUCCUGUAUUCUUUGUAGUGGAUUUCUUCUUCUUAGUAGCUGGCCUACCAUGCAUCCGUCUACUAAUAAGAGGCAAUGGUGGAGUAUAAUUUGUCUCUGGCCACAUGUCACUGCCAUUCAUGGGGGAAAUUCUGUAAUUGUAUGCCUUCCGAAUUGUGGUGGUGUUAAACAUGUUGUCUACAUAGGCUUCUACAUCUCUAUUAAGAUUGGAUAUGGUAGCUACAGAAUGAGCAUAUCCAUAUCCAUUUAACCGCCACAACCUACAUGAACAUGUUUUCCUUUAUAAGUCCACCUCAUAUGCAUCUGUUUCUCCCUUACCUCGAACUGGUUUAAUCCACUAGGUAGUACCUGAUAAUGCCUCUGAAUUUUUUAAGCAAAUUCACCUUAUCCCUUAUCUCUGGACAAAUAUUAUUUCCCCAUUGUUGUCCCUUUAAUUUCAUGUUGUACAUUUUGUCCAUCAUGUAUAAUCUUAACUCCUCUAACAUGGUUAUUAUGGGCUUCUUCCUGGUAUCCACUAUUACAACAUUAAAACUUUCAGAGAAAUCAUUUUCAACUGCAUCACAACACCUUCCAGCUUGAAAGUAAGCUCUUGACCAUGUUUUAAGAUCUUUCUCCAUGAGAUAUUGAUGGGCAUCUGGGUUUAAUGUCUCAAUUUCCUUCAUCACAACUUUAAAAGCAUGCUCAUUUGUGGUUUUAGAUGCUCUCCAAAACAAGGUAUGAUAUAUGACACCAGUGAAUCUCUUCUGCAAAUUUUGAAAAAUAUGUCUAGCACACUGCCUGUGCAUAUGGAAGAAACUCUUUAACAGCCUCUAUCAAACCUUGUAUUAAUAAAAAGGUUUAAAUCAGAUAGUAUAAAAUAAAUAUAAAUGAAUUACUAUGUAAAAUACUAACCUUAUGUUGGUCUGACAUUAAACUGAAGCAAUUGCCUAAACUUAAGUUUAGAUUAUUAAUGAGAAGCUCUAAAAACCACUUUUAAUUCUACUUGUUCUCCACACUAACCAUUGCCCAAUCAAUAGGAUAUAUCUUGUUAUUUACAUCCCUCCCAAUAACACAAAGCAAUCCCCCCUUACAAACACCUUUAAGAAAACAUCCAUCAAGACCCAUUAUCCUUCUACACCCUUUAAUCCAACCUUGUUUAAUUCCUUGAAAACAAACAUAGAACUUGCUAGAAUAUUUCUUUCCAUCUGGACCAUCCUCCACAUCUAGUUUCACAGUUGACCUAGGAUUUGUCCUUAAAAUCUCAUCAACAUAUUACCAUAGCUUACCAUAAUGUUCAACAAGGCUACCUUCAACAAGAUUUAAUGCAUACUUCUUUGUUCUCCUACAUUAGCCCAUACUAACUUGGAUACUAAACUUGGUCAUUACCUUUACCCUAAGCUUCCUUACACUCAUUUUAUGACUUUGUACAAUCUCUUUGGUAUAGUGACUCCCAAUCCAUGCAUAUGUCACCAAUAAUCCAAACUUGAAGUUCCUAGCACAAUUAUGAUAAGCUUUUUGUGACUUGAUUUGGAAAGUCUCUCCAUCAUUCAUCCAAGAAGCCCAUAAUAUAAAUGUGCAAGCACCCUUGCUACAUCUCACCAAAAGUCUUUUCCUAUCAUAUUUUUUCAAAACACAAUUGAUAUCCAUUAGCCACAACAUAGUUGCACAACCUUGACUUUACUUGCCCUGGACCCUUAGAUCUCAUUCCUAGAAUUGGUUUUUGUUUUUUCCAGUGUAAUAGCUCAUUAAAUAUGGAAAUAGUUUGGAUGUUAGGUUCAACUUCUCUCCCAUUAUCAUCAUCUACAAUGUUGUUAUCCUCCUCAUCAUCAACACACAACUUACUCACGAAAGGAUCAUUUGAUGUCCUAUUCAUAUGCACUGCAUCCUUAUUAAAUUCAAAGACAACAUUCCUAAGUUCAUCUAUGUUAUCUUCAUCUAUGUUAGCGGCGCAGCUUUUUGCCCGUUUGCCUUCAAUCGAUAUGUAUUGAACAAAAAUGUUUGAAUGUCUAUCAAUACAAGGCUCAUGUUCAUCAUCAAACCACCCACCAACACCAACCCCAAUAUGAUCCACAUAAACCGAAAUUACACCAUCUGUUCCAUCAACAUCAAAAAUAAAAGCAGCAUAGUCCACAUCAUCUGAAAAUGGGAUUAAGCUCUUCCAUCAGGGAAUUGCCUGGUUUACAGUAGUAAAACUUUUUACACUCUUCAUGCAUGAAAUGUUCACAGAAGGUCACAAGCUCAGAAUAAGUCAUAGAAGAAAAGUCGACAUCAGUGAACAUGGUUUUCACACCACCAGUGUAAGAGAAAGGAUUUCGAUUAAAUACCCCUUGGUAGUUGAGUUCCACCAUCACAAACACUCCAUUAGGUUCCGAUUGUGCCAUUUUUGCGACUUCUUUGGCUCUUCAGCUCGAUCACAAAAAUGCUUCACAAAACCUAAAUCAAUUUCUUUUAAAACUAAAUAAUGAAGACGAGUGAAGUUCGAUAGCUGAAGACAAAAGGCUUAAAGCUUCGUAUAUCAUCUAUUGAUGUGGCAUAUCUCACAUGGCAUCAGAUUAGCUAAAAAAGAUAUAUUAAUUGACAUAUAUAAAAUGUCAACCAGGAAACCGUUUACAAGUAUGGAAAUGACUAAAUUAAUAAGUCAGAUACCAUUUUAAUGGUCUAAUGUACCCAAAAAACUUUAAUGACCAAAUUAGCCAAAUGUAAAAAGUUUCAUGUGCUACAGUGACAUUAUCCCUGAUGGGUUUUGAGCAUUCUAACACUCCUAUGGUGUACAUGCAACCCUAGAAACCUUGGAUCUAUGUUUGACUAAUAUACAUGCAAAUAAUUAUUUUCCAAGGUUCUUAUCCUAUCUAGCAUGGCAUGGGAACUUGAAUCAAAUAGAGCUAGUAGAAUUACUUACCUUGUAGUUGUUUAAAGCUUCGUAUAUCAUCUAUUGAUGUGGCAUAUCUCACGUGGCAUCGGAUUAGCUAAAAAAUAUAUAUUAAUUGACAUAUAUAAAAUGUCAACCAGGAAACCGUUUACAAGUAUGGAAAAUGACUAAAUUAAUAAGUCACAUACUAGUUUAAUGGUCUAAUGUACCAAAAAAACUUUAAUGACCAAAUUAGCCAAAUGUAAAAAGUUUCAUGUGCUACAGUGACAAUAUCCCUGAUGGGUUUUGAGCAUUCUAACACUCCUAUGGUGUACAUGCAACCCUAGAAACCUUGGAUCUAUGUUUGACUAAGAUACAUGCAAAUAAUUAUUUUUCCAAGGAUCUUAUCCUAUCUAGCAUGGCAUGGGGAACUUGAAUCAAAUAGAGCUAGUAGAAUUACUUACCUUGUAGUUGUAGUUGAUUGCUUGGAGUUUUAGAGCCUAGCACCAAUAGUGUGGAUGCCUCAAAUGUAAAUCACAAAUCACUACAAACUUGGAACUUUGAGAGAAUAGUAACCACCUUUCUUGAAAUCGGCCCUCUUACUUUACUCACCACAACUAGUAUGAUUUCAAGAACCAAAGCCUCCUUUAUAUAGUGUGGUGGAUUAGGGUUACAUCCAUGUAAACCCUAAUACCCAUGUCUUUUCAUUUCCAUGAGAUCCAUGGGUUAAAGCUCCAUGGAGUAUCCAUGGACUUUCCAAGCAAGCCUAGCCCAUUCCAAAUAAGCAUUAGCCCACACUAUAUAAAUAUAAGAGCCCAUAUUUAAUUAGUAAUACUUUUGAUCUCUAAAUUAAUUUUAGAUUAAUUAUAGAUCAAUACUAAUUAAAUAAUAUGGUUUUAUAUUAAUAUAUUAGAACUUAUAAUAUAUUAAUAAAUCAUAACUUAUACUAUUCUCAAAAGAUUAUCCAUAAAUUGUUCGGGUGAAGUGCAACCCAAAUGGACCAUGACGGGUCGGGUCAAGUACAUACCAAAUAUAGUUAUGGACUUAGACACUAUAUCCAACAAUCCCUACAUAAAGUCAUAUGUAGUCAAGGAUCAGAUAGAUAAUCGAACAUAUGACUCACCUAAGAGCGAACAAUCAGAAAAGAACAUCACAAUCAAGCCUUAGAUCAAGAGUUAUCAGUCUAUCCAACUUAAACUAGAUAGACCUAAGAUAUUAUUACCACCUAACCAUGUGACAUAAACAUUUAACAGAUACUAGCAUAUUUAUACACUUAGCAACUAUCCUUCCCUAGUUACCCUGUCAUUGAUCACUUCUCAAUCAAGUGAUCAUCUGGUCAGUCAUGCAUAAUCAUGAUAAUUGACCUACCCCAAUUUCCCUAACUAAACAUAACUCAUAACAAUAUCAUACAAUAAAUAGGAAAGACCUCACAAGAAUAGCAUACCCAGACACCAAGUGUUCUAAACUGCACAUGCAUAUCCUAGCCAACUAGCAUAUUUGUACUCUAACAGUAUCUCCAUCCUAUCAUGCACAGGAUAUAUAAUGAGAUAUGUGGCAUACUAUGAAACUCACCUGAACUGAAGAACCGGAGAAGCACAACAACACUCUUACACAUUUCACUACUCGAUCAUGUGAACCAAUUAACACCAAAAUAGAUAAAUCCUCAAUCAAUAAUCCAAAUCCUCCAAGUUUGACCCUAAGUCAAACUGGUCAAAAGUCAAUAGUCGAUGUAACGCCCAUGUUUCUUUCCAGACAUUAACUAAAUAAUUAGGGUCAACAAUCACCACAACGUGGUAACCUCUUGGCCACAUCCUGGGAAUUUCCAUACAAAAUAGUUACGAAGCUUAGGAUCACCAUGUCGUUGCAAGCCUAUUGCCACGUCGUGGAAAUUCACAGGAAGUCAUAUUCUUCAUUAUGAGCUUAAUGCUUACAGAUCUAAGCUCAAACUUUCAUAUUUGAUUCUUCUUGAUGAAUUAAUGGAUCUUAAACCAUAAGUCUAUUAAGUCUUUAAUAUGACCAAAACUAGAGCAUGGAGAAAAGGGAGCUAUGAAUUAACGCUUUUUCCAUCAAACAAGACCAAAAGAUGGUCACCAAACAAUUCUAAAGUUCUGGAGUUGGCCAAAACUCCAAGAAAAUGCCUUCAAGGGACUUCAAAGCAUGAUAUGAGAGAAAAGGAUGAUAAAGGUGGAAGCUUUAUACCUUCCCAAAAUCCACAAGACAUAGGAGAUGCAAGAUCUGAAGUAGAUACACCAUUCAAACUAGCAAACACACUGUCGUUUCCUUCCCAAAGUGCAACCCAAGGCUUCAAACUUCAAGAACUCCAAGAACUCAUCAAUAUCACUCAAAUAGGGCUAGGGUUUCGAAAUAGGAGGAUGGAGACUGAGGGAAAUGAGCUAACCCUAGAGUUAAGGCCAUUAAAUAUGGGAGAAAAUAUAAAAAAAAAAAUUAUGUGCUUGGGCUACAGCACUCACAACGUCGUGGCAACCCUCUAGUCAUGUCGUGGUGCUCUUCAAAAUGUGCGUUCCCGAAAAUAUGUGUCACGUCGUGGUCAUCCAUGCACCAUACCAAGGCAUAGAUUUUUCUCCUAAAACCCCAUCUUUGAUCCUAUUAGCUCUUUAGUUAAACUAUUAUAGAAAAUAGGUGUUAUAGCCACCAUUCCGAGUUCCUUCUGUGACUGCUAAAUUAGUGUUUGGCGGGUUGGGGAGCCCGACUUCUUUCUCUUAUAUCUUCACAUAUAUAUAUAUAUAUAUAUAUAUAUAUAUAUAUAUAACAUUUUUUUUUCAAAAGUGUAAUACUAUCAAGGGAAAUUGACUUAUCAGGGUAAUUACUGUUUUGUUUUGUUCACAUCGGGGUAACUCUUUUUUUAGUACACAUCUAGGUAACAAACUUUUUGUAAGUGUUCACAUGUGACCAUUAUAAUUGGUUGUAGCAAGUUACAACCGAACGUAAUUGUCAUAUAUGAACACUUCCAACAAGCUCGUUACCUCGAUGCAUACAAAAAAAUGAAGUUACACAUAUGUGAACAAAACGAAAAGGUAAUUACCCUGAUAAGCCAAUUUCCCUUUUUAUUAAGGUGGCAAAUCAUAAUGUUUGUAAUAUUAAUAUAUUCAUUUAAAUUUCUUUAAAACAACAUUUGUAACACCCGGAAUCUAGAAGAUUAAUUAUGGAAACAAAUUCCCUUACCUAAGUAAAAACACGAUGAGUUGAUGGUGGGAAACUCGAUGUGUUGGAGGUUUUUGGGACACACGUUUUUAUGAACCAACUCGGUGAGUUGGUGAAGGAAAAUCGGCGAGUUGGACACUGACUGAGAAACCCUAAUUUUUAGGGUGUUACACCCUAUUUAAAGACCUUAAGUUCUUUAGCUGGCCUCCUUACCGGCCUCCUCUAUCCAGAAACCCUAAAACUGAGCCUUGUCUUCCAUUUAUGAGUGUGAAAGCUUGGGGAGAGCCUUGAGAGUUCAUUUUUGGUGCUUUUUGAAGGAGCUAAGGAAUUAGGAGUUGCUUGGCUUGAAGAAGAAGUCUUGGAUCCAGAAUCUCUGCCUCAUUUGCCAAGUUUUUGAGGAAUCGUGUUCUUACCUUGCUUAUUUGUUGCUUAGAUCUCUUCUUGGGUUAGAGUUUAUGAUUUUUAGCCAUUUUGGGUGAAUGUUGGGGAUUAGGAGGUCCCAAGCAAUUAUUAUUUCAGAUAUAAGGGCUAGCGGCGCUGCUUGUUGCCCGUUCGCCUUCAAUCGAUAUGUAUUGAACUUUCAUUGGAGUAUAUUUUCUUAAUAUAAAUAUAUAAUAGAUAUAAGGUCUACAUGAGCUCUUUAGGCAUAAAGGUGCCAACUUUAUGGAUUUAAUGGCUUCAUGUAUUCAUUAAGUCUUUCAGUUAGCCCUUUUUGAGCUUUUGAUCACCUCCUAGUCAUGCUUAAGUGUAAAGUUGGAAACUUUACACGGCCAUCUAGCCUUAUGGGGACAGAUCUGCAUUAUGGGUUUUAUCUUUGAUGAUUAAGUGAUUAAUGAUUAAGCCUUCACUCUUUUAAGUUUAGGGUUUGGGUUUGGACCCAUUAGGUGAUUCCUAGGGGUAAAGUUGGAAAAUUUACCCUUCUUGAUCUCAUUUUGGUCGAGAGCAGAGCUUUGGAGCCUUUGGACUCGAUGAAGGUACCUUAAUGCAUUAAGAUGUUGGUUCUUGAGAGAACUCGGCGAGUUGACUUGGUUUCCCCGAUUUGUGUAGUUGAUGGAGAAACUCGACGAGUUGGGUUAACUUGGACCGUUGACUUUGACUUUCGAUUUAUGUCUUUGAACAAGUUUGUCCCAAUGGGUACUUGAGGUAAUCUGAAUUGUAAUUAAGGGAAUUAUGAGAUUAGGAUAAGGCCCAUAUGGGGUUGGUCCCAAUUUGGAAAAUUGGGCCAUUACUGGGCCUUUGCGGAUCUUUUGGUUUUGGACUUUUUGGUUAAUGGAAUUUGGGCCUCAGUUUUGGUUCAUGACGCGUUAGGGUUAAAAUGGUCAUUUUCCCCCAAGUAUGGAUGGAGGGCUUUAGAAUGGAACCCAAUUGCUAAUUAGGUGUUAUUUUGAUCUCAUAGCUCGGAGGUCUCAUCAGGGCAGCAGCUAGGGACUUCUUUCUGUGAGUUUCUGCGUUCGAGGUGAGUCUCCUUACUUUUCUAUGGUUUGAAGGCAAUAAUGACGGCCCAUUUGGUUUAUGUAUUAUAGGAAGACCUGGGGGAUAAACCUUGGCAGUUUGUAUGAAAGACCAGGAGGCGGCUCCUGGCAAACUGUAUGCAAGACCAGGGUCUGAACUCUAGCAGUUGACUAGUUAAGUAGUGUAGAUUUUAUACUAUUUGUCUUUGUGACACUUUCAUGGAAGACUCGAAGGUGGAUCCUGGCACUUGUCUGUAAGACCUAGGUUUUUGGCCCCCGGCCUGACAAGGAAGACCACAAGGCGGCUCAUGUCAUAAUGGCAAGACUAUGGAUGGCACAUAUCACCUUUACUAAUUGGGGUAUAUGUAUGCUAAGUAAGACUCAGUGAUAUUAAUGUUAUUUAUAGUUUUGAGUUGAGUUUUCUCCUGCGAUUGAGGUGCAACAGUUGGUGCGAGAGUUUCUGGAUCUCUGUCAGACUACUGAGACUGUGGCAGAUUGUGGAAGGGUGGAAGUGAUGUAAGACUGAGGGGUGGCCCGUAGCAUUCACUAGUUAGAAGUUGGUAUAAAAAUGUUGUAAGACUGUGGGGUGGCACGUAGCAUUCACUAGCGAUCAGAUAGUGUGGGAAGUGUUGUAAGACAGAGGGGUGGCCCGUAGCAUUCACCAGUCCCUAUACAGCGGUGAGAGUGUGGCAAAUUUGUGAUUUGCUCACGGUUUUCUUCGGAUGAUUUUGGCCAGGAUGGAUCAGUUCGCAAGGCUAUGGGAAGGACACAACAUGUUUGGAAUCAAGAUAUGGGAGGUCGUGGGAGACCGGGUUUGAGGUAAGACUAUAGUUGGUCUGUAACGUUCAACCUAGUAUCAGAUUAUUGACGAGACGGUUUGGGUAGUUAUUGCCAGUGAGGCUUUUUUUCAAAAGUUGCGAUGGGCGAUUGUGUGGAGUUUCAAAAGCAGCUACGAGGCAACAAGCUGUUUUGGGCAGUAUUAGUGAUUUUUGGGCAGUAUUUUCGGGUAGUACUAGUCAUUUGGAAUUUGUGUGUGAAUAUGUAAUUUUUCAAACAAUUUUUUUUUCAUUUAUAAAACUCAUAAAAACUCAUAUAUUUCAUUUCAUAAAAUCACAAGUGUCUCAAGUCAACAUAAAUCCACAAGAAAAAUCAAAUCCUAGAAUCCUCAACAUAAUCUCGAACAGGUGUGUACAAUCACGUCGGUGCCUUCCCGCGAUCCUCGGAGGUACUUGAAACACAUAUCACAUAGCACGGUAAGCAUAAAGCUUAGUGAGUUCCUCAAAAUACCAUGCACACACAUAAUUAGCCACUCGAGGCUAUCGCUCUGUAAGACCCUCCGGUUAAUGUGUCUUAGCGAGACCCACCAGUCCUACAAAUCGUCAGACCCUCCGGUCCGGUCUAAGUGAGAACCCUCCGGUCUCACUACUCGUUGGACCCUCCGGUCUAGUCUAAGUGAGGACCCUCCGGUCUCAUAGUUCGUUGGACCCUCCGGUCCGGUCUAAGUAUCUCAUAAUAUAGUACACAGUAUAUAUCACACAGAAAUACAUAACUCAAGCAAGCACAUAAGACCCUCUGGUCACACAUAAUGACCACACUAGGUAAGGUAUAAUGAGAAGACUCACCUCCUAAGAACUCGGAUAAUCUCAAACUCAAAUCACAGGUUUAGCCUCCGCCUAAUAUACACAAUAAUUAUCCCUAAUUAAUAACGGCUCUCACAAGGCUGAACUAACCCUUCCAUACACUCACAGAAGGGUAAAAGACCAUUUUACUCCUCCAUGGGCUUAAUAGACCACAUGUUGACCAAACCCUAAAAGUCAACCGAAAGCCAACAGCAAGGAGUACGCUGUGCGUACCAACUCCCUACGUUGGGCAUACUCGGCUGCCAUGCAGGCAUCGUGGAGACUCGACCUCUACGUUGUGCGUACUGGGAUUAUGCCCAGCGUACAUCCUAGUUUCACUCUCCUCACAAUUUUGGUCUUAAACAGUUAAUACAUUGGCUCAUAAUUCAGAUCUGGACUCCCUAAUGUCUCUUAAUCCAUAAAGUUGGUGACUUUAAGCCUUUGCGUGGCUAAAUAGGUCACAAACACUGAAAACUCCCAUCCCCUUUCCUCAUGAAACUCAUAACUCAUGCAUGGCUUACUCCUAAUGUCCAAGAUUAGAUUUUUAUGACUUUACUCCACAAAAUACACUGAAAAGGGAUAGAUCAAGGCCUCUAGAGUGCAUUAUCUCAUAAAGUCUCCAUCUUUUGGGAAAAAACCCUAAAGUAAUUCAUAUGAAUGCACCAAACAAACAAAUGAGAAAGCUUGAAGAUUUAUACCUUUAUGUGAAACCUUCUUCACAGCUAAGCUCAGAUCCAACUCCUGGGGCUCUCACUCCUUCUUCUCUAAAGCUUCCUCUCUACUUCAAGAACACAAGAUUACACCAACAAGCUCUCAAAUGCACUCUCCAGCUAUAAUGACGGAGAUUUAGGGUUAGGAGGGGUUGGUGUUUGGGAAUGGUGGCCAGGAAUGAGGCCAUCAUGUCCUUUAAAUAGUGAGCUCAUUAAAAUUUAGGGUUUCAUUAUGGGCCUAGCAUGCCCAGCGUACCCACUGGUACGUCGCGCGUACUAGGUGGCCUCCACAUCACUAACACGCAUUGGAGUAUGCUGAGCGUACACUCAAGUACGCCCCGAAUACUCGUUUACCACCUUUUCUCUAAUAAGGCCAAAAUGGACAAAUGCUCAAUAGAUCAAGGUUUACAAGGUAUACCUGGACUUGGGAUGUUACAUCGUGUGUGAGUCUCUUGUAGUUCGGGGAAUAUAAUAAGUUGCUUGUAGUGGAUUAAAUAAUCUCAGAGUGGUUGAUUUGAUUCUAUUGCGCAGUUCUCGUCUGAGUCUAACCAUUGCAGGGAUGAAUCUUCUACUCAAAGGAUUAUCUGAGCCUAUUGUCGAGUAUAAGUGUUCUGUAGCUGCAAAUGAUCUGUUUUUUGGUUCCUUUAAAAGCAUUAAGAUAUUGGUUUUAUAGUGGUUCAGAGAGGGGGAGGGGGUGAUCAGCCAGGAAGUCAAAUCAAAUUGAGAUUUCAGGUAUCAGGAAAGGUAAAGGUGGGUUUUUCUGCAAGGGAUUAAGGUUCGUUCUGCUAGGGUUGGUUUCAGUUGCUAUGGGAAGGUGGUAGUAUUAUGGGGUUGUGAAGAUGAGUCCUUAUGGGGACAGUGUUAUCUGGUGCUAUCUGUCAUGGAGUUCGGCAAUGUCCAGGGUUUUCCAGGUUCAAGUUUAAUGGUUAGGGAUCUUCUAUUUUGGAUUUGUCAUCGGUAUGGGUGGGCGGUUAUCUAAGCGGGGUGACUUCCUUAGUCUUUUGGGGUUCAAGGAGUUUAGUCAGGAUCAUCAGUUCGGUACACGAGAUUUUAGGGAAUGAUUUCGAGGAUGAAAUCUAAUUUAAGUGGGGGAGAGUUGUAACAUCUGGAAUUUACAAGAAUAAUUGUGGAAAUAAAUUCCCUUUCUAGGGACCAACACGGCGAGUUGAUCGUGGGAAACUCGACGUAUUGGAGGCUUUUGGGAUGAGCGUUUUUAUAAACCAAUUCAAUGAGUUGGUGAAGGGAACUCGGCGAGUUGGACGCUAAUCGAAAAACCCUAAUUUUUAGGUUGUUGUACCCUAUCUAAAGGCCUUAAGUUCUUUGGUUGGCCUCCUUACCAGCCUCCUCUGUCCAAAAACCCUAAAAUCGAGCCUUAUCUUCCAUUGUUGAGUGUGAAAGCUUGGGGAGAGCCUUGAGAGUUUAUUUUUGGUGCUAGUUGAAGGAGCUAAGGAAUUAGGAGUUCCUUUCCUUGAAGAAGAAAUCUUAGAUCCAGAAUCUCUGCCUCAUUUGCCAAGUUUUUGAGGUAUCAAGUUCUCACCUUGCCUGUUUGUUUCAUAGAUCUCUUCUUGGGUUAGAGUUAAUGCUUUUUAGCCAUGGUUGGGUGGAUUUUGGGGAUUAGGACAUCCCAAACGAUUAUUAUUUCAGAUCUAAGGUAUAUAUGAGCUCUUUUGGCAUAAAGGUGCCAACUUUAUUGAUUUAAGGGCUUCAUAGAGUCAUUAAUUCUUUCAUUUAGCCGUUUUUGAGAUUUUGUGCUCGUCCUAGUCAUGCUUAAGCGUAAAGUUGGAAACUUUACAUGGCCAUCUAGCCUUAUGGGUUCAGAUCUGCAUUAUGGGGUUUUGUCUUUGCUGAUUAAGUGCUUAAUGAUUAAGCUAUCACUCUUUUAAUUCUAAGGUUUGGGUUUGGACCCAUUUAGGUGGUUCCUAGGGGUAAAGUUGGAAACUUUAACCUUCGGGGUCUUAUUUUGGUCAAUAGCUGAGUUUGGAGCUCUUGGAUUCGAUGAAGGUAGCUUAACGCAUUAAGCUGUUGGACUUUUAGAGCUCAUAUCGUGAGUUCGAUCUUAUCCAUCCGCUGAAUCGACUUCUGACAGCCCGACUCUGGAACCCAUCCAUCACUGGCUCACGUCGUGAGCUUCAUGCUCACGUCAUGAGUCCUCUUAUAGUGUGGGGUUGAGUCUUUUACUCGAAGGAUUAUUUGAUCUUUGUUGCGUGUGGCUAUAUUAAUGAGGAAGCUAGUUGACAUUGGUGGGAUUCCUUUAGCAGUUGAGGGUUUGGUGAGGUCGGGAACCUAGGAAAGCCUAGGAUAUGCUUUAGUGGGUUAGUGGUACGGUUUAGUGAGUUUUGGUGCAUUGUGCUGAAGAAGUGACUUAGAGGAUUCGAGAGGAUUACUGAGGAAAGUAUGGAUAGGUGGGCUUUAGAAUGGAACCCAAUUGCUAGUUGGGUGUUAUUGUGAUCUGAUAGCUCGGAGGUGUCGUCAGGGCACUAAUGUCGGCCCAUUUGGUUUAUGUAUUAUAGGAAGACCCAGGGGAUAACCCUGGGCAGUUUGUAUGAAAGACCAGGAGGCGGCUCCUGGCAAACUGUAUGCAAAACCAGAAUCUGAACUGUGGUAGUUAACUAGUUAACUAGUGUAGAUUGUAUGCUAGUUGUCUUUGUGAUGCUUGCAUGGAAGACUCGGAGGUGGCUCAUGGCACUUUUUUGUAAGACCGCAGGUUUUGGCCCCCGCCCUGACAAGGAAGACCACGAGGCGGCUCGUGACAUAAUGGAAAGACUAUGGAUGACACAUAGCACCUUUACUGAUUGUAGUAUAUGUAUGCUAAGUAUGGCUUGUUGAUAUGAAUGUUAUUUAUGGUUCAAUCGGUAUGUUUGGUAUGUGGUAUUUGGGGAACUCAAGAAGCUAUGUGCUUACAUUUUGUGCUUUAUGGUUUCAUGUAAUUCCAUUUUGAAAGGAAAGGGUUCGGCUUAAUCGCAACGCAUACACCCAUGUUUUCCGCAAUGUGUGAUAUUUAGGAAUGAACUCUGAUAAUUGUUUUAUUUUGAAACUCUUCUAGAUGUCGGAUUAAAGGUUAAUGAAUGUUUUGGGCAUAAUAAAAACGAAAUUUUUACCCCUGAUUUUCGGGAUGUUACAACAUUUAUUACCAUUUAUUGACAUUUAAAUUGGCCACGACAUGUUUGAAACCAUUUGUGAUAGCAUAAUUAUCAAAUCAAAUAACUCUAUAUAUUGAGACAAGAGCAAUGUUAUCCAUGUGGAUAAAAUGUAUUUCUAUUUUUUGUAUUUUAAAUUCAUGUAAUACAUGGAACAAAAUUGAAGAUGAUAUUCUAUUUCAUGUUAUUGGUCUCAAUAUCUGACACUUUUAGUAUCUAGUAAAUUUUAAUUUUCAUAUGUAAUAUCUUAAACAAUAAAAUUCUAUAAAAUGACGAUGUAUUUUUUCCAUGUCAAAUGUGAUUUUUUUUUUGUAUCAAAGUAGUGUAUUUUAAAAAGAUAUUUACCAAGUUGGAUUGAGUGACAAGUGGAUUGAGUUAACUGAAAAAAAAAAUUAUUUUUCAUGGGUUAGAAAAGAUGAAAAAAAAAAGUUGAUAUAGAACUCACACCACAUGAAUGAUUUGACACCGUUCUACUCCUACGACCUUUACCCCCAACAUCGAAUUCAUUAUGAUUGUUAGCCUAUCUUACGAGACAGACAUGACCUCCUACUACCAUGUAUACUAAGUCCCACUAUUUAUAACUCUACCCUAUAAAACUCGACGGAGCGCUGGGGUGAAGGGUUACGGGAUCCUUUCCCGCUCACCGGAACANNNNNNNNNNNNNNNNNNNNNNNNNGGGGGGGGGGGGGGGGGAAGGCUGCUGCACUCUCUCUCUCUCUCUUCUUCCUAUUGGCUGGUUUUUUUCCCAAGCGAACUGUUUGAAAUAAAUAACAAAAUUAAUUUUUUUUUCAAUACAACUAUUGAAAAACAACAAUGAAUUUAUAUAUAUAUAAUUUUGUUUUUACCUCUAUAACAUCUAUAAAUAUACACAUACUUUAACCUUUCAAACUCACACCUCCUUCUAUGAAUUUCUCUGUACUUUCUUCAAAAAAAGGAAUCCAUACAACCAAACCCCAAACUUCGAUAGAAGGAAAAAAACCAAUGUUUCAAAUUUAAGCACCCCAACUCGAAACAUUUUUGAUAUCGAUUCAUCUCAAGGGGUUUAUCGUCCACAACUCGAUGCUCACAUUUAAUCUUCACUACAAUCACAAUACCAAAAUAUUAGACAAUUUUACCCGAUGCAAGUUCCAAAUGUUACUCCAAAUAUGCUAUUAAACUUUGUUGUUUUUCCUGAUCAACUUUCGCCAAAUCAACCCCAAACUCAAAUCCCACUCUUUCAAUCUCAAACCCAAACCCAACCUAAGCCCAAACACAAUAUCAACAACAAUACCAAAUCUUCGAUGAGUCGGAUGAAGAGAUUGUACGGGAAACUCAACCCACAACCCCCAACCCCACAAAGUAAAACAACAAGUGAGAGAGGGUUCCAUACAACCGGGACGACAGAAGCCGCAACCAUGGACUAAACGAGAAGAGAUAAUUGGGGUAAAAGCUUGGGUUGACAUUUCAGAUGAUUCAGCGACAGGAAAAUGCACAACCUGAGGAUCAUUUUUGGUUUCACAUUCUUGAGAGGUUUCAUAAGGAGAUGGGAAAAAGUGACGAGUAUCGUACCAAUCAUCAAUUGAAUUCAAAGUUUCGAGAAAUAGCGUGGGCCGUUUCAAAAAUGAGCGGGUGUACAACAACCUAAAAACCUAAUGGAAAAGCAGCCAAGGAGAUGAAGAAAUACUUCAGGAAGUUUUGCAUUUUUUCGAGAGGAAGUGGGAAAGUCAUUCAAGUGCCACGAUUGUUGGAAAAUAUUGAUUAAAAGUCGUAGGUGGAAAAAAUACGAGCAAGAGUUUAUACGUCGAGUACAACAAUCAAAACGAACAAAAAUGAGCUCUAGUGGUUACACAACUUCCUCCGAUGCUCGGGUCGGUCUAGAUUUAAAUGACGAGGACGCACUCGAGCUAGAAGAAAUUGUCCGACCGAUAGGUAGGGACAAAGCAAAAAUGAAGGGAAAUGAGACUUCUUGGGGUGAAUCGAAUUUCAGCAUGGACGCGGACCAAGUGCGAAAAAUGGUGGAGAUAUUUGAUCGAUAUAAUCUUAAUUUUGCUGAAAGUUUUGGCAUUCGACAAAGACAAAGAAGGAGAAAAAAAGAAGGAGAACGCAUAGAAACAAGAAAUGGAGGAGAUGAUGUUAUUGAUGAAAAAUACCGACCAUCUUUCGGGACUAGCUUCGGAGCUCGUUUUGAAAAAAAAAGGUGCGGAUUAUGCAAAAAUAUUUUCCCUAAGAGUGUUGUUUGUUUUUUUUUUCUAGUUAUUUAAAUCUUAGGUUUUUAUGUAAUUUUUAUUAUAAUUAACAAUGGCGGAGUUACUAUAUCAUUAUAAAUAAUAUUUUGUUUCUUAUAAUGAUAAUCUUUCCUAAUAAAUAAAGAACUUUUUGUCACAUGUCAAACUCUCAUUGAUUUGACCACAUGUCAUUUUGUGGUUAUUUUCAAUUAAUUUUUUUUUACACAUGUCAUUUUGGGGUUUUUUCAUUUUAUUAAUUUUCACAUAAUAUUUAAAUGUAAUAAUUACAAUAAAUAUAAUAAUAAAAUGCAUAUCAAUUUUAUUAAUUGACUUCCUUUUAAUUUUAAAAUUUCUAAAUUAAAGUUUCAUUAGUUUCCUUUAUUUAUUUAUCUAAAUUAUUUGUUUAAUUUAAAAGAAAAACAAACAAUUUAAUUUUAAUAAUUAAAUGUUUUUCUAUUGUUUUCUUAUAAAUUCAAACUUGUCAAAUGUUUAAAAUUUUAUAUGUUUUUCUUUAAAAUGAACUCAUGUAAUACAUGAGUGUUACACCUAGUGAUAGAUUAUAUCACGAGUACAAUUCAUUUAAUGAAACAUAUGUACGUAUAAUUAGAGAAAAUUUUUAAUAUUAGCAUGUUAAUCCUCUCUAAAAAAUAAAAAUAAUUUUGCCACAUAUCACUCUUUUAUUAAUUUGGACACAUGUCAUUUUUUGGUAUUUUUGAUUAAAUGUUUUUUCCAUUUGUCAAUUUUUUAUUUUUUAAUAUUUUCUUAAUUAACACAUCAUAUAUACACCUCAAUUAAUAAUUACCUUAAUUGAAAAUAACCAAUAAAUUACAAUAUUAAUAGUCAUAUAGUAUUUAAUAUGUUUCCUUUUAAAUUUAAAUUUUAAAAUUUUAAUUUCAAAUCUAAAAUUUCAAAUUUGAAUAAAAUUUGUUUGAACUUUUAUAUUUAAUUUUUGUUUUAUCAAACUCGUAUAACAUACGGGUCUCACACCUAAUGGAGAAUUAUAAAUCAACGUUUAUUGUCGGUCUAAACUUUUGAAAUGUCAUUUUUGCAAUGAUCGGUAUAACUUCUCCUUAAAGGAAUUUUUAUAGUCAUUUUCUCUUUCAAGAUUGUAGACUCUUUUACAUUAUUUUGAUAAAAGAUAUAUUUGAAUAUAUUUUUACGACGUCGGCUUUCCUUAUUCUUAAAUCCUGGCUCCGUUCCUUUUAAUUAAUGUAGUGGUUUUUAUUUUUAAUUAUAUAUAUAUAUAUAUAUAUUACUUAUUCAUUUAUAAAAUUAUAAAUCAUAAAAUCAAUUAUUUUUACUUAAAAAAGAGUGAUACACCUUUACAAAAUUAUAAACCAUAAAAAUCAAUUAUUUUUACUUAAAAAAUAGUGAAAAAACCUUCCCACAUACACCUUGGUUUCUAACUAAGAAAAAAAAUGUAGGAAAAAGGAUAAAAUGAUAAAGAAAAAUAAUAAAAAAAAAAAUAAAAACCUUCCCGUACCCACCCUCCGGCAUAAGAAGGUGCGUCCCUACGAGUACAAGAUACACAGGUGUAGAUACAUAUGUAAAAAGCUAGUAAUUAACCAACUAAUUAUUAAUUAUUAAAUAAAAUAGGGAUAUAAUAUUAAUGAUAAACACAUUAAAAUAUUCCAAAUGCUCAUGAAGUCAACAUGAGAAAUUAUAUUGCAAUAAAUUUCUUGUUGGGUGAGAAAUUCACAAGUAAAAUUUGUAUAGUAAAUAACAAACCGAAAGUUCCAGAAACAGGUCAAAACUUAAAACCCUAAAUGAGCUUACAAAUUUCCAUUGGCCACAUACCCCACCACAAAGGCACAAACAAUCAAUGAAACAAGUGUAGAUGUAGAGGCCUUUUUCACCACAAUCACCCUUCAUCGGCCAUUUCGAAGGCCACGUGAAAUGUCACUAACGUGGCCCUCUAAAUAUCCACUACUUUGUCUUUAACCCCUCCCCCCUCCCUUAUAAAACACUCCAUCCUCCUCCUUAAUCACCAUCACCAACAACCUUCUCUCCUUCCUCAAAAGUACCACCAUCUUUUCCGACAUGGCAGCUUCUUCAAUCUUCAUGGCAACUCCCAUCACACUCCUCAAAAAAACUCCCACCUUCUCCGUCAAAUGCAUGUCACAAACACCUCAAAGCGGUGAACCGGAGAUUUCAAAAUCAGCAACCACCCCAACACCACCACAGAUCAACAUUCCUCCUCCUCCGCCACCUGCUCCAAAGGUCAGCACGAAAUUCUCUGACGUGUUGGCGUUUAGUGGACCUGCACCGGAGAGGAUCAACGGAAGGUUGGCGAUGAUAGGGUUUGUGUCGGCGAUGGCUGUGGAAGUGAGCAGCGGUCAAGACGUGUUUACCCAGAUCGGCAACGGCGGAGUUGCGGUGUUUGUGGGGACUAGCGUCGUGUUGACGUU